UUUUUUUUUUUUUUUCCAAAUAGCGAUAGUAAAUAUAGGAUUGGUAUAAAAGACAAAAGUAGUGGAGCGGGAAUAUUAAGCAUUUUCACUUCGAACCUUGCCUUUACCUCCAUAAAUGUUAGCUUUAGUAAGGGGUGUUUAAUAUAAAGUUCGUAUACAGGGUUUAAAAAUUUGGAAGGAUAAGGGUGCUUAAAUUCAAGUAUAAUUGUUUGAGUAGUUGUUGUCAUUAUGGACUUAGAUUUUUUUUUUCCAACAUUUGAUUUCCCCAAAACAUUGUUACACCAUUAAGGAUAACUUAAUAACAAGUUGGCAUAAGAAGAUUAAGUAAUUAACAUGCUUCAAAUGCAAAAAAUGAAUAAUGAAAAGGAUAGACAAAGAAUUAAUGGAUAAAUUCGAAAGUGUGUAAACAAAUUGUUUUUAUUUUAUUUUUUUGUAAGUGCGUAAACAAAUUCUUACUCCAUUUAUUUUCCAAAGUAAAGACAGCAACAGGGGAAAAAAUGCAAAGGAUAGAAAAAGACUGUUGAAUGUUGAAAAGUAUCCUAGGUUUUAACUUAUAGGAAAAGGAUAGAAAAAGCAGGAAGCCUUACAAAAGCAAGCUACUUAUGUCACAUUUGUAUAUAUCUUCAAAUUUGCUUUAAUUAGCUGGCUUUGGUCCAGUAGGCUCUUCAACACAACUUGAUAAUAGAAAUAAUAUAGCCGAUCACACAAAAGAACAAUUAACAAAUCAACCACGAUUAUGUGACUGAAGUACAUACAGAUAUGACAUUUUCUUUAUUUCUGUCAUACCUAUGAACUCACUAAAAGAAAAAGUGAAAACCACUAAAGCUAUAUUAAAAUGAAUGUUGAGUUUAUUGCAUUCGGUUUCUCCGUUGCACUACCAAUUUGGCCCUCUGACAUAAAGAUAAGAAAAUGUGACCACCACUAAAGCUACAUUAAAAUGAAAACGGGAUACCUUUUACGCAAUCAAAGAUACUAAUGCAUCGUGGUAAAUAAAAAAUCACCUCAAGAAUUCUCUCUCUUAAUUAACCAAUCAAAUCAACUGGACUAAUUACAUUUUCUCUCGUCAAAUGAAAUGUACUGACUAUACUCCCCGGUGCUCUGCAUGGGUUAAAACUUGGUAGUUUCUAGGAAAAUGACUUUCCAAACAAAGGCCUUUUGGGUAUUAUUAUGUUGGUUCACCGCUGCGGUCUAAAUUUAAAUCUGAUAUAACUUUUAAUGCUCCUAUUACAAAUUAUCAUGCUCGUAGUACUUAUGAUUAAUGCAUUAGAGGGCUGGAUUUAGGUUAUAGGGGUAUAGAUGUAGCCCAUCCCAUGUGUACUUCAUCAUUAUCUCUAAUUAUGCCAGAGACUUUGCACCAGUUUUUUUUCUUGUACAAAGCCACAUAGUUGUUGAGAUGACCAGAGGACAAUCAAGUAAAUGACUAGAACAGCAACCUGAUGUGGUUCAGCAGAUUGCUAAGCGUAUUGGAAAGGGAAAAACAAUUCUUUUGCUCUUAGUGAUCCUAAAGGAUCAGCGUUAUCAAUGCAAAAACUUUAUCUUUUAUUGUCUACAUUUAUCAUUAGACAUUCUUAGGACAGGCCAUUCUUGUAAUCAACCACAAGAAGACACUUAGCUCCGAUAACAAGCAAUGUACAAUGUCCAAAUAAGAGACCAACCGAAACAACAACAAUGUCCAAUAAAUUGCCAAAUCAUAAAAGGCACUUCAAUUCGGAAAACAAAAAUUCCCAGAAAACAAAUUACAACUCAGAAAAAAAUUUUAUUCUUACCUCUUGUGCUGUUUCUGGUGAAAGGAAUGGCAAAUGGAGAAAGCCGGAUGCCGGACUUAAAUGGAGCUAGCUACCAGAGAUGGGUUCCCAAAGGGGAAGCUCUGCAAUGGCCGAGAGCUUCCGAUGCUUCUGAUGAGAGCUUCGGACGAGAAGAAAUGCUGCCUUUCUGAUUUCGCAUGAGGAGAAACUCCGCAACUCUACAAAAUUGAAGAGCUUUCGAGGAGAAGGCCGAGAGAUUCCGACGACAAAGCUGUGACUCUGAUUUUCGAUGAGAAAGCUCAGACCAAGAUAAUUUUGAGAGUGAGGAGUUUUGGCUGCACGGAGAGAGUGAAGGGAGAGUGAGACUGAAGAGAAAUGCGAAAUUGGGAAUUCUGAUUGUUUUCAGAUCGAGUACCUCGCAUUUAAGAAAUGUGAGUUACAUAAUCUCGCAUUCUCCUAAUGCGAGCUUAAGAAGCUUGCGAGCUUAAGAAGCUUAAGAAGCUUAAGAAGCUUAGCAGAAUGCGAGCUUAAGAAGCUUGCAUGCGAGGUACAUAAUCUCGCAUUCUCCUAAUGCGAGCUUCUUAAGCUCGCAUUAGAAUGCGAUCUUCUUUUUCUUUGUUUUUGGAAACACAUACCUCGCAUUUGUGAAAUGCGAGGUAUCUGAACUCGCAUUUCACAAAUGCGAAGAUCACAAGUCUGGAACCAACUUAAAAAAUUACCCCCUUUGUAGAAUAACUUUUUUUUUUCAUCACCAUUUAAGAAUUUUCUCGAAGAAGUCAUGGGAACGAAGUUAAAUUGGCAUUGCAUCUACUGAUGGAACUGUUAGAAUCGAGUCACAAUAAUGAGUACCAGUCACUCAGCAUAUGAUUCGUUGUUCCUCGAAAAUCGUUAUCCAUAUUAAAGUUGGAAAACAAUUUAAUCAAAUCGUACGGAGUACCAUUCAUCCAUUUUUUUGGUCUUUACUUUAACAGUACAACUUAGAGACAUUCAGUAUGUUUGGAUUGAAAUAUUUUGAGAUAAAAUAAUUUAUUUUACAAAUUUCAAUCAUUCUUUUAUCUUUCUAGUUAUCUUUUUGUCUCACAUACAUCACAGCACAAAAAGUGUUAUAGUAAUUAUCUCAAAUAAAUCAUCUAAAUAAACUCAUAUCCAAACAAAUCCAAAUUGUGUUUCUACAAAUUCUUUUGUCAAAAAUGGCCCAAGUAUGAUUUUUAUUUAAAAACUACAAUAUUGUUGGUCCCUUAGCUUUUCAAAUUGUCUAAAAUAAUGCCAUAUUUCUACUCUAGAAUAUUAAUUUAGUCUUUCAGUUGUCAACUAUUGCACUGAAUUUUCACUUAUGGAGGAGGUGGUGGGGGAGAGGGGAGGAGGGGAGGAGAGGGGAGACGAAGGAGGGUUGGAGAGGUAGGUCAUCUUUAAAUAAUGUAAAGGAGUAGGUGAUCUUUAAAUAAUAAAAACUAAAGUGCAUCUACACUUUAAAUAUGAUUUAGACAUAACAAUAAAAUUUUGCCAUAAUCAACACGUUGGAUGAUGCUAUUGGACGUUCAGAAAGAAUUAAAGAUCAAGCGGAAACGUGUCAGUACUAUAUUAUGAAUUGGUUUAACAUUAAUUUGUCUGUAACCUCUUACAUAACUCGCCAAACUAAGCACUAAUUAUUUGAGCCAAGAUUAUUUCCCACUUUGUGUGACGACAAAAGAAUGUAGGAAGUUCUGUAGUCAUGUGAUAUAGAUCAAGGUAGCAUCUUCCAAGGAGCCCUUCCUGAGUUCCUGCGGCCGAUACAAAUACAAAUGGUGCAUUGUGUGUUUUAAAAGGCGAAAACCGCGGGCGGGACAGUCUUUUUAUUUUUAAAUAUUUUAAAAAUAUAAAAACACGUACACACACACACACACACACACACACACACACAUAUAUAUAUAUAUAUAUACAUGUGUGUAUGUAUAAUAUUAAAAAUACCCAAAAAAUAAAGAAAAAUUAUAACCUUAUGUGAUUAAAAUAAAACCUGCCUUGUGUGAUCUCUUUGCAAUCAUGUUUUAUGUUGGUAUCAUAGUAUUUGGUUUGAUUAUAUGUUAGAAGUUACUAAUUCUAAAAUUUAGACAAUUUUUUAUUUUUAUUUUCCUGUAACUCAUUACUUCCUUAUCUAUAUCCUACUUUUCAAUUCAUUUUUUCAACAAUUAAUUAUCUUCCUUUUUGACUUUCUUAGUUAUAGCAACUUUUAAUGAAUUGUAUAUGAGCCAUUCUAUGUAUGCAAAUUGUGUUCUUGAAUCAUCAAUAUCCGUCAAUAUUUCUACAAAUUCAUUGCACAAAAUGUUUACUACAAUUAUUUAGAUCUUCAAACUAAAUUCUUUUGCAUCUUCAAAAACAAAAUGUUUACUUUAAUUUUAUUGUUACCAAAAGUAAUUUUCAAAUUUACAGAAUCUUUCAACAAAUUAUUUGUACUCCCGCUGAAGUAACGGUUGAGAUGCAGAUUGGAUGACAAGAUAACGUCUGCUGAAGUCAAUUUUUGAAGCUAUGCAUGCAUCCAUCAAAACGGUGUCCAUUUACUCGUAAACUUUUCAAAGUCUUAUAAUUAAUUUCGUUGAAUUAAAUGAAUUGUAUGAUGCAAUUGCAGGGAAUCUCCAUCCAAUUGGAAACAUUUUCCAGACUACGUGUAUACAAUUAAUCCAUCGUUUGGAAUUUUGUACCUCAAUCACACAUGGAAUUUUGAAUUUAACAGCAUCGCCCAAUAGGGUGGCUUUAUCUGUUUUCCUUCUAAAAUGACUCUUAUAAAUCAGAGGCAUGAACAGUUCAUUGCUUGGAAGAGAUCCCUUCAACAAUUGAAAGUCCACUACAAGAAAAUCAGGCUUUUGUGACAAACCAAAUGUAGUCAUUAAAAAUCAAAAAGUUGUCAUUAUAAAAAGAUAGUGACGACUUUUUCGAUUGUCACGUGAUUGUCGUAAAUGAGUCCAUGUAACAACUUUAGAUAAGUCGUCAAAGAAUCAUAUUAUUCUAUGAUAAAGAAAAAUUCGUCACUAACUAAAACCAUUUUGUGAUGACUUUUCUUGUCAUUGUUUCACCUGUAUUUUUGUCAUAGAUAAUGUAAAAGUCGUUACAAAUUUCAUAUCUACAAUGAUGACUUUUACAUGUCACUUAUAAUCCUGUUCAUUAGUGACAAGAAUUGUUGUCAUUGGUUGAACUUGUAGCUAGUGACAACCUUCCCUGAUGUAGUCACUGAACUUUGUUUAAAAUGUUUGAAAUUUGCCAUAAAAAGCCUACUUCUAUUGCAUUUUCAACAACCAUAGCAGAAAAUUGUGGCUUGACUAAUGCAAAAAAGAUAGUAAUUAAUGUACAAUGAACCCUCAAAUAUAUAUAUAUGUAUGGUUAUAAACAUCUCUAAAUUCAUCAAAACACACAUUAACCAAAAUGGGUUCCAAAGCCCAUAUUAGUUCAAGUACUAACAGCCAUUAUCCAUCCAAACAAUAGAGUACUAAGUUCACAUCAGUUCAACUAGUAACAGCCAUUACGCAUCCAAAAAAACAAAAUACUCUUUCCAAACAAAAACAUAGACUAAAGAAGCAAUUUGUGUCAAACUGAAGUCAUCUUCAUGAGCAUAUCCAACAGCCAACCUUUUUCAUCUCCUCAAGAGCAUUUAAUAGCAUUGUACUGCAUUGAAAGAAAAGUAUCACACGCAUUAGAAUCGAUUUCAGUCAAAAAAUAUGCCAUUACAAGCAUAUACUAUUGAAUUUGAAUGAACAGUCAUACUGAACAAAAAUCCAAUUAAGUCAAUAUGAUAAGAGAUAAAAUAAUCAGUCAAACAAGAGUUUCAACCAAAACAUACUAAUUAGAAUAUAGAUAAAAUCUGCCCAAAGUACCUCGUUAGAGAUCAAUAAAGUCAAGUUUGUUUCAAUCCUACUAUUAAGGGUUAUUUCAACCAAAAUUAACUUGAUAUAAUUGACAAAUGAAGCUUAAAGAGUGGCUUAAGCUUUUGAACUUGAUAUAAAAAACUCAAAGGGAACUUGAUGUACAAAGGAACCAAGAAAAAAAAGUGCAACAAAAACAAGUCCUUACCCAAGGAUAUGAUGACGAAGGAUAUCAAAGUACUAAGUGCUCCAAACAGCAUUAUAGUAAUGAAAUUGCAAAAGAAUUGUUUCUUUUUAACCUCGAACCUGAUAAUUAAGGGGAAUGAAAAUUGAUCCCAAAUCAGCCCUGUGCAGAAAACGCCUCUUAAGAAACUAGACUUCGGCAAAGUUUGUCAUUUGCUUGCUAUCUAAGCAAAUUAAUUUACUAAAAUUCAUGCUCCCAGCAAAACCAGGCCUAAUAAUGCUGAAUCUCAGGUUAUUUUUUUCUUUUGAACUUUUUCCUUUUUCAGAAUCCUAUAUCCAUGUAGGGAAGAAAAUGGUUCAAUAAAUUUACUACAUACCCAGCAUUGAAAAUGAUCGGAGGAAGUAGAUAAAUAAAGAAAAGAUCUUCACUGAAAACCAACAGAUGCGAGCUUGUUCCUCCACUAAUUAGUAGAAUUACCAUCACAAAAUUGUCUCCAGUCCUUGAAAAUAAAUGAACAAACGAUUGAAUGUCAAAUCUCCAGCAAAAUUUACAAAAUAAAAACAGGGGACUCAAGUGUAUUUAUCUUUGGUAUCAUACCAGCCAAGAAAUUAAUGAAAGCUGAUUAUACAUGGUUGCCUCUUUUAUGUAAAUGCAGUUUUAGUGCAAUUCUGCCCAAAAUGUCAAAGUUACUACUGUAAAAACCUUAUAGCGAUUAGAAUAUGUAAAUCUACAAUAACUUAAUAAUUAAAAGACUUCAAAAUCUGCUAGUUGCACUCCGAUAGUGUACGGUGCUGGAUCUAAAAAGAAAAGGAAAGUUACCUCUAUGGGUGAGAAGUUCCUGCCAAAUUGGAAAAAGAUGCAACAAAGCCAGGUUAACAAAGCUAUUAUGUACAAGAGAGUAAGGGAAUCAACAUGUACUUUCUAAUAUUCUUUGUGGAAGAAACAUAUGAAAGAGAGUAAGCCCCACCUUCUAACGAAGUGAAAUAUCCUCUAAGUUAUGUUCCUGCUUUUCAAUUAAUCUUCUUGCAAGCUCCUUAACCUGAAAAUGGAGAAGAGAACUGGUUAUUUAAGCUUCGCUGACCACCAGUUUAAACAUGAAAUGGUGCUAAUGCUACUAGUUGGAUGAACAAACUUUUGUUGAGAAUCAAAGGAAGGCUGAUGUUGCUGAAGCUAAUGCUCUUCUAGCUAACAGAAAGGCUGGAUGGGCAAAACAUACCCCUUCUGAAGGGCAUAGAGGACGUUUGCACUACUAUAGUACUAUGAUGAAGCACAUCACAAUCUUCAUCAAACAAUGGAUUUAUAGCUACCAAUUUCAACAAUCAUUACAGUACUUCUCCCAUCAUACAGGACAGACAAACUUACUGCGUGCAAAGGGAUAUCCUAAAUCAAAGAAAGAAACACAAGACAUUCCAAGCGUGCAAAAUAGCUUAGUAUAGAAAAGGGAAAUGCCUUCUCUGAAUGCUGAUAGCGUGCAAAACAGCUUAGGAUAGAAAAUGUUGGUUAAACAAACUACACCUGCUACUCAUUGUAGAAUAAAUAGAUAUCAAAGAACUUGUCUAUGGUGUAAACUGUAAAUGACAUGAUAUUGCCAUCAGGAAAUUAAGGUCAGUGUACGCUACCAUGAUUCAGAGGAUCAAGAUUCAUGUAUAUUUCUUCCAAGCAAUUGAUGAUCUUAAUGCUACGGCAAUCUCUAACAACUUUUGCUUUAAAAAAUCAUCUGAUCUACGGGCAUUCUUUUUCUAUCUUUGUUAUCUUUUUUGCAUGCAAGUACAGGUGAGCCGAAUAAAGGGAGAGGGAUUACCUCCAGAGAACUUUCGGAGAUGAAAAUCAAGAUCUAAUACCCGAAAAGGAAGUCUAAGAUAACAAGAAAUUACUCCUUAUGAUAUCUGAUACCCCUUGCAAAAGGCCUUCACGAGCUUAUCCCCUUCAGUACCAUAUACAACCAGAGGACCUUUCCUGCAGAUGUAGCGGCAGUUACGCAUCUUACCCUUUCUUGGGUGGAUACCCUAGCUGUCUUUAGCCUUCUCAGCAUCAGGGUAAGCCCCAAUUUUCUUGAGAAGACUAAUAGCGUUGGAGGUUUUCUCCAUGGCCUCAGCAAAAUCGGAGAUCGUACAAGGGAUUUGCAGGACAGACUCGAUGCGGUGGCCGCAGGCCAUGACAAGGGAAGGCACUGCAGAGGGGGCGAUGGCAGAAACCACGGCAUACCGUUUCUUGUUGAUUGGGACCUUGCGGUGCCAAAGGCGCCAGAUCUUGGUCGGAGCAAACAUGCGGCAGCCGCGGCACAUGUUGCCAUAGGCACCCUCGCCAGGAACACGAGAGAUACGAGAAACAGCGCGACCAGUACCCCAGGACUCGACGAAGGUCUGGUGGCCAGCGGACCUACAGACGGUGUAGGUUGGUGAGAGUUCUUGGAGAUGUCGCGCGAUGAACGUCUUGGAGGAUGUCUGGCCGGAUUGGGGCUUUCAUGACGUCAGGCAGAGGGAGGGAGUUGGCGUCGGCCUCCAUUUCAUUCUCAAGAGGGAUAACGGUAACUACAGGGACAGCGGCGGCGGAAUUAGGGAUUUUUGCUAUCUACAACUCCACUAAAGCUACACAAAUCUUUUGGGUAGCUCAAAUUACGGAUGAAAAUGGUGGGCUAAUAUGAUUUUCUGGAUAAUUUCAGCAAAAUGAUAGUGGAGAGAAGGAGAAGAUGUAGUGUCCGAAGUUGGCAAGAAGAGGGAAAGCAAGUUUUGUCCGAAAUUUUUCUAAGUGUUACGAGUGUUUUUGUUUUAACUCUUGCUAAAAUGACGUCGUUUCUGCUUCUUUUGUUUACCCGUCUCUACUCGUUCAAUUUUGUUCAAUUUUUAGCUUCCCCCGCCUCUACUCCAAAUUUCAGCUUCACCCGCCUCUACUCCAAUUUUGAGCUUCCCAUUUCCAUUUUAGCUUCAGCCAAAAAACGCUUUCAGGUGACUUUUGUACUAACUAUUUGGACCUUUCUUUAUAAAAACAAUGCCUUCUCUAGUAUAUCUUUUUUCUUUUCUCCAUCUUUGUGUAAUUAAAGUUGUUUUUUAUUUUGAGUUUUUAGCUCACAAGUUGUAUUAAAACUUUAUUUGUUGCAUUAAAAGUUUAGAAUAUGAAAAUUUAGUGUUUUUGGAUAAUUUUGUUUACUAACACAGGUUUUUUUUAUCUCUACAAAAAAUUAAUGUCCAAAAACUAAAAAGCUUAUUAAAAAUAUGUUCAUGAUUCAAAAAAAAUCUUUUAAUGUAAAUAUUUUUGGUAUUAAUUUAAUAAUUUUAUGAAUUAUGUACGAAUUAUGGUUUGACAAGACCUAACAAUACUGUUUAGUUGAUCAAAUAACCAAAAUAGUUUGCUAAUACAUUCAUGACACACUAAAUGUUUUUGGUACAAGUACCGAUCCAUAAACCAUAAACAAUGUGACUAUUGUAAUUAAUAAUAAACUCUACUCAUCCAAUUGGUUUACUAGUUGAUAAUAAACUAGUUGAUCAAAUAACCAAAAUGGUUUACUAAUACAUGCAUGAAACACUAAAUCUAUUUGAUACAUGUAUUGAUUCAUAAACCAUAAACAAUUUGAUUAUUGUAAAUUAUAAUACAUAACAAAUUCCAGUCAUGGAAUUGUCAAGAUUUUUACUUAAUUUCAUAUUAAAUUUUAUUAUUUUCUUCCAUUAUUUUCAAACUAUAUUAAUCAGUAAUUUCCCAUAUGUUGUCAAGAGAACUAAAUAAUGAAUUCAUGAUAUUUUUUUAACUUUAUAACAGUGUAUUUGCUAUGAUUGGAAUAAUUAAAAAAAUAGGUAAACAUUGUUUUUUACAAUACCUUCGUCAUUUUGCUAAUGAUAAACACAACCUAAAGUGUAAAAGCAUAGGGUGCCAUAAUAGAAUUAAUAAAACCUUUCUUUAUCACAUACGAGACUAAAUUGCAAAAGAUAAGGUGUCAUGGUAGAGUUAAUGAGAUUAGUUUACCAAAUAAGGGGCUAAAAUAUAAAAGUUCAGGUGUCAUAACUUAAUUAAUUAAAUUUACUUGCACCAUAUGGGCCAUAUAGAAAAAAUUAGGGUGGUAUAUGGGGUUAAAAUGUAAAAGCUAGGGUGUCAUCACAAAAUUAAUAAAAUUUAUUUACAACACAUGGGCCAUACUAAAAAAAUUAAGGUGGUAUAUAGGGCCAAAAUGUAAAAGUUAGGGUGUCAUAGUAGAAUUAAUAAAAUUUAUUUACAACAUAUGGGUCAUAUUGAAAAAAUUAGGGUGACAUGGUAGAAUUAGUAAAAGUGAGAUGGGAAUAAAUGCUUUGGAUAGUGACGACUAGUUGUUGUCAGUAAUUUAGAACUGACAACCAUAUUGUGACGAUAUUUCAAGUUGUCAUUGUAAGACGAGUUUCAGUAACAACAUGUUUUCCAGUCGUCACAAUGGUAAUCUCCCACCACACUGGAUAGUUGUGCGUUAUCCAUAUUGUGGCGACUUAUUCCGUAUUGUCACUGUUGACGGGUGAACCCACGAUCAAGUAUGACGACAUUAAAGGUCGUCACUAAAGUUUUCAAUUGUGACAGCUUUCUCUCUUGUCACAGAGAAUGUUGUCACAAAAGGCCAAAUUUCUUAUAGUGAGUAUUGGAACCCUAAACCUAUUAUCCUAACCCCUUUGAAAUGCUACACAUGGACUUCCUGAUCUUGAAGGCAACGUGCUUUGUUUGGAUUGCAUUUUUCUAGAUUUUUUCUAGAAAAAUUAUUGUAACGAUUUGAUAUAUGUGAAGUAAAAAGGUGAUUGGAAAAUAUGUUCAUGAAAAACGUAGUAAUUUUUCUUUGAAAAAUUGAUGUCCAAACAAGUUUCUUCGUUUUUCUUGAUUUGAUAUCUUCACUCCAAGUUGCUGAUCUAUUUUUUUUCUUGAAGGCAACACUUUAUGAUUCACAUUAAUGUCAAAGAACGCCUUCAUUGCAGAGAGAAAUUUGGAUUAGCUCAAAAAAGUCAAAAAGGAAAAAGGAGUUUCAUACGUACAUGUCCUUUGGGAGAAACUAAUAGAGGUCAUCCAAUUAACGUGUUUGUCACACUAAUGCAACUGACUUUAUGUAUAAAAUGUUUUUUGAAUGCUCAAAUAUCUUAUUCAAUGACGUAAACUUUUAAAUGAUCAAAUUUUGACAAGGAACAGGAACAAAAAAAAUAAAAAAGAAAAAGAAAAAUCAAAGUCUGUACAAAGCUUUUUUUUUUUUCACAAAGUGUGCACCAUUUUUGGUAGCCAUCCAACACGCAUUGUGGACUAUUUUUUUUUAAGUAUUAAUUUUGUCCCUCAUGCUUUAGAAUUUGUUAUUCUCAUGGAAACCUAAUUUACUUGCUUGCUUCUUUAACGUUGACCUAUCAACUUUAAGGUAUGUGACAAAUUUCCAAUCCGUUUAAUGAUUUUAUGCCAAACAAUUUUAAAUUAAUUUAGAUUACAAAAGAGGGGAUCGUAAAUCAAAAAAUCAAUUUCACAACUAAUUGUUUAGUGAUUUUAACAAAAAAUUUUAAAUUAAUUUAGAUUACAAAAGAGAGGAUCGUAAAUUGAAAAAUCAAUUUCACAACUAACUGAUAGAGAAUCAAAAUUUCCAUGAAUUCAGCACAAAUUUUCCAUAGUAGGUCACGAUUUCCAUUGAUGGAUGGACUUAGACCCAACACGUUGGCGAAAUUUCUGCCCAACAUGGAGCAUUUUAUGUGGCAGUCAAGAUUUUAAAGGCUCUUUAUUUUGGCUUUCUUUGCUUCUCCUAAUUUUAAAUGCACAUUUGAAAUUCUUGAUCUGUUUAUUCCUCUUUUGGCCUCAAUCUUUUUAUAGUUUAAAAACCACCCAAACUUUUAUGCUUAUUAAAAAUUUAUCAAGUCAAAAUAAAAAGAGUUUAUUGAGUCUCAUUGAAUGUGUUAAACAAGGUUUUCACGACAUAAAGAAGUAUAGAUAUACACAACUAUACAUUAAUGUUGUAUACAUUAUUACUGUAAAGAUUUUUUAUACUAACAUGUGUAAAUAUAUGACAUAUGAGGAAAAAUUGAAUUCAAAAUUUAAACAGUGAUAAUAUGACAUUUAUCUAAACCUACUUGUAUGAAAAAAUCUCUACGCUUCAUAUAAACAAUGUAAAGAGUUUUCAUGAAACAAAGUUUAAAUUUCUUUUUAAUGUGUGUACCAGUCCACUUUAUUGAAGAACAAUCGCAAGCUCAUCUACUUAGCAAAGUGUGUGGAUCCUAUUUUGUAAGUUAUCAAUUUUUGGUUGGUUUAUUCUUGGACAUGGACUAAUCCAACCACAAGCGUGUGGAUCCUAUCUUCUAAGUUAUCAAGUUUUUGAUUGGUUUAUUCUUGGACAUGGACUAAUCCAACUAGCUAGUAACUAAGUGGUCCAUGCCAAUAAAUCUAAUACAAAUCCUUUUUUUUAGCAAAUUAUCCAGAUGGCCACUAAACUUUUGCAAUCAUCGAGUUUUGAUCACUCAACUAUUAAAAAUCUGGUUUUGGCCACUAAAUGUAUAAAGUUAAGACUCGAGGCCAUUCUGUUAGAUUUAGUCAUUAAGUUUGCCGAUCUGUCUGCUCGUGCGAUUUUCAAGACAAAAGAAAGGGUCAAUUUAGGGAGUUCAACAUGCAUCUUCUUCUUCUUAUAGUAUAAACCUAAAGAAGGCUCUGCUACUGCUGCAACAAGAGAGAAGGAAAUGGAAGAAGCCCAACUUGGAUUAGAGGAAGUAUGACCAAGCUCAAAGCCAUCAAGAGCCGUGCCAGCAAGAUCCAUGUUGCCUACAUCGAUGCCUCAUCUACCUACUUGUGUUUGUGGGAUUAAGAUAGUAAUGAUAACUUCAUGGACUGCACAAAAUUCGGGAAGAAGAAUUGCCAAAUGCCCAUUAGGGGAUGUUUGUAACAUCUUUCUAGAUACUUAAUUUGUUAUUGUGUAAGAAACAUAAUGAUUUUGUUUAUUUUUGAAGGAUGGAUGUUGCUAUUGGGGUUGGAUAGAUGAUGAAAUGUGCGCUCGAUCUACAAUGAUUAUACCGGGUCUACUCAGAAAGAUCAAUAGAAUGGAGGCAAAAAUGGCUGAAUUCAGAAAUGGUUAAUGGAACCAAAUAUCUUUUGUUUGAUUAGUUACUAGUUUCUGCCAUUCAUUUUUGGAUGUUGAAAUAACUCAUAUCCUGUGUUCUAACACCUUGGGUAGACUAAUUAGCAAUUUACAAACUUGCUGAUUUUCUUUUUUUUUUUUUUGUUUCUUUGCAUUCAUUUCUGGUUUAGUUAGCUCUCAUAAUUGUCAUUAUGGGUUGCAAUUUCAAUCAACAUUUGAAUGGCCUUUAUGUCAAACAAUAAUUCUAUGUUUUUUUGCCUUCUUUAUCUUUUUAUAUCUAGAAAUUGUCUUUCCUCCUUUUUGAGUUGUUCAUCUUGACAAUGCCUUGAGUUUAGUAAGUUAAGACUUUUCUUAUUCUAGGUAUCGGAAAUGGAUAAAAGCUGGAUAAAUGAUCCAAAUAUUUUGUCAAGUCAUUAUAAGUCUGGUCUUAAGGAUUUUAUUGAAUUUGCGAAGACCAAUGGUAUGGGAUUGGAUGGAAAAUUAUUUUGUCCAUGUAGGAGAUAUAGGAAUUCAAAGAGAAAAAGCAUUUCUCAAGUUGAAUCAGAUUUGUCAGAAAAAAGCUUUUGUAUGUAUUAUAAAAAUUGGGUCUUCCAUGGGGAACCAUUUUCUACACACUCUUAUAUGUCAAGUGGAAAGAACAAUAAUCUUGAUGAGAAUGGUGUUGGAGGUGAGACAGAUUUCCUCAAUGAAACUGUAUAUAAUGACUUUGAUAUGAAUGAAAAUGGUGAAUCUGAUGAGUUACCUGAUUUGUUGGAUGAGAUAAAAAAUGCACAUGAAUCAGGGAUAUCGAGUGAAUGGGAUUCAAAAAAUUUUGACAAAUUGUUAAAUGAUGCACAAAGAGAACUUUAUCCGGGAUGCAGAAAGUACUCCCUACUACAUUUCAUUGUUUCCUUUUUCCACAUCAAAGUGAUGAAUCAUGUGACUAACAAGGCAUUUGACAUGAUGCUGGAAUUUUUAAAAGAUGUGUUACCAAAAGGAGAAAUACUUCCAUCCAGUUUUUAUGGGGCCAUGAAAAUUCUAUCUGGUAUAGGUUUGGGGUAUCAAAAAAUUGAUGUCUGUAAAUUUGAUUGUGCAUUGUUUUGGAACGAAAAUGAAAAGAUGGACAAGUGUCCUAUUUGUAAAGAAUCAAGAUGGAAAGUCAAUAAUGGCAAGGAGAAGAAAGUUCCACAAAAGGUGAUGUGGUACUUUCCAUUAAAAGCUAGGUUGCAAAGACUUUUUAUGUCUUCUAAAACUGUUGAAGACAUGAGAUGGCAUGAGGGGAAACAGGUUAAAGAGGAAGGUAUCAUGAGACAUCUGGCUGAUUCUAUUGCUUGGAAGUAUUUUGAUAAACAAUAUCCUGAUUUUGCUAAAGAUUCUCGAAAUGUAAGACUUGGAUUGGCCACAGACGGAUUCAAUCCAUUUGGUAACAUGAGCAACUCAUACAGCAUGUGGCCAGUUAUUUUUGUACCUUACAAUUUGCCUGCAUAUAAAUUUAUGAGAAAGGAAUAUCUUAUUCUAUCACUUCUUAUUCCUGGUCCACAUGCCCUUGGAAAGGAGUUAGAUGUGUUCUUAAAGCUAGCAAUAGAUGAUUUGAAAGAUUUAUUUCAUGGAAUCAACACUUAUGAUGCAUAUAAUGGACAAAAGUUUCAAAUGUGUGCAGCAAUUUUAUGGAGUAAUCAGAUUUCCCCGCAUAUGGCUAUUUGUCUGGAUGGAGCACUAGUGGGUAUAAAGCAUGUCCAUGUUGUCUUGAUGAUACUGCUUCACAAAGACUAAGAGGCAAAAUAUGUUUCAUGGGACAUCGUCACUUUUUGAACCAUGACUACCCUUGGCGAAAGCAAAAAGCUCAUGUUGAAGGAACUAUUGAAACACGCUCCAAGCCAAAGGACUUUUCUGGAGAACAUGUUUUAAGACAUUUAAAUUGCUUGGCUGGUGUCUUUGGUGAGUUUGGUAAGAAGCUAGUUGCUCGGAAAAAAAGAGUUGACAAAAUUCAGGGUAAUUGGAGGAAAAAAAGUAUAUUUUUUGAGUUACCAUAUUGGAGAAAACUCACAAUGAGGCAUUGCCUAGAUGUGUUGCAUAUCCUUAAAAAUACAUGUGAAAGUUUAGUAGCAACAUUGUUGAACAUUCCUGAGAAGACAAAAGAUACUAAUAAAGCUCGUGAUGAUCUCGCUUGACAUGGGAAUAAGACAUGAACUAUACUUACAUGAUGAUGGUAAAAGGAAAACAAAGCCUCCAGCCUUGUAUGUGCUGUUUUCAAGUGAGAGAAAAGGAUUUUGUGAUUUUUUGGGUUCAAUUAAGUUUCCUGAUGGGUAUGCUGCAAACAUUUCUAAGUGUGUUAAAGAUGGUAAACUGAUAGGACUUAAAACACAUGACUACCAUGUCCUCUUGCAACGACUUAUUCCAGCAAGCAUUCGUGGGUAUUUGUGUAAAGAAGUCAAUGAGACAAUUUUUGAGUUAAGUGAGUUUUUUCGAGAUUUGUGUUCUAAAACCCUGAAGAUGGAUGACUUGGAAAGGUUGGAGAAAAAUGCUCCAUUAAUAUUAUGUAAGCUGGAAAAAAUCUUUCCCCCUGCCUUCUUUUGACAUUAUGAUCUAUUUGAUUGUUCACUUGCCAAAGGAAGCAAAACUUGGUGGGCCAGUACAUACUAGGUGGAUGUUUCCAUUUGCAAGGUACAUCUUCCUUAUUUGUUUGACUAAAAAUUUUGUUAUUUAUGUAACAUUCUGUUUUGGGUGGAAAAUUAACUCUUGCUUUUGAAAAGGUAUCUCUCGGAUCCCUUAAAAAGUAUGUCCGCAAUCGUGCUCGUCCUGAAGGCUCGAUUGUAGAAGGAUAUAUUGCAAAUGAUUGCCUAACAUCAGUGGCGGAGCCAGAAAAAAAUCUCAGUGGGGGCAAAAAUAACACUAAAAUUUUUUAUCUACUCUUUUUUUUUAAUUUUUUGAGCAAAAAAUAAAUAAAUUCACUAACAAGUACAAAUGAUAUGUAUAUUCCAUGAAAAACAUAAAAAGACAAACUCAAAAUUAUUAAUGUAAUAAUAAUUUUAUUUAAAAACAAACUAAAUUAUUUACAAUUGUUCACGACGAGUUUUCAUAUUUUGAUAACGGUUUACAACUUUCUCAUUUUCAACUUCACGAAGUAUAUUUUUCUCAAUAUAAGUAACUAAACAAUCAUUCAUCCAAGUGUCUCUCAUUCUAUUUCGUAACCGAUUCUUCACUAUAUUCAUAGCUGAAAAAGCUCUUUCUACUGUAGCUGUAGCAACAGGCAAAAUCAAAGCCAACUUUAAGAGCAUAUAAACCAAUGGAUACACAAUAUCUCUCUUAGUCUCCACCAACCUUUGAGCUAGAUCAGAGAUUUUUCUUAAAUCGAGAAAUUCCUUAGCUGAUUUCAAGUCAUUAAUAUAAGUAUCCAAUUCAGUGUCAAGUGCAAGAAUAUCCAACUUGGAAAACUCACAAGGAUAAUGUUCUGCAAGACGAAUCAACUUUUUCUUAUCAAAUGCUGCAAAGGAAUCACUUGGGUUCAAGCAUGCCAUACACAGAAGCAACUCCAUAUUGAUUUCAUUGAAACGAUUGUUGAGUUCUUGGAAUUGUAAAUCUAUGACAGCACAAAAUAGCUCAACUCGAUAGUGGUGAAGGUUUGUAAUUUGCUGAACUUUUCUUCGAGAUCUCCCACUAGUAAUGAACAUUUCAUCCAUUUUCGGAAUGAUGAUCUCAUGUUUUUCACAAAACAAACAAACUUCAUCAAGUAAAAAAUCCCAUCCAUCUUCCCUAGUAGCUUGUAACUGUUGCUUGGAAACUUUGACCAGACCCAUAGCAUUCACAAUAUCUUGAUCCUUCCUUUGUAAUGCUUCAGAUAGUGCAUUCGUUAUUCCCAUGAUUUUCUUCAUCAAGUGUAAAAUAAAUGCAAAUUCAAAAGAUUGCAAAGAAUUAAGAAGUGCAUAUGCUUGACCUCUUUGCUCCACCAGGCCAUCAUUUUCAAUUAUCAAAAGAACAUCUAUUACAGAAUCAUACAUAAGAACCAACUUUAACAACGAGCCAAAAUGUGAACCCCAACGUGUAUCACAAGCUCUUUGAAGGCUAGUUUCUUGAUUUAAGCCCCGACCACUGACAAGAUCUCCAGUCAUUAGAUCAUCAACGACUUUCUUAAGGCGUUGUUCUCUAAGAAUUUCUUGUCUUUUAGAUGAACCUUCAAGAACAUGCACUAAGGUAGACAAUGUAUUAUACAUAGAAGAGACUUGGACAUGUUUCUUUGCAACCCCUACAAGUGACAAUUGCAGCUGAUGUGCAAAACAAUGAAUAUAAUAUGCAGAAUCAUUUUCCUUCAUGAUCAAAGUUUUUAAACCAUUAUAUUCACCUCGCAUGUUACUAGCACCAUCAUAACCUUGACCACAGAUUUGUGAUAUGCUCAAACCAUGCUUUGAAAAUAAAUCAUCAAUUGCUUUCUUAAGUGAAAGAGCAGUAGUAUCUCUUACAUGUAGAAUACCAAGAAAACGCUCAAUCACAUAUCCAUGUGAAUCCACGUAACGGAUAACAACUACUAAUUGCUCCUUUGUUGAUGCAUCACGAGAUUCAUCACAUAAAAUAGCAAACAAUCCAUGUCCAAUGUCAUUUACAAUAAUGCUUGUAGUCUCACUUGCCAAAGCAUUUGAAAUACCCUUUUGAAUAUCUGGAGCAAUGAGUUUGAGAUUUUUAGGGGCAUUUUCAAGAACAACCUUCUUUAUAUCAUCAUUAUGACCCGCAAGGAAGUGCAAAAGUUCAAGAAAAUUUCCCUGAUUUUCAGAGGUAUCAGAUUCAUCAUGACCACGAAAAGCCAAACCUUGAUGUAGGAGAAAUCUAGCACAAUCUAUUGAGGCUAAUAAAUGAGUCCGAUACUCAGCCUUCAUUUUCUCUGAUUGCUUAAAAAAUGCCACUUCGAUGUGCUGAUUUUGAUUUAAUAAACUUUGACAUUUACUCCAACUCAGAUUGUGUGCGCUAUUAGGACCACCAACAUGAACAUCAAAUCUAUUCUUUUUUUUUCCAAUUUGUGAAUCCUUCCUUAAUGAAACUAUCACCACCAGAUUGUUCACCCACAUCUGGUCUAUAUAGAUAACAACAUAAGCAAUAAACGGCAUCUUUUUCAAUACUAUAUUCUAACCAAUUCUUGUAAUCAUCAAACCAGCCCCGAACAAAUCGACGCAUCUUUUUUCCUAUCUUUCUUUGUGGAAAAACAUGCUCAUGAGGUUGACAUGGUCCCUUUUGUAAGUAAUAUCUCCGAAUUUCAUCUUGAAGGUUUGGAUGAUAAUCCCCAAUUUUUUUUCUUUGGGCUGGAUCCGCAGGUAAUUCAUCUAAGUUAAUUUCCAAGUAACUUCUUUUAUUGUCAUUUUUUGUACUUUCAUUAUCCUUGGCUUCUUCUUUAUUAGAUGACUCUUUUUCCAUUGAUUUCCUUUUGAAAUAUCUCUCCAUAGCUAAAGAAAUCAAAAUCAAUAUAUAAGAUACUAAUCCAAUUAAAAUAUUAAAUGUACAAUAAAAUCUAAUAAUCUAUCCAAGAACUAUUUUACAAGUUAAAGUUAUUUAUUAAAUCAUUAAUCACAACUUAUUUAUUUAUUACUAUAUCAAAUCAUUAAUCACAAUAUAUGAACCUAAUCAAGUUAAUUAGACAAAAGGAUCCAUACAAGAAUAAUUUAAAAGUUAAAAGUAUAUGUCAAAUGGCCCUCUAUUCAUCAUUACAUUAACUCCAAAUAAGAAACUAAUCAAGGAAAAUAAAAAAUAAAUUAUAAAUCUAUAAAAUCACCAUUUCACAAGUUAAAAUAUUUAUCAAAUAACCCAUUUAUUAGUUAUUACAUUAACUAAUCAAUUUUCAAAUUUCUCUAAAAUAGUAAUAGUCUCAUGCUCUAGAAAUAUAUUUGCAAACAAAUUUAAAAUAAUAAUAAGAAGUAAUUGUUUAGAACCUGAUUUUGAUGGUCUCCCAAAAUUGGUGAAAAGAGUUGCAAAUCAGUGGUGGACCCAAGUCCCUUUACUUCUUUUGUGCCCCGUAUCACGUUAUUUAAUUGGAAAGAAGUCAGCUUCAAGGACUGGUUUCUUGCAGUUGAACUGAAGAAAGCAGGUCCUGGUUUUCAAAAAGCCUACUCCUUUAAUGGAACACUGCGUGACUGCGUGAAGAAGUCAACAACACCAUUUUCAUGACAGAAAACCAGGAUUGGACUAUUUGAUGGGAGAGACCAUUUUCAGUGGGGACAACUAAGAGUCAGUAGAGGAAAGGAAAAUUGGGGAGUGGGGGACAAAGGAAGUAAAUGAUUAAUGAUGAUUGGAUGAAGUAAUAAAAAGAAAGAGUAGUUAGUUGGAUGUGGAAGAAGAGGAGUCGUGGGUUGUGAAGUGAAAUGGGGGACCACAGGAGUAAAGGGAACUUGGGGAGUGGGGACCAAAAGUAAUGACUGAUAUAAUUGGUAUUUGGUCCUUAGAGGAGGAAAGUGAAUAAUAUAAAUUUUGUGACCCAUUCUUUCAUAUUUUUUUAAAAAAAAUUCUGGGGGCACCACUAAAAUUAUGUCAAAAUUAUAAGAGUAUUAUAGAAAUUUAAGGGGGGCAGUGGGGGCCCGUGCCCCCCCUUUAAAUCCGCCCUGCCUAACAUUCAUGUCCAAAUAUCUCCAUGGCAUUGAAACAAAAUUCACCCAUAAGAGAUGCAACUAUGACUAUAAUCAGGAUAAGGCAGAGGAGCUGGUGGUUUUCUCACUAACUGUUCGCCCAUUUGGACUUGUUACACUUCCUACUAAAUUAUCUCAAGUUGAACUAGAUGUGGCUCAUAAAUUUAUAUUGAAUAGCUGUGAUGAAAUAGAAGAGUACAGAAUGUAAGUGCAAUAUGUAUUUCCUGAAUUAUAUUUUAAAUAUUACUUCAUGUGGUUUAUUUUACUUUAUAUUGAUAAUACAAUCUGAAUUUCAGUAAGCAUAAAGAGAUGCUGCAAAGGAUUCAUCCUGAAAAUGUUGACAGCAGACAUGAAGAUCAAUUCACAAAGUGGUUCAAAGAUCAUGUAAGUUAUACAUAUUAUAAAAAUGAGUUUAUUAGUUAUUGAAAACUGACUAAUAGAGACUCGUUUUCUAUUUUAUAGAUAAAUUAGUUGCACAUUAAUAAAUCAGUGAAUGUUUUUGAAGAGCUGUAGGCAUUAGCAAAUGGUCCUACACCUUUCAUGACAAAGCAUUACUCAGGGUGCAUUGUAAAUGAAGUUCAUUUCCACACAAGAGAUCGGGAUGAUUGCUGUACAAAACAGAAUAGUGGCUUAGUUGUUGAGGGUGACCAUAAAGGAAAACACAUUGACUUUUAUGGCUUUGUUAAGGCUGUGGUUGAGCUGACCUUUUUUCAUGCAUACAAGGUGGUCUUGCUUCAAUGUGAAUGGUAUAACACAGGUAGCACAAACACAAUGAAGAGUGAUAGGCACUUUGAGACCAUCAAUAUUAGAUCACGUUGGUAUCAAAAUGAUCCAUUUGUUUUACCAAAUCAAGUCCAACAAGUCUUCUAUAUUGGUGAUACGAAUUUGGAUAGACAUUGGUGAAUUGUACUACGUGUUCAACAUAGGCAUUUGUGGAACCUAUUAGAUUUGGAAGAGAACGAUGAAGAUGUGCUGAAUGGAGAUACAAGUUUUUUGGAUGAACUAUUGCAAUAGAAUGAAACAAGAACUGUUGUGCUUGUUGUCGAAGAUGAUGAACUAGGCCUCUUAAGCAGACAAGGUUUUGAAAUUGAAGUUGUUCUGGAGAAUCCUUUGCAUACUUGCACUGGUGAAGAAGACUAUGGUGAAGAAGACAAUGCUUUUAAAGAAGAUGGCAUGCUUAUUGAAUCUUCUGAUAGCGAUGAAACCAUAGACAUUGAUAUGGAUUUAGAUAAUACUUAAGAAAUAGCAUAGAAAUGUCAAGUGGAAAGGUUUUUUGCAUUGUAGAAGAAAGUGUUACUUUCUAUGGUUUUAGGCAAUAUUGAUCAAAUUGAUAUCCUUUUCAUGGUUUUAACUCUUUGUUAAGUUUUUGGUAUAACUUAAAUAUUGAUCUCUGUUUAUAAUAUGACAUCAAUAUUUUACUAAUGUGACUCAUUUUUUUUAUCAUAUAUUGUGUUAUUGCAGAUAGCACCUUCCGGAAAACGAUUGAAGAGAAACUGCCCACCUAAUACCAACUUGCAAUCUGAACAAUUGCCAACUUCAAACUCAACUUUGGAGCCUCAAUCAGCUACCACAAAUGAUGAUAUCCAGAUUAAUUCAAAUAAUAGUAAUCCUGCUCAAGCAAACACUAAUGGUAAGUGAAAAUGCUGAAUAAUGAUUUAAUUAUUACCAUUCAAUGCAUACAUCCUCUUUGUGAUAAUUCAUAAUAAGUCUCAACUAUCAUGUUUAACAAUUGUUCACAGAUCAAAGAAAGCAAAAAAAAAAAAAAAAAAAAAAAAAGGCAAGGGCCCAACCACAGGAAAAGUUAUCUAGAAGAUGAUACGAGCUAAUGUAAAUAAAAUUCAGUACUAAGAUGCGUACAUAUAUAAUAUUACUGUCUAUUCAAGAUUUUUUUUGUAUAAUCUGUUCCCUAGAAUUUCUAUUGGGUAUACCUGAAUAAUGCUUCAUUUGUUAAUAUUAAGGAGGCAAGCCACUGGAAAUUGUAUUUCUUGAAGGAUGUUGCAAACCAAUCAAUUAUGCUGCUCAACUUGCUAGUGGUGUAGGUUAUGUUGUAAGGCACCUCUCUUCACUGAAGGACAUACGCACAUAUGAUGACAUACCAAAUAAGAAAAAACAAAACCUAUAUGGUGGCUUGAUGGUACCAGAUUACAUAGUGUCUUUUAUAAUGACAUUCAACGUGUUAAUAUUUAUUUUGUUGACUUGACCAAUUCUAAGAAUGAUCCAUUUCUUAAUGGUAAUUUAUAGGGAUGGUUUGACUUCAAAGAUUGGGAAACUAAUCCCAAUGUGGAAAUUUAUGUAGAUGACAUGCUUCAGAAUAGCUACAGGUAGUGGAGGAAUACUAUGCACAUAGAUUAUAAGAUGUUGAAGGCAGCUGGAAAAGAUCCAUUUACCUCGUGUCCUUAUGACUGGAUUGAGCAAGAUGAGUGGAAAAAGUAUGUGUGAUUGGUUCGAAUAUCCUAUAUUCAAGGUGAUUGGUUCUAGUUUCAUGUACUUGCAUGAUCUUAAUCCUUUUUGUUGCCUUUUAUGUUUUGUCUAACUAUCUUUUUGGUGUUUAAUAGAAAAAAUCAGAAGCCAAUACAAAGAAUCGUGCCAUGUUACCCUAUCCGCACACUGGCAAUUCAAAAUCAAAUCAUGUUCGAGCACAAGAGAUGAUAUAUUACUGAUUUUUUUAUUUCCAUUUUGGUUUAUAUUUAUACUAGGAAGAAAACUAGAGCUAACUCAAGAUCUUUUAUGCUAUAAAAUAGGUUCCACCAAGUGUAAUUGAUGCUUGGACUGCUGCUCACAUAAAAAAGGACGGCCAAUUUGUGAAUAAUACUACAAAAUCCCUCGAUGUAAUUUUCACUAUAGUCGGCUGAUUCUAGUAGCUUUGUUUUUUUAUUACUAACAGGACAUUUACAUAUAUUAUACAUUUCAUGACUCCUUUAGUUAUAUGAAUCUAAUAUGUACAGGAUGAGUUAAAAGAAGAGAGAAGACAAUGCAUAGAGAAUGGAGAAACUGUCAAUGAAGUAAAAAUUAUGAAAAAUGUCUUAGGAAAGUAGGCUGGUCGUGCCAAAGGGUUGGGUAUGGGGGUUAUACCACCCAAAACUUCUCGCAAACCCGAAUCUUCAGCUAAUAGAGCACUACUUGAAGAACUAAAACAGUGCAAGGAGAAGAUUCAAAGCUAUGAGGAACGAAUUCAAGCACAACAUACCCAAAUCCAAAAUCUUGUACAAAGCCAGCAAGGGAUACAGGAAAUACUGCAAGAAUUCCUCGUUUGGAAACAGAAGCAGUGUGGAGGGUCUUCCUAGUAAUGGUGAGUUUGUAGAUCUUUAUUCAAAACAAAUGUAUUUAUGUGCAAUUACUUACUAUUGUGGAACUUGAGUUAUGUUAUGAUUUGGAUUUCUUGGUGUAUUAUUAGUUACCUGCAGCAUAGUAAUUAUUAGUAAUUAUUCUUGUACAAGUUAAUGCAUUGCUUGUACUUAUGAUUAGGUGGUCCCUAAGCAAUUUGUAGUGAUCAUCCAUGCAUCAUAACAAAAAUACAUCUUUUGCAUGCCAUUCUAUUAUUUCUCUGAUUUCAGAUUUUUCUUGGUUUUAUUGUACAGGUUUGGGAUGAACUUGUGAAUUGCUUUUGGCUCAUACUAAAGAACUCCUCUAUUUUGAUAUCAUCCAUGUAUAGUAUUUUGUUGACCAUGGAAUUGAAGUCCAUCUUUUGAUUUUAGCAUAUGUUAGGUAUAUGGCAGUUAUCUAGGGAGAAAUAGCAAUAUUUAUAUUGGUUUUAAAUUGUGAAAUGGGAUGAUAUGUAAAUGUUUGACAUGAUUAACUUUUGUGGUUUGACAUAUUAUGGUUGCCUACUAAUGAUAAUUUGUGAAGUUUUGGUUGAUAUUUUGCUUGCAUACUUUUAUAUUUUGAUUGGGUGAGUGUCUAAAUAGAUGAUAUGGUUACUUUGUUAUCGCUAAAAUUGCUAGGCUUAAAAGUGAUGCAGCUGUCAUCAAGAAAAAUGACGUUGUAUUGUCAUUAAAGUUUCCCAACAAGUUUCAAUGCAUGACUAUUCUUGACAAUCGAAAAUUUAGUGACAAAGUUCAGGGUCUUUCUUGACAAAGGCUCGUCAAGAAUAUGAGGUCUUUUCUUGACGACCAAAUCAUCACUAUUACCUUUCCUAAUGAUGUGUCAUAGAAAAUGACACUUUUCCUGAUGAAAAUUCCAAUAGUUGUCAGGAAAACCUUUUGCCGACGGUGUAUAGGUGACCAAUCUUCUCUGACGACAUUGGUGUCACGAAAACUUUUCUUGAUGAAAUACGUAUCUUUUCUUGACAAAAAUUUUUGUCACUAGAAAUCUUUUUUUUUUUUGUAGUGGACUGAGGUACCUCCGUCAAUCACUACCCUAAUUGAGAAAUAAUUUUAUGUACGUCCGUAAGAUUUAAUUUUUCAAUUACCUUAUGUAUUAAAGGAGCUCUAUUCUAACCAAAUAACACACUAUCAGGAUUAUUUUAGAUAGUCUGCGUACUCCCCUAACACAAAUCCAAUCAUGCCAGUUGUCACCAUUUUAGAGCAAUUAAACAAUUAUAAAUUUAACACUAAUUGACAUCAGGUUGCUAAAUUAAUUCAACGUCUGGGACCAGGAUAUUUAAUUAACAAAACAACCAUAAACAUUACAAAUAGAGAAUAUGCAAAUACCAGUGAAUAAGAGGAAUAAAUAAAAUUAAUUCAAUAUCACAAAUUUUAGAUGAACCAAAACCUCCGUUGUUCCUUGACUAGAAAAAGAGAUUAGUUCAUCCCUAUUGAGAAGAAUCCAUACAAGAUUUUAGAAGUAAUGAUCGCGGCCAUUGUCUUCAAUUCGCCGAGAAGAAACGAUGGAAUAAGAAUAUUUUGUCAAAAGUUACAAAGUCAAGGGUUGACUCCUUGUUUUUCUACUUGGUUCCUUUGAUACGUAGGAACCAGUAGCUACUAAAAACAUGAUAAAGUCAAUCUCCAAAGAGGAGUCAAGAAUGGAGCUUCAGAUCCUCUGUCCCCAAAAUAGUCCAUAUCCCCUCUGUCCCUUAUUUGUAUAGCUGCUACGUGUCUCUAGCCUUUUGUUAACCUAAACUCAAAUAAAAUCGAUAAUAAUCGGUUUACAAGUUUUGUUAACCCAAAUUCAAACAAACCGAUAAUAGUUGAUAGACAGGUUUACUCAAAAUCAAUUAAAACAGAUAACUCAAAACUAUUUUUUAUUUUCUUUUUAACAAAAAAGAGUCUUGUUGAUCAUAAACAUAGAAAUCAACUAAAACUCUUCUUUAUUUUUUACUCCAAAUCAUCUUUUUCUUAAACCCUAACAAGUAUUUUGAUUCACUCAUUAUAUCUUUAAUCUUGCAGCAAAAACGCUCAAAGGAUCAAGUAGCAAGAUUCAAUCAUCUUUAUCCAGGUAAAACAAAUCAAUAGAUCAUGUAUGCCAAUUUUACAAUAUAUUUGAUUCAUGAUUUGUCUUGUCAUAUUUGAAAUGACCUGUAUUUAUUGGAACUUGCAUGCGAUGGGAACAAUAUUGUACAAUCCCCUCUCAACAUCAUUGUUCAUAUAAGUAUCUAUAUGCACUGUGUAGUUACUAUAGUUCAUAAACUAGUAUCUAAUUGAAGUAAAGCCUUUAGUAAUGCCGUAAAGCCCUUAGUAAUGCCGUAAAGCCCCUUUCAGUAAUAAACUAGUACAAUCCCCUUUCAGUAAUAAACUAGUACAAUCCCCUUUCAGUAAUACCGUAAAGCCUUUAGUAGUCAAAGUGAUUGAAGUAAACUUUUUCAAUGAUAAACAUUAUAGUUAAAAGCUUUUAUUUUUGACAAAUGUCAUUCGAUAUUUAAGCAGGUUUAUUUGUAUUUAAUUACGUCGUAGAUAUUGAACAAUUGUUUACUUUUGUCUUUUUACUAUUUUUUGUGGAAAAUUCUUGUAAUGAGUUAAAAAUUAAUUUUGCAAAAAAAAAAAAAAGCACUGAUACGAAAUGGUAAAGUUAACUAUUAAAAUCUUUUAAAAUUGUAGAUCAUGGAGGGUGAUGAUUCCCUUGAGAGCAAGUUCCCACCUUGUCGUAAAUUGGAAUUUAUAGAUGACACUCAACAUCAUCACAGCUCUCAGACAAUCAAUGAAGAUACAGACAUUGAGCUUAUUGGUGCAUCAAGUUCAAACAAAGAGACUGAUAUCAAUUCAAUUCAUCCCUCUAUCCCUAAAGAAGAAAUCCCUCUGGUAGGUAUGGAAUUUGACAGUGAAGAAGCAGCUGGUCAAUUUUACUUAGCAUAUGCUAAGAAGGUUGGGUUCGGCACUAGAAAAGGCAAAUUGCAUAAAGACAAAAAUGGUAAAAUAAUUGAUAGGACAUUUUGUUGUAGUGCCGAAGGCAAACGAGGGGCAGAUAAAAGAGAUGUCAAUGUAAAAAUCCAUCAUCCUGAAACAAGAUUUGGUUGUUUGGCAAAAAUGAAAAUUAGUUGUAGCAAAAGUGAAAAAUAUCAUGUCAUUGAGUUUAUACCAGAACAUAAUCAUUAUCUUUGUAGUCCUCACAAACGCAUUUGUUCAGAGCACAUAGGAGAAUACAUGAAGCUCAUGUAAUAGAGAUUGAUAUGGCAAACAGUGUAGGAAUUGCACCAAAAGCAUCGCAUGAAUUUAUGGUAAAACAAGCUGGUGGACGGGAUAACUUGGGCUUUAUUCCUGAAGAUUAUAGGAAUUAUUUACGUUCAAAGAGGACAAGAGAUGUGAAAAUAGGGGAUACUGGAGGAGUGCUUGAAUAUUUACAGGGAAUGCAAUUAGAAGAUCCAAACUUUUUUUAUUCCAUUCAAGUUGAUAAAGAUGAUUUGAUGACUAAUAUAUUUGGGCUAAUGCUAGGAUGAAAGUUGACUAUGCCGAUUUUGGAGAUGUGGUUUGUUUCGAUACAACUUACAGAAAAAACUGUGAAGGUCGUCCUCUUGCACUCUUUGUUGGUGUGAACCAUCACAAGCAAACUAUUAUUUUUGGUGGUGCACUUUUAUAUGACGAGACAGCUCCGACUUUUGAAUGGUUAUUUGAUGUAUUUGCUAGCACUAUGUUAGGAAAAAAGCCAAAAAACCAUUCUGACAGACCAAGAUGCAGCAAUGGCUAAAGCAUUAGCUUCCAGAUGGCUAGAGACACAACAUCGAUUAUGUAUUUGGCACCUUUACCAAAAUGCUGCCAUACAUCUAAGUGGUGUUUUUGAAAAAUUCUCAGACUUUGCAGGUGACUUUGGUAAAUGCAUAUACGAUUUCGAAGAGGAGGAUAUUUUUGUGACUGAAUGGGAUAAAAUGCUACAGAGGUAUAAUCUUCAAGAUAAUGAUUGGCUGAAGAGAAUGUUCAAAUUGAAAGAAAAAUGGGCACUAGUCUAUGGCCGCCAGUCCUUUUGUGCUGAUAUUACUACGACACAGAGAAGUGAGAGUAUGAAUAGUGUCGUAAAAAGGUAUGUCAGCUAUAAAAAUAAUUUGCAUCAAUUUUUUGAUCAUUUUUAAAAUUUGAUUGAUAGUCAUCGAUAUGAAGAGUUAAAGGCUGAUUUCAGAGCAAGUAUAAGUACUCCUGUAUUAUCUUUUCCAGUUCAAAUAUUAAAGCAUGCAGCAAAUAUUUAUAGCCCGGAAGUGUUCAAGUUAUUUUAGAAUGAAUUAUGUAAAGCUCAUGAUAGCAGCUUACUUAUUUUUAGCGAGAUCGGAACAAUAAUCCAUUAUCAUGUCACUUCUUAUGAAAAAACAAAUCAUCAUGUUGUUAAAUAUGACUCUUUGGAUGGCACGGUACACUGUAGCUGCAAAAAAUUUGAGUGUUGUGGGAUACUGUGUUCUCAUGCCCUGAAAGUUCUUACCACAAGAAAUGUUGUCAAAGUUCCACAGCCAUACAUAAUGAAGAGAUGGACAAAGAAAGCAAAAGUUGGGGUUAUGCAAAGUCCAGGCUUGUCUAAGAGCAAUAACACACUGAAUCCGAAAGUAAUGGUGAAUAUGAGGUAUAGAAACUUGUGCAAGUUUCACAAUCAAUUGGUUACAAGAGCAGCGGAAACAGAAGAAACAUAUGAAAUAGCUAAAGACGGUCUUGUGAAGCUGUUUGAGAAGGUUAAUGAAAAGUUACAGAGCAAAAAUUUGACAUUUGAAGGCUCAAGUGAAAGGACGAAUUAUUUGAAAGAAAAAGAUCCAGCUAUUCACGAAGAAACUGGUAUAAAAGUCAAAGGAAUAAUGGCAAAAAAGAAAAUUAUUUCGGGUAAGAGAUUGAAGAAUGGAUUAGAAAAGACAUCGAGAAAGAGAAAGUCACAUAGUAGAAAAUCAGCUGCAACAACUGUGGUCUUAACUGCCGAAGUUCCAACCCUUGCUCAGGUACAUAGUUAUUUUUCAAUUGAUAAACCAUACCGGCUUUUCAUGUUUUUACUGGUAGGCUUCAGAAGAAGUCAUUCAUAGAGGAUAUAGGUUUGGACAAGAUUGUCAAGUCCAUCUAGUACCAUCAGCCAUGGGGUUGUUUGUAUGAAAAGCAAGCUUUAAUUAGAUAUUACGAUGAUAUAAUUUUUUUUUGAGUCUUGAUGAUAUAAUUAUUCUUUUAUAUUUUUUAUUUUUUAUUUUUAAGCAUGUGCAUGAAGGUCCUACUGGUAGUGGAGAUGGUUUAAACAUAUGGGAACCAAAUAGCCAACGUAUUUUGUGCCCAACGCAAUUGUCACAGGUAAUAUUUUCUUGUUUAUAAUUAAAUUUUAGUUAUUCCAAUAAUUCACUUGUUUGCAAAAAAUAGUUAUUUAAUCUAAAAUUUAAUUUUUUGUUAUUUGUGGAGACAAAAUUUCUAACCAAAAAAGAAAACAAAAAGAUCGGUUCAGGUGAUGCUAGCAUGGCUCAAGCAAUUUAUCCUGAACAAGUGACCUUCGUGCAGCCAUUUGGUUUAAAUAAGGUGUGUUUGCUAUGUUCUUCUAAUUGAGUUACUAUCAUAUGAUGCAAAACUUAUUGCAUAAGGCUUUUCAAGCACUUAAUUAUGUUCAUACCAUAAAUAAUUUUCUCUUUAUUGUUUUUUUUUUUAAAAAUAGAUUCCAGUUUUAGCUCCAAAUCAAAUGAACCAAGUUGCACAUUUUAAUUUUCUUGAAGAGUUGCAAGAUUCUAUGAGAUUGACAGACUUACUUCAGGUAACUUAGUAAUUGUCCAUUGAUAGUAUUUGAUGUUAUGAGAAUUUCAUCUCAAUAUUUUAGUACUUAUGAUUAUUUUUUCUACAUUUAUAGGUUGAAGUAGGACACAAGUUCAGUGGAUCAAGUGUCAAUAACUUUAUAGACCUUAAUGUCAUUUCCAGCCAACCGAGUUCAAGUUUAGUUGCUUGUAAUGAAAAUUGCGGCUAUCCCAUGCCAUGUCCUGGUGGUUUUGUUUGUAGAUGCACAACUGAUGGAAAAUCCGACAAUCUUUAGAAGUUUUGAAUUAUGAAUAGGCAAGGGUUUGAUAUUACAAACCAACAUGAUAGACCAUGGUUAUUCAGGUAUUAACAGGGUUUUUAGGUGUACUUAGUAAGAGUGGUUGAAAUUUUAUUAUUAUUCUCUUAUUUUUAUCCAGCAGACGAUUUUUUGAGAAUCAAAUUCCAAUAUCUAACAUUCUUAUCAACCAUGUGUGUGUUUAUGUCAACUGAUUUAGCUCUUUCUAAUUUUUUUACAUCUCAUAAUUAUGUAAAUAUGAUGAUUUAAAAUUAAUUACUUAAUAGGUUUGAGUUAUCUGUUUUAAUUGAUUUUGAGUAAACCUGUCAAUUAACUAUUAUCGGUUUGUUUGAAUUUGGGUCAACAAAACUUGUAAACCGAUUAUUAUUGAUUUUAUUUGAGUUUGGAUUAACAAAAGGCUAGAGACACGUGGCAGCUAUACAAAUAAGGGACAGAGGGAACAUGGACUAUUUUGGGGACAGAGGAUCUGAAGCCCAAGAAUGGUGGCUACUUUUUCUCCCGCAAAGUUCCUAUCUAAUCUCUACUCCUAUACGGCUGCCAAGAGAAAUAAAAGGAAAGAGUCCUACUGCUUCCCAUCCACCAUACUGUCGUUAUCAGAAGAUAAGGAAACAAUCUUCAAUUCUGCUUUCCAUUGGUCUCGUGUCUCCUGCUAUCACUCAAACUUUUUUGCUAACUACCGUCAAAUUGGCAUCUUUUUAUGAUAUUUUAUUCCACUCCCCGUAAUAAAUACAAAUUUCCAAAAGUGAGUGGAAUAUGACAAUUAAUCCAUAUUUGGUAAGGUAACAGGGGAAAUUAAUUAUAAAAUAAAUGGUAAAAUUGCAACCUAUCACACAUUAAAUCCAUAAGCCUCUCAACAAAUAAUUUAGUGGGUGAGAUCCAUGAUGGGAUAAUGGAUCUGGUUGAUUUGCAAACUUUGAACCUUUCACAUAAUCAUUUGACUGAAAGGAUCCCCGAGAAGAUUGGCAACUUGAGUCACUUGAUCUAUCAAUGAAUGAACUCUUCGGUGCAAUCCCUGAAAGCUUAUCUGCUUUAAACUGGUUGAACUUCCUGAAUUUGUCACACAAUAAGCUAUCAGGGCCAAUACCAUCAGGGAAUCAAAUUCAGACCUUAACCGAUCCAUCUAUCCAUGAAGGAAACAGUGGACUCUGUGGCAAGUCACUCCCAAAUGACUGCCUGGAACAUAAAUUGCCUACGGAAAAUGGGCAAAUUCAUGAUGAUAUAGGCCACGACAAGUCUAAUUGGUCUUGGUUUUAUGCUGGUAUAGGACCGGGUUAUGCUGUCGGGCUAUUGGGAGUUUUGGGAAUCCUUAUUACGUGAUUGAAGACCAGAAAUUUCCAUUCCUUAACUUUUGGAACUUUUUAUCUUAAAAACUAGGUACCAAAACUUUAGUUGCUUUCUCUAGAUUCUCUCUUUCUAUUGGCAAUUAUUUUUACUCUCUCAAAAGUUUGAUUUCUAAUAAUUCUCCUCUAUUCUUCAUAUUUACAUUGCAUUUUCCUAUGUUUCUUUACAUUCCAUACUAUGAGAAUCUUAUUGAUUUUUAUUUACAACCGAUUAUAAGGAUGAUAGGAUGUGAAAUAAUUAUUUUUCUGUUCGCAUUAGAAUGCAUUAAUAAUUAUUUUUGCGUCAACAGAUUUAAACACUUUAGAAGAAUUCUAUACUUGUUUAUGCUAAUAAUUGAUUUAGUUGUUUAAUUUCUAAUUGAUAUACAUUCUAGCUUUUCUGCCAACAACUCUUAUGAAUUACCAACUAAUGAUUUUCAGGUAUUACAUUAAUUCUACCCACCUAAGUUUCAUUCUCGAAACUUAAUUUGACCAGAUUAGCAUAAAAACAAACUGCCCUUCCAAUUAUAUCACUUUACAUGAACAACUAUUAAUUAAACUACUAGUAUUUAGGGCACACACCAAUGUGUGUACACCUAAUAAAAAAACAUAUUAUUAAAAUUUUGAGUAAAUUUGUUGAAAUCAUUUUCAAAGGAAUUGGUUUUAUAUUUUUGACAUUGAGGAUUGGAAAAUUCAUGAAAAUAAGUGUACAAAUAGAUAGUUAUUUAGCAGUAAUCCAUAUCCAUAAUCGAUAGUUGAUUAUUGGGUAGCUAGCAAGGGUAGUUAAAAAAUAAUAUAAAAUGACAAAAUUUUAUUUAUACCAAAAGCCCUCUCCCCCUUGAUAUAUUUACAACAAAAGCUUUCUCCACCUUUACAGAGAGCAUAGAUACUAUUUACUCAAGGACAAUUCAUGUCCCCCCCCUCUCCUUCCCCUCCUCGCCUUUUUGGUCAAUCAUCAACUCUUAUUACUACUCCUACUCUAACCAAUAUUAGGACCAAUGGGGCUGGAGGAAGAAGAUCUCACCUGUAUAUCAAAGAGGUUCACUAGGCCAAAGAAGGGUUGCUUCAUGUUCAAAUCCGCUAUUCUUUUUACAAGGCCAUAGAAAUUUCAAACACCUGAUGCCCAUUUCGUUUCCCUAGCGCUAACAUAAAUCCAAACAUCAACAAGUAAUUCGACUUAAUUAACCUUAUUUUCAUUUGAACUUUAGUUAUUUCUAAAGUGAUAAUCAUGUCUUACUGUUCAUUAAAGUAAUAUACUAUCAACUAAAACUUCACUAGUAUAUUCCGUGCUCUCAUUUUCUGAUUUGCCAGAUUCUCAGUUGCACCCUGAAUUUAUUUCAUACUACAUGCCAUCACAGUGGAUCUAGAAAUAUUAUAACAUAACCACCUAGAAAUUUCUUCAAGAUAUAAUCCUUUUCAAUAACAUCACCCACUCAUGAUUUUCAAUCUAGAAUUACCUGUAGUUUUAAGAUUCAAAUCAAGUGAUCAUAAAGCCAUGUGAGAAACACUAAUGAACAUAAAUUAAAUUUCUAACUCAUCGAUUGCCAUAAAUGGUCCUAUUAGAAACUAAUUCUUGCAACCAAUAAUUGGUAGAUAUGCAAUAAAAAUGUGUCCUAGGCCUCCUAAUCUUCUAAACAAACAUGUAAGAGUAGAAGGGGUUUCAUGAACAUCCUCCCAAUGAGGAAUGUAAUAUGAACGGAUCCCAAUCACGAAUUAAAGAUUCGUGAAAAAAGAGAUAAACUCUAAAAAAUUGGGCAAUUCCAAUAAAGUUUGAUAAAAGUUGAUAAGAGAAUGAGAUAUUACUUAGACCCUAUUUGGCAAAUAACUCCCAAUAAAUAUUUGGGUGAAACUUAGGUCUCGUUUGGCAAAUAAGUUUUUUGAGUGUUUGUCUAAAAUUUUAUUAUAACUUACUGUAAAAAUUGUAGGAAAAAAUUUUAAAAUGAAAAGCUUUUUUCUUUUCUUUUUAUUUCUUUUGCUUUUUUUUUCUUUCUUUCUUUCUUUGUUCUUUUCUUUCCUUUCUUCUUCUUCUCCCUUUCCCGUCACCUGCCAUCUCUCCCUUCCAGUUGGAACAAGAAUUUUUUUUGCACUUUUCUCUCUCCCCUCCCCUCUCCCCCUCUUUCUCGGGUGCUUUCUAGUCGUGUGACUAGAUCGGGCAAAGGGGUAAGGGAAGGGUGGUGGGGGAGGGAGAAGGUGGGAGAUAGGUGGUGGGGAAGAGGGGAGGAGAGGGGGAGAGGAGAGGAAGAGGAAGAAGAGAGAGAGAAAAAAAAGAGGUGGCCUUCGGUGCCGGUCGAUCUUGGCCGGCCGUGAGGUGGUGGUGGGUUGAGGUGGAAGUAGAAAGGAGGAAGAAAAUUUUUUUUGUGUGUUUUGAAUAUUUUGAAGUAUGUAUUGAGGAGUUUUUGAGAUUAUUGUAAUUAAAGUUGUUAAAAAAUUAGAAAACAAACUUAACCAAAAAUUCAUUUGCCAAAUAGGCCAUUAGUUCUAGGAAUGCUUUGAAAAUCCUUGUUAGAGGGAUAGUGAAAUUCUUGUUAUCCAUUAAUAUCUAAGGUCAUGUUAUUCAAUAAUUGUAAUUGUGAAAAUUUUUCUCUUUUUUGAUUGAUUUUUAUUCAUAAAUUCAAGCUAUUAUUCAAAUUAUAGUAAUUUAUUGAUGAAUUUGGAUUAUUUAUUGUUGAAUUUGCCUAGGUUUAAAGUUAAUUGAAGAUGCAUAAAAGUUUCAUAAAUAAGGCAGCCCGUUUCGACAUUGCUUUCGAUGAUGUGUGCAUUAUGUUUGUGAACUUUAAUGACACAAAGGGGCAAGCUACUCCUACUUCUGCUACUUAUUUUGCAUUUGGGGACGAGUCCUGCAUCUCGCGCGGGAGUUGAUACCGGCGUAAUAAAAUAGUAAUCCAAUAUGCAAUUAACGAAUUUCUUAUGUUUAGUUAAGAAGAAAGCGGAAGAAAACAAGAAUAUGAGAACAGAUGGAAAUUAAUGCAAAACAAAAGGAAAAAGAAGGCAAAUUACACUGUAUUUCCUAUGAUUUAGUAUUUUUGUACAUAACGAUCCUAUAAUUUUAAAAGUUAUAUAUAAUCCCCUCAUAAUUUGGAUUAAAGUAUCAAAAUAAUAGAAAUAAUCAUUCGUAAAGGAACAUAUAAAAAUGUCGAAAUUACUCUUAUUUAAAAACUCAAAUGGUUGAAGUAAUCAACAUAUAUAAACAUAAUAUGCAUGACACUCUUACCCCGUACGAUUUUAUAUUUUAUGAUAUAACCCCCUUAUGAUUUAAUGUUUUACUAUAUAACUCCCUUAUUGUUUUCACUAUAUGUACAUAACUCGCUUGUAGUCAAUAGAUAAUUUUCAACUUUAUAUAGGGGCAUUUUUUAUAUUUUAAUUGAUUCCAUUAUAAAUUACAAAUUUCGUUACUUUGAUACUUUAAUUCAAAUCAUGAGGAAAUUAUCUAUAACUUUUAAAAUUAUAAGAAGGUUAUGUACAAAAAAAAUACUAAAUUAUAGGGGGAUAAAAUGUAAUUAGCCUGUAUGCAGCAUCCCGCCCUUUUCCUGUCACUGGAUUGGGAGGACUGUAGUAUGAAAGGCUGCAAGCAACUGUAGUACAAUACUACUACUUCAUCAUUGUUAGCUAGUGUUAUUAUUGAUUUGGUAGUAGUAUUCCUGUCACUUUUGCUGCAUUAAAUAACCUUAUUAAUCAAUUGUCACUUGCGAGAAAGCUUGAUAAAAAAAAAAAUCAUCUCCUAAAAUAAGUUGGCUGUGACAGGAAUGGGAGAGGGGUAAUGACAAUCGUUAGUAGAAUCGUUUCGAAACGAUGUAAAAGUGAAUCAACAGGCAAGUUAUCAAAUAUUUGUAAUAAACUCUUAAAACACACAUGUUAUAUACUUAAACUACUGUUCACGACGACCCUCCAAGUUAGCCAACCUUUACAACAUGAAUUUUUAUGUUAUUGGAAUCUGAGUCAUGAACCUUCCGGAACGUUCAUCAAUCUAACAAAAACACUUGCCUUGUUGUAAAGUAAACUAGAAAAAUUGCCGAAUAAUAAACUAAAUACCAUCCGUUAGCCAACCACAAGUGAUUCUUAGACUGUUUAUUCCAACAAAUUGCCGAAUAAUGAUAUAAUGAAGUAUGUAACUACUUUUUGCUGCUGUUUAAGGGAUUCAGAUUUUCUAGUGUCGGCAGUGUACACUUAGUGGUGGCUGCACUUAGUGGUAGCUGAUGAGUAGGUUUUGAAAUUAGAAAGAUAGAUUGAAUAGAUGAUACAUGUUUUCAUCGAGUGAUAAAAUUUACUAUGUAUUCUGUAGUUAUUGUUGUAGUAUCUAUUUACAUAUUUUGUCUUUAACAUUUAAUAUUUACGUCAAUUAUAUUCUGUAGUUGUUGUUGUAAUGAUUUCCACGAAGACUUCAAGUCAUCGUGAGCUAUUGUUCCGAAUUAACCCUUGAGGUUCUUGCGUGAAUAUGUUUGUACUGGAGAACGAAUAUGUAUAUCUAAUGGUGAUACAUAGGACAACUGAACGAAAAAUACUCAGAAACAAAACCAUGAUCUUCGCGCUAUAUAACAUAUGUUUUGCUGAAGAACAGACAGAAAUUCAAAAUCAAACCCGUACGAUUGAGCUUCAUGCGACAAUUUUAUUUAAUGUGGGCAUGGAUAACCAACCCAUUGUUUAUUUAUUUACCAUUUUCGUCUCCGGCAUUAACAAGCAGGAGUACAUUUGAUUUCAUCCCUCCUUCAGUAGAUAGCGAUCGAGAGGAAGGAACUGAUCAGGCAGCACGAGCAUAGGACCGUAGCAGGGAUUGGAAAUUUACCUCGUGAUGAAGGUAGGGGAAAACCAUGAUGCCUCCAUAAACAGGAGAGUUCUGCAGAUAGGGAAGAACAUAAUAAACUAGCACAUUAGGUGGGAUGUAACCGCCCUCAGGUGCGAUAUCUUUUGAGAUAGGUAUUCCCAGGAACAAUAGAUUAACGCCUGGAUAAUCAGACCAAUUGUCCCAGCUCCGGAAGAGGAGACUGGUAUCGUUUGGAGGCUUAAACUGACAAGAUGGGUUGUCGAAAAAUUCCACCCGCACCUGAUCAACGACACCAGUUCUGAUAGUUGUGUCAAGAGCAGGGUCAGGAAUAGGACAUUCCGCAGCUACGGCUAAGAUGACAUUUGGGUAUCCCUUAAGUGCCCGAGCAAGAUCAUCCAAGUAAGUCGUGUUUCCGCUGUGGAUGUGAAGCUCUACGCCAUCUAAAACAGCUGUGCCGAAUGGACGGUCGCUUGAUUCACCGCCUAAGUAAGUGUUCCAGACAAAGGCUGCCACUUCUUGCGCAUCUUCGACGGAAGAAAGCCUCGGUUGUCCUGCGAGAGAAAUAAACACUUUGGUCUGAUGUUUCUGGCAAGAUUCUAUGUCUGAUGAGCUCGGCAAAGGAUGAAUUAUGUUCAAUUCAGGCAUCUGGCCGCUGCCAAAAUCUUCCAGAAAGGCAAUAUUCACGUCGGUAGCGAAUUCUCGCCUGCAGAACUCAGCCAAACUUGAUGGUUCUUUAUGGCCUCGGCCCCAGUAUUGGACAAUUCCGGCAGCUUCGGAGGACCCAAUCAGAGAAGCAAUCAACAGGAAUGUUAUUGCUGAGAACAGUGGUUGCAAAGAGGCAGCCAUUUUUUUUCUCUUUCUUUUCAGUGAUUUUUGCAGCUUUGCUUUGGUGAGUUCACUUGCACAAUGACUGACCAUUUUAUAGAUGAGUUUAUCUCAAGUGGAUGUUCAGCAUCUAGAAUAUCCAAACAUCCGUACAACAAAACGUGAAUGGCACGAUUUCUCAUUUCUGCUCUCAAAAAGGUGAAUGGUAUUAUUUUUGUGUUUCAAUAUUGCUAGAGACUACCGUUGUGCUCGCCUAACCUCAUCCACAACUGGACGAAGAAAGAUCUUUUUCUUUCUUUUUUUUUUCUUUUGGGACAUUACAUGGCAGCUAGGGGGGGGGGGAGUGGAUCCUUGAGAUUAAUGGGAAUUGAAUCAUCAUUGAAUUAGACGAGUGGUCCAAACAUCCUCUAAAUUUUAGAAGAAAUUGCAUAUCAAAUGAUAAUUGAUGAAAGAUAAAAUUCGAACCUCGAUAAGAGAAAACUAGGAGUCUUGUUUGAAAUGUAAAAUUUUCAUGAACAUUCUUGAAGUAAAAAGAGUGCUCAAGUAGCCUACGAAAUCCUUCAACUAUGGUACAAUAAAGUGAAAUGGGUGCCUUUCAAUGUGCAAUAAUGGUAGGGGCAACUAUUCUUCUAACUGCUGCUUCAAAUGCAAUUUUUAAUUUACACUUUUUACCAUCUCUCUAUAUCUUUAAAAAUUAAAGUAACCUGCACAACAUGCCCUUACUAUGUGCACAAAUAUUCAUACCGAUGUGCAAAACUUUGGAAUGGUCCUAGUUGUAUAUAUUAGUAAUAGUAGAAAUGUAAAGUUCAAUACUUCCACCUCAAAAGUAACUGCAAAAUAUGUCAGUUGGAAUGAUCCCAUUUAAAGUUCAGAUCACCCCUUAUUUAAUUAUGUUAAGUUCUUAAUAUUUUCCCAUUCAAUCCUUCAUUCAACAGCGGUGAUGGUGCUGUGACGUUUGGUCUUAAGCAAGAAAAUUUUUUUCCUCGCCCUCAGUGUGAAUGUGACUCUCAUAUAUAAAUAAUCUCAUAGCAAAACAUGUUCUUACUGAUCGCAGAAGUGAAGCUUGUACACAGGAAUGUAUAGAUUCCAGUUACAUCCAACUAAUCACUGUUUAAGCAUACGAAUUAGCCAUCACGGGCUAAGACACAGAGGCAAUUCCAGUUGGUUCUAGAUAAAGGGAUCUUCCUCUAACCUGCUGUCACAUCCUUUACAGGAGCCAAGACAGCAGGAACUAUGUCCACAGCCGAGAUAUGUCUCUGCUGAAACAUAGCCAAAUUCCUUGCUGUCCAUAGCUAGUAUAGGCUCAAAACCCUCUUCUCUUUCUUUGCUUCUUAAAUUCCACCCUUCAAUCCUAUGCUACUCAUCCUAUUUUUUAAGAAUUUUAAUUUAUUUAUUUUUUAAAAAAAUUGAUUCAUGUCUUCUGUUUGGAUCCAUGUCUUUGCUGCUUUUAAUUCCUUAAUUUAACGUAGCCCCAAACACGGCAUAUAAUAGUCACUCUCUUAAUAAAUGCAAUUAAUUAAUCAUACCAAAUAUAACGUUUGGAUUAGGUAUUGUAGCACACCUUAGUUUUAUUCUGUUCCCUAUUUUACUUAGUUUCAAACAUGCCCUAUAAUAAUCAACCCUCUAAUGAUGCAAUUAAAUAAAUAUACCAAAAAUAUCUAUACAUAUUUGAAACUAAACAUAAUUGUAUCCAUAACAAUCAAUAUAAAAAAUUAACUAAAAAACAAUCUUUGACUAACAUAAACUAAUAAUCUAAGUUCUUGUCCUCCAAAGAAAUAACAAUAUUCCAAAUCAUAUAAGUUGAACAGCUUAGCAAAUUAGCAAAAUUGACUAACAAACACAACACAAGGUUACAAAAUAUUCAACAUUUCUGUAUUCUUUUUCUAACUAAAAUUUACAAAUCAUACCCAAAAAAAGAACUAAUCUAAGUUCCUAUCCUCUAAAGAUAUAACAAGAUUCCAAAUCAUAUAGUUGAACAAUUUACCGAAUUAGCAAAAUUGACUAAAAAAAUACAAAAAGAGAACAACAAAAUUUUCAAUAUAUUUUGUAGUGCUUUCCUAAAUAAAAUUUAAAAAUCAUACCCAAAACAUAAAAAAAAAUGAAAUAUACUUAUCAGAUACUUCAAUUAUUAGAAUCAUCAUGCACAGAAAAUAAAAAAAAAUAGCUCUAAAUUUCAGCCCAGACCUAGAUCUAAAAUUGGACCUGAAUUAUAUAUAAUCGGACAUUAUUCAUGCUAUUAGAAUUGAUAGAUUUUGUUCGAGCAUAAAAAUGAAAUAUAAUAUUUUUACCUAUUCUUUUGUUACACAAUCAAAAUUAAAAUUAUGUUAUAGUUAUGACUAAAAGAAAUGGAGAAGUAUAUUUUGCAACUACUUAAACUUUUUAUUUAAACUAAAGACAUAUUGAAACUAGGAAAAUUAGUUUAGAAAAGAUAAUAUGAAAAUAAUGCACAAAAUUUGGCUCUAUAGAUGUAGCAUCUACAGAAAGGACGAUUUGCAUUUAGGGGUUGCGGGGAUAUGGAAAAGUAGCAUGGAAUGGGGUUGAUGCAAGGUAGAGUAUGAGGACAAGGGAAGAAGGAAGUAGGAAAGUGGUGAUGUGGGGGGUCGUAGGAAAAGUUAAAGGAAGCUAAAUUUACGCAAUGAUACUAAACUACUUAAAGUUUGAAAUUCCAAUUGAAAAUAUUAAUAUUAUGAAAAUUAGUUUAGGAACGACAAUUCACAAAAAUUACACAAAGUAUGGCUCCAUUUUGAUGGGUUACUUUUAGAAAACUUUCAUAAUGGGAAUAUUCUUUUAAAAUCUUUAUAUGCAGUAUUUUUUGGGUCUUUUUUGAAAAUUUUUGGUAUGUUUUCAUUGAUGGCAUUGAGUAUACUUAAAAAUGGUAGGUAAGUAAUAAAAUGAGUCUCGGGAAUAGAAAAAGAUAGUUGGCAAUGGGAGUGUAGGUAGCAAUUGGUAAAGAUUUAAGUUGACUAAGUUUACUUAACAAUAUUAAAUUUACUAUGAAUUAAUCCUAUAUACACUGAUAGUGUAUACGCUAUCAUUAUUAGAUAAAUGAUAUAUGUGCAAAAUUUGAAUUUAAAAUUCAAAAUUUACUCAUAUGUCAUCCAUUCAAUCGUGAUAGUGUAUAUAAAAUUUAUUCAUUUAAGUUAUAGAAAUAUUAGAUUUACAUUUUAUUAUCACUUUAUGAGAUUAAAUUUACUUAACAAUAAAAUUUACUUAACGAUAUUAGUUUCAUAUUUCUAUUUUACCUAUUAAAUUUACUUAAUAAUAUUGCUGUAAGUCCUAGAGCUGUUAAUUGAGUCGAGUAUUUGGCUGCCGAGCUCGACUCAAGUUUAAUUCAAGUCGAGCUCGACUCGAGCUCGUUAGGAAAACGAGUUUUAAAAUGUGUUCGAAUUCGAGUCGUUAAAUGUACAUGUGGCUCGACCAAUUUUUAUAUCACUCGUGUCCUCAUCAAAAUGGGUGCCCGUCAAAAAAAAGUCUCUGCGUGAUGCAGAGAACCUCUGCGUAAGUGUAGACUUUUCACAAUUCCACGUGUAUGGAAUUUUUUAGACAUCGACCGUACAGACGUGGAUUGGUUUGAUACAGUCAGGGAUUUAAAGGUCAAAUAUCAUUUGGAAUGAACGGUUCCUGUAGCUGAUAGGAGGACACGCCUCCCAAGGGAGAUUUCCUCAUACGGAAUAUCUUUCAUUUUCCAUGGCGGAUUGAGACUUCCAUCGUCCACUUGUCCCCACCUUACCCGUCGCCAAGUUUUUCCACACAACUAAUCAUUCCGAUAUCUUUAAUUGAAUGGGGAUAUCUUUUGCAUUUGUCUUUUGUGCUGUUACGUAUAAAAUAGUCGAGUUGAGUUAUUAAAGUUUUUUAUUUUAAAUGAAAGUUUUAAUUGUGCUGUGUAUUUCUGGAUUUUAAUAUAUGUUUUUAUUUGUCAUUAAAGCAAUAAUUCGUUAAUGAAUUAUGUUUUAUUAUGAAAAAAAAAGAGAAUAGAUACGUCAAAUAAUCUACUGAGCACCUAGUAGUAAGUAAUACAAUAAAUAUUGUUGAAGAUCUGCACUCUUGAUUGGCCUAUCUGUGUUGCAUUUCCUGACCAAACUGUAAUUGAUGGAAUUUAGAUCCGAUCAAGGAUUACUCGACAUAAAGGAGAAUAAUUGCAAGAUCAUUUGCUUAGCAAAGUAUGUGGAUCCCACUCCGUACGUUUUGUCGGCUUACUCUUGGAAAUGGACUAUUCCAUCCAACCGGCUUUUACCCGAGAGGUAAUUCUGACAUCAUUUCACAUAUUUUCUGGGAAAAUUUUUAAGUGGUUGCUUUUUUUUUUUUUUUGAUUGAAACGAUAGAAUUAAGUGGUUGUCAUUCUAUCAACAAUUUUCUAUAGACAUAGAUAAAUGAUGCUUUAUCUGAACUUUUUUUUUCCAGUAAUAAUACAUUGUAUAAUCUACUUUAUCCUAAUUUAAAAAGAAGGAAAGCCUAAAGAGGUUUGUGUUAGAGGUUAGUAGGUAUAUAAACUCAACUAAACUAAGAAAGUGUUAUGACACUACCCUUACAUUUUUUUUUACUGUCAAUAAAGUUUGAACCCUUGCCUACAGUCCAAAAGGGACUUAAGUCCAUAAGCUCAGUGGCUUGAAGCUUCAUCUGAACUUAGCUUUUGUGAAUAUUAUUCGUGUCACGUGACUGCAUUGGAUAAGCUUAUUAUCAACUGCCACUUGUACUAACUGACAAGCUCUUAUGUAGUUGAGAGAGAGCCUGAUAAAUAAAUUAAAGUGACGGUCAUGGUAAAUUUCUUCUCAUGAUCCGUGAAUGGAGUUAAUUGUUGCUGAAAUACUCUCUCCGUUCCACUUUGAUAGUUCUGUAUUUCUUUUUUAUCUAUCCCAAAUUAUAGUUCACUUUCUAAUUGAAGAAUGUAAUUGUAUUUUAAUUUUCCUAAAAUAUUCUUAUUUAAUGUAAGUAGUUGUUACUAUAAACCUAUCUCAUUUAAUGAGAGUUGAUUCUUUUUUUACCAUCAAUUUAAGUUUUCAUAAAAUUAUACCAUAUUUAAUGUGGGGGUAUUUUAGAAAAAUAGCAAUUUAAAUUUACUUUUCCAACAAAGUUAACUACAUUUUCUUAAACUGUGUGAAAAAAGAAACAGGACUAUCAAAAUGGAACGGAGGUUGCAGGAAAAAGGGGCGGGAAUGAUUGUCAACAGAACCUUUCUUGAACGGUGUAAAAGCGGUUCAACGAGUUGCGUUAAUUCGCCAUCAGCUUGCAAACCCUUAGAAUAUAAUGUUAGCUACUGUUCAUAUUGUCCCGUACUGCCAUGCUUCAUAUUGAGUCAUUACGAAUAAAAGCCCUAACGUUUCAAUGUCUGGACUAAGUAUAUAAAGUGAUAAAGUAAGAACCAAAAUCUAUCAAGCGUAUUAUCAUUCUACUAACAAGAACUGGACUUGAUUAAUGAUAAUUAUAAUGCCAUAGCUUUCAACUGGUUCCAAGUGAGAACUUACAAAAAGUAGUUCAACUCAAUGACAGCUCCUGUACUAAUACUUGUCACCAAUCCAUAAGCCCUGACGUCACAAAGAGGAAAAGUAAAAGGCAAAUAAGUAGCAACUCGAAUCCGAACUCGAGUUGAGCUCGGUCAAUAUCAAAUUCGAAUUGACCAAAUCGAACUCAAAUUUGAAAAUAUUUAAUUUGUUAGCUCGCGAGCCAACUCGAUUAUAUAAAUAUAUAUAUUAUUUUUUAUUUUAUUAGUAAAAUAUUAUAUAUAUAUCACUAAUAUUUUAUUAUUUAUUAAGAAAAAUUAUUAUUUUAUUUAUUUUUAAAAAUAAAAUAAUUUUUUUUAUUUUUUUAAGCUCGACCUUGAGUUGAAACUCGACUCGAACUUUACAUUUUGAGUUCGUUGAACUCAAAUUCGAGUUUGCGUUUCAUAAAAUUAAAUUGUGAUUCAAUUCGAUUAGGUCAAAACUCGACUCGACUUGACUUGUCCCGUUUCGUUUGCACCCGGAAGGAAGGACCUUAGUAGUGAUUCCUAUCAAUUUCUUUGAUUUAAGGUUUCAGUUCUGCCUGGGAAAAGGUGAAGAGGCACCACUAGCAUGGCUGUAGACCUAGUAGCUACAAUAAAGGCAUCAAGUUGCCCCGCCAAAAUCCGGCCAACCUCCAUCGCCAAUUAACCAAAAGAUAUUUUUAUCAUAGCUAAUAUUUGAGAAUAGGCAAUAAGGGAUAACCUAAGAUUAGUAAGUAGAUUUUUGACUAAAGGAGGAGAAGGCAUUUGGAGAGGUAGGCAUGCUUUUUUUUUUUUGUCGGUAACGGUAGAUAUCUUAUAACCUAAUCUAGGCUAAUCUAGGGGAGAGGGGUAAGGGGAGAUGGUCAAUUAAAAUCAGCCACAUAUUGUGGUAAAAUUUGAAAGAGAUAGGGAUAGAAUUCCUAACCUCCAAUAUCACCAAAGAGGGUGAUGAUCACUGGACCAAAUGACCGUGACAUUUGGAGAGGUAGCAUGCAGUUGAGCAACUUUAAGAAAAUGCUCGAGAUGAGGAAGACGAAGAGAGGCGAAAUUUCCUAGCUAGGGGAGAAUCGAUCGGGUGGCUUCAACCUUAUUGGUCCAUGAAUUUCUUUGACCCAUGGCCCUUCACGCGGUGUCUUCGUACGUCUCGCACUGGUACUAGACUACUAGGUUGUUUAUCGGCCGAUAAUUUGAUUAAAAAUUCAAUUUUUUUUUUCAAUUUUUUCAACAAUGUCAACAUCCAAUUACCGUUCAAACUUUUAUUUAGUAAUUGGAUAUUGCAAAUUGGAUUACGACCGAAUAAUUAGUAUUUCAGUAAAAUAUCCAAAGUUUUAGAUUGAUUUUCUAAUAUAUAUUAGUUAAGUAUAUUUAAUAUGUAAUUAAUAAUGUAAAAGGUUAUUAAUAUGUUCAUUAAUAUGGUUUUAAGGUCAUAUAUUUGUCUAUAAACAUAUAUUAUAACUUAUAACACUAUUGAUUGAUACAUCAAUAUGCAAUAUGAUAUAUUAAUAGGCAUGAAAUAUAUAAAAUAUUUAAUUAAAAUAUGAAAUUCGGUAACUCAGUCGGUGGUAAUCGAAAAUUCGAGAAUCGAAAUUCAAUAUCAAAUGACAAACUGUUUUGCCAAAAUUUAAAAUUGGAUCUUAAUCGGUUUUUCCAAAUUUCAUUUUACCGACAUCCGAUUUUCGAUCUAAAUUGAAUCAAUUGAUUAUUCGAUUUUUCUUUUUUUUUUUUUUUGGAAGUGCGAGCACCCUUAGCUCGCUGGUACCGGGGUAGCCAGCCAAAUUACAAUUGACCAGCUGAAUUGACAAAUCCUGAAAUCCAAUUCCAGUCUCUUUCUCGUCUUUAUAGCAGUCUAUCGCAAAAGAUUUCUCGUCUUUAUUGUUCCGUGCUUCAACCGGUAAACUUAGACGGCGAUGGGUAUCUAUUUGGGCAGGGAAACACCAUGCAUUUAGGUGUCACUGCAUGACGUGCAGGAAAAGUUAUCGUGCGGGCCAUGACUUGAACUCAUCGUGCUCACUAGCUAUUGGCUACUGCAUCAAACACGUACCCCAAAAAGGAACAAGAGAAAAAGGGUAUCCAAUGGAGCAUUUCUUUCCUUUAGUAGUUUCUAGCUAAUUACUUUUCUUUUCAUCAGCCAAAUUCAAUUAGGUGAGAUGAUUCCUCGAAACUACUGAGCCAAGCUCAGGGGCCACCCACUUUAAGUGAUUCCGAGACAGGUAAAUAAUGCGUUCGUAGUCUAGGUCAACGGUGAUUCAAUUUUUAUCGAUUUUUUUGGACUAUUUUAGAUUCCUCUCCUAAUAUAAAAUAAAUAUAAAUCUAUCAUAUCCGAAAAAAAAAAAGAGAUGCUUCCUCGAAGUUUAAUAGUAAAAAAAAGUGGACAAUAGUAGAAACCCAAAGUUUCACAAUCUUUCAUUUUUUUUGGUUCUGGGGGUUUGGCUGUAUGUUACGUGUGUCGUCGUAUCAAAAUUAUACCAUAGUGAUUUAUCAUUUUGAUCGACGGGACAAAAUGAUAUUUUAUUAGGAGAAUGUUAUAAUCAAGUAAAUAGUAGAACUCCCAUCCCUAAGUGUCUAAUUAAUACAGACACAAACGGAGGUGUGAUUGUAAUCUAGAAACUAAACCAUAUACCACAUAAGCGGAGCAAGUGGAAUCUACUAUUCACCCUCUUUUUUUUUUCAAAAACGAAAAAGAAGAAAAAAAAAACUUGUUUGUUUAAGGGUGUAAUUGUAGUUUAAUAUGAGUUUCAAUUUUUCCCCCAAAAAACUAAUUCUGUCCCUCAUGUGUAGAUCAUUGUAUUGUCAUAAAAAAAAAAUAGUUUAUUUCCUUAUCUUAUAAAUCAUAACCUAUCAAGUUUUGCAUAUUGCUGGCCAAAAUUAAUUUUUUUUUUAUUAUUUGUUGAUAUUUUAUGAAACAUUCUCUCAUAUCCAACUAUAAACAAAACAGGAGGAGGAGUUGCGGUGUUAAAAUUUUGUGCCAUCUUUUACAUUACCUUUUUUGUUCUUACACUAGGGUAAAAUGGCCUAACCAUAUUCAAAAAUUACUUUUUCUAGUUUUAUGUGGAAUUUUUAGCUUUGUUGCUAAUCAUUAUAAUUAAAGGUAACUAAUGAAAAAUAACUACUCGUAUUUUCACCAAAGAUUAUAAAAACAAAAUUUUUUUCAACAUGUAAAACUGAUUUCUAGAAAACUACUUUUUACAACUAAAAAUUAUAACUAGGUUAGGACUGAUUUUUUUGGAUCGUAAUGUAGGUAUCAAUAUCAAACUAAAUCCAAAUAAAAAUGAAUCAGUGUUUCCAUUUUAAUUUGUAUGUCACCAAGGAUUUCUCCCACAAGCACGCAAUGAUUUUCCACCAUGAUUUCAAAUUUGAAGACUUUUAAGUUGUCGUCGUGUUAAUAUCAACUUUGUAUAGUAUAGUGUAUAGUUCCUCCCUACUUCCUACAACACAGAACUACUUCCUCCCUACUUCCUCUCUACUGCUUUCUAGCUUUUCUGUCAAUAACUCUAUGAACUACUCAUUAAUGAUUUUUAAGUAUUUUUGAACCAUUGAUUAUGGUAGCUGGAUAAAUUCUUAUAGUCAUGUAAUGUUGAUAUACGUUGCAUCUCCUGGAUUAGUUUUCUACCUCCUUCACCAUUGCAAGAAGUAAUGAUUUGGCAAUUUGUAUAUUUCAGACUAGACAGACUUGACUUUAAUUUCCAUAUAUCUUUUUCUUGUUAUAAAUAUUGAACUUUAAUUUUUUUCUGAAAUUGCAAAGAGAAAACUACAUUUCUCUAUUUUUUUAAUAUUGCCACAAAAUCUGUAGAUUAUUAUUGAACAAUAUAAAAGAAAUAAAAUAAACUAACUUAAAGCUAACAUAUAUGUGCCACAAAUAAUUUUACAGCCAAGAUAGAGGUUGAUGGUAUGUGAUAAGAAGCCCUUUCCAGAUACGCCUUCCAGGAGAGAAUUGAAGUAAUGGGAACGAAGUUAAAUUGGCAUUGUAUCUACUGAUGGAACUGUUAGAAUCGCGUCACAAUCACUACCAGUAACUCAGCCUAUGAUUUGUUGUUCCUCGAAAAUUGUUAUCCAUAUUAAAGUUCGAAAAACAAUUUAACCAAAUCGUAUGGAGUACUAUUCAUCCAUUUUUUUGGUCUUUACUUUAACAGCACAACUUAGAGACAUUAUUGAGUUUCUGCAAAUUCUUUUGUCAAAAAUGGCCCAAGGAUGAUUUUUAUUUGAAAACUACAAUAUUUUUGGUCUCUUAGCUUUUCAAAUUGUCUAAAAUAAUGCUAGAUUUCUGCUCUAGAAUACUAAUUUAGUCUUUCAAUUGUCAACUAUUGCACUGAAUUUUCACUUAUUUAGGAGGUGGCUGGGGAGAGGGGAGGAGAGCGAAGAGGGAGAAGGAGGAGUGGAGAGGAGAGAGAGUUAGGGAGGAAGGGAGGGAGUAAGAAGGGGAAAAAAAAAAAGAGGACUCCGCCGGCUACCGCGAGCAGUGGGGAGGGAAGGAGGAGGAAAAUCAAUGAGGUGGAGGAUAUGAAGAGGAAAGGAAAGAAAAGAAAAAGAAAAAAGAGGAAAACUUUUACACAUUUAAAUAAGUUUUUUAUUUUAACAAAUUUUACAGUAAGAUACAGUAAAAUUAUAUACAAACAUACAAAAAAUUCAUUCGCUAAAUAGGGCCUACAUAACACACAACCUGGUAGUACCAAUCACUAUUUCAGUACACAAAUAAUCAAGAGUUAAAACACACAUGAGGCAAGCCAAGCUCCCAAGCCAAUUCGCAGCUGGUUCUAGUCAAAGGGAUCUUCCUCUAACCUGCUACCACAUCCCUCGCAGAAGCCAACACAGAGAAAGUAUGUCCAUAGCCGAGACGUGUCUAUGCUGAAACAUAGCCAAAUUCCUUGAUCUCCUUAGCUAGUAUGCCACAAUUUUUGAGAGAGAGAGAAUUAUAUUUGGAAGUGACUGAAUUCCAAGAUUACAUGCAUCUAUCAGAAACUAAUAUUGUUUUGUGGAUACGAAAUUCAAAAAUCUAAAGAAGUAGGUCAUCUUUGAAUAAUAAAAACUAAAGGGCAUCCACACUUUACAUAUGAUUUAGACUAAAUAAUAAUAAUUUGCCAUAAUCAACACGUUGGAUGAUGCAAUUGGACGUUCAAAAAGAAUCAAAGAUCAAGCGCAAACGUGUUGGUACUAUAUUAUGAAUUGGUUUAACAUUAAUUUGCCUGUAACCUCCUAUAGAACUCACCAAACUAAGCAUAAAUGCAUGGGGCCCAAGCACUAAUUAUUUGAGCAAGAUUAUUUCCCACUUUGUGUGACGACAAAAAGAAUGUGGGAAGUUCUGUAGUCAUGUGAUAUAGAUCAAGGUAGCAUCUUCCAAGGAGCACUUCCUGAGUUCCUGUGGCCGAUACAAAUACAACGUUGUUGAACUAAUCCCCAAAGGACCUCUUCGUGUUGUCGGUUUUGCCAAUGUCUCGUCUGUAUCACCUGUUUACCUCCAUUCAUGUAUAGUUGCCAUUGUGUUCGUUCUAUGCAUAUAUCCUGUUGUUUGGUUUAAGAUUCCUCAACUCGAGGUAGGAAUUGGGAAUCCCUUUUUGUUUGGAAGGCAAAUAUUUUCCAGAAAAUGUUUUCCUGAUUUUCCAUUGUUUGAUUGGGUUAUUGCUUGCGAAAAUUUUCCACAUAAAUGAACUGAAAUUAUUUUUCAUGUCCGACUUGUAAGGCUAUUCAUUCAUGCUCCCUUCUUUGCUGUUUUCUCUCUUUUUUUUUUCUCUGUCUCUGUCUUUCUUUCUCUCAGAUACACAGUGUUAGGAAAUUGGCUUAAAUUCUUUUAGGUAGAUUUCUUAUUUGGUGUGGGAAGUGACUAGUUUCCUAAUUGGAUUUAGUUACUUGAAGUAGUAGUCAAGUAAAGCCCUAUUUAGCAGAAAUUAGAUGCUAUUUCUAUAUGAGUUUAGGAAAUAGUAUUGGUUUCCAAAUUGUUAUUUGGUUUUUUGGCAGUAAUGUUCCCUAUAAAUAGGUGGGUUGGCAUACUACACACACAAGAAGACACGCAAAAGAAGACACAAGGGGCCUCAUGUAGCCUUAUACAUGGGGUGUGAGAGAGGGUUCUUGGGAGAUGAGAGAUGGUAUACAAGGGUUGGGUUUGGGUUCAAAUUGUAUUCUUGUAUAGGGUUUUUCUCUCAUAAUAAAGAACAGGUUUCUCUCCUUGGAUGUAGGCUCAAUGGUGGAGCCGAACCACGUUAAAUAUUGUGUGUCGUUUAUCUUUCAUGCUUGUGGCUUGUUUCUCAUUAAAUUGUUGUGCAUUUGAUAUCUCAAUAGUUGUUUAUUCCGCAUCUGGAUCCCAACAAGUGGUAUCAGAGCCAGGUUGCGAGACUUGACUGCUCAAGGUUCAUAGUUGGAUCCUAGUUAACUAUUGAGAUCAAGUGGAUUGAUAGUUGUCACCAAUUGAACAAUUUAAUGGGUGGUAUCCUUGUUUCAAUGGCUUGGGAAAAACCAUUGAUGGUGAAGGAUGGGAAGUCGAAAAGCAUGGAAAUGCUUGACAGUGAAUCUAAGCAGGUGAUUCAAGGGUCAAGGAAAAGGUGGAGUCCAAUGUUGAUUUUGGACGUGAAUCGGUGGAGACUUUCUCACAUAUCCAACGGUUGAUUCUUCAUCCCGGUGAAUUUUAGAUUUUGGUUAUGUUUUUUGGGUGGUGUGGCACGUGUCCCAAAGAAAUAAGGAGAUCUAAUUUCUAUGCGCCAGAAGACUCUGACAAGUACGAGUUUUUCGUUUUAGGUGGAGUCUUGAAAACCACAUGUGGCGAGACAGUCCUGAGAAUGGGAAGAAGUAUGGUGACUUUACCACUUGAUUGUCUCAAUGGUUAGGGUUAGAGCUCACAGAAGGGAAUCCCAGAUUGCAAGUGCUGAUGAGAAGAAAUCCUGCAAAGGGAGACGGUGAAUUGAGGCACCUUCUCACGAGUCAACUGGAGGUUGGACUCGGGGUAACUACACAUGUUCAUUUGCCGAUUGAAUCAAUUUGGUAUCAGGACUGUAUUGAUUCGGAUGUGUAGUUUGGUACCAUAUUAUUUGGUAGUUGAAGGCAAAUGGUUUCUAAAAGAAAUUUUCGCCAAGGUGGAGAUUUGUUAGGAAAUUGGCUUAAAUUCUUUUAGGUAGAUUUCUUAUUUGGUGUGGGAAGUGACUAGUUUCCUAAUUGGAUUUAGUUACUUGAAGUAGUAGUCAAGUAAAGCCCUAUUUAGCAGGAAUUAGAUGCUAUUUCUAUAUGAGUUUAGGAAAUAGUAUUGGUUUCCAAAUUGUUAUUUGAUUUUUUGGCAGUAAUGUUCCCUAUAAAUAGGUGGGUUGGCAUACUACACACACAAGAAGACACACAAAAGAAGACACAAGGGGCCUCAUGUAGCCUUAUACAUGGGGUGUGAGAGAGGGUUCUUGGGAGAUGAGAGAUGGUAUACAAGGGUUGGGUUUGGGUUCAAAUUGUAUUCUUGUAUAGGGUUUUUCUCUCAUAAUAAAGAACAGGUUUCUCUCCGUGGAUGUAGGCUCAAUGGUGGAGCCGAACCACGUUAAAUAUUGUGUGUCGUUUAUCUUUCAUGCUUGUGGCUUGUUUCUCAUUAAAUUGUUGUGCAUUUGAUAUCUCAAUAGUUGUUUAUUCCGCAUCUGGAUCCCAACACACAGAUCAUACGCACUUAGGGGGAGAUCUAGACUUGAAAUUGAAAGGGGCUAUAGGGAGAUCGUGAAGGAUGCUAGAGAAAGUUUUGAUGUAUGAAAAUGAAAUGAAGUUGUUAAUUUUGUGCUAACAUACUGUAAAUUUGAGGUAUGUUCACGUUCAAUGGACAUUAACUGUUACCGUUUGAAUUGCUAUUUUCUGGAACCUUUUUUUUUUAUAAAAAAUAUACUAUAGUGAUUUUGAUAUAUGUAAAAUAAAAAAAUAAUUGAAAAAUAUGAUCACGAAAAACGUAAAAAUUUUUUGAGGAAAAAUGGCUUUUCCAAACAAUUGCUGAAACUUUUUUGAGGUGUUGAUUAUGGUGGAAGAACGGUGGCUUUUAGGUAAGAGCCUGAGAUUUGGUAUGGGCUUGUGAACUAAAGGGUAUCUUAACUGCUUGAAGAAGAGUAAGUUCUGACAGUGGAUCCCUCAAGAAUUUGUCAUCCAUAAGUUAAUAAUUAUCAACCAACGUACAUAGUAGUUAACAAAAUAUACCUGUUCUUGUUCUCAGGUUUUCACUUUUCGGCAUAAGAAACCCACAAAAACACUACAAAUUUGUAGCAAACAGUACUGGGACGGAGAGUGGAUUAAUCCGGAGAAGAGAAGGGGGCGUCGGCAAUCCUGUGUUUUAAAACUCGGACCGGACUGGCCGGUUCGACUGGUCGAACCAGGAAGUCGAACUCGGAACCGGACAAGUGUUCAGUCCGAGUCAUGUUUAAAAACCAGGUAAGUAAAAAAUCGGUCAAAAUCCGGGUUUGACCGGAAAAAACCGGAUUUUCCGGUUCAAACAGUUUUUUUUUUUUAAAAUAAACUUUUUUAAUAUUAUGUUUUGACCCCUAGAUUGUUAAAAAUUAUUAAUAUACCUCAAAUAUUUCAUACUUUAUCAAUAUUUUCUUAAAGUUUGGUAUUGUUUUUCAAUUAAGUCCAUAAUUUUAAUUCUAAACUUGUUAAUGCUCAUUAAAUAAUAUAAAUUGUUAAUUGAUUGUUCUAAUUUCUUUGUAUUUUCUUGUUCAAUAUAUUUAAAUUAUCAAAUAUAUAUGAAUAUACCUUUAUUAAUAUUAACAUGUUAUUAGGUAUUUUAUAUAUAAUAUUUUAAUUUUUAAAUAAUUUUUAUUUAUGACGUCAUCCGAUUCAACCCCUAUUGAACCCGAUUGAAUCCAUUGACCCCUGACCCCUAAGUUUGAUCGAGUCGAUACCUGGUUCGGUUCUGAAAACACAGCGGCAAUCACCUGGACUUGGUUCAUAUUACACGCCCUGCUGUUUUGCUAAAUCAGUGUGUGAUGGAAUAAUCAGGCCCCUCCCUCGACAGUUUCAUCUAUGGUAGAAAGCUGACUCAUGUGUGCAUGGUGGGAAGAGCAAAGGAAAUUUGGCCAAGACAUUAUUGUGGGGCUGGGCAGGAUGCAGCUAUUAAAUGAACUACUGGAUAUCGGGGUUGAUUAUGGGUCCCAUUGUAUUUCUAGGAGAAAUAAAAUGCAAGUCCCUCAACAACUCAUGGGCACUCAUUUGCACCCAAAAAAUUUGGCAUCAACCGGGGAGCAGCUCCCCAGGCCAAAUUGGUCAAAUGCAAUAAUCCUUGGAGAUAUGUGGAAAUGAAGUCAUGUGUACUCCAAUCUUAAACUAUAAAUGCUUACCUGAUGAAAAGUUAUAACUGUUUAAAUUUAAUUAUUAGUUGACUUAGAUGAGUAAUUAUAUGCAUAAAUAAUUAAAAGAAAUUAAUUUUAUAUAAAUUUAAUUUUUACAAAAAUAAAUUUAUUAUAAAUUUAUAGCAAUUUGGCAAUUACAAUACUUAGGGUAGUUAUAUUGGCAAAAUGUGAUUAAGUAAUUAGAGCAAAAAUUAAAAGGUUUUCCCUAAGGAUAAAAUUGAAAGUCUAGAAAAUGACAUUAAAAAGCUUACACUAACUGUGAUCCCUCUAACUUUUUAUAUUGCAUAGAUAGUGGCUUUUUAACUGGAAUCAAAAUUAUAGAUGAAUAAUUAGAAACAUAAUUAACAAAGUGUUACAAAAAAAAAAAAAACCAGAAUCGUGACAUAAUUAACGUGGUAGAUUUUAAUUUAAAUUUAGAAAUUAAAUAAGUAAUCUUAUACGCAACAUGGUGACUUUCAAAUCGAUAUCAAAUUUGUAGAUGAGUAAUUAUAAAUAUAAUUAACAUAGUACACCAAGAAACUAGAAUUGAGAUUAUAGAUAAAAUAAUCACAAACAUAAAUCACAUAAUACAAAAGUUUCAGAGAUUGAACGUUUGAACUAUUGAAAUAACUAGAUAGUUACCAACUUAAGUUCUAACUCCGCAACUAGUUGUAUUGGAUAACCAAUUAUAGUAAAAAUCAAAAUUUACUCUUAAAAGUAAGUGUUGAAUUAAAAGAUUUUGUUGUGAUAAGGAUUAUCUAAUGAGAGCAAAUCCAUUGAAACAAACAAGCAACGAUAUCUAGAUAAAUGUCAAUUACAAUCUCGUAUUCAAAUGAAUAUACAUAUCCAAACAAUGCACUUAACGAUAAAGUAAAGAGGUGAGACCCAACACAUUAUUUAAAACACAAACAUUGUUUAGAGUAGUUACACUAGUUAUAUUGGCAAAAUGUAAUUACGUAGUCAGAGCAAAAAUUGGUUUUUCUUUAAGGAUAAAAUAGAAAGUUUGAAAAAUGACAUAAAAAUGUUUACACUAACUACGAUCUCUCUAACUUUAUAUGUUGAAUAGAUAGUAGCUUUUUAAUUAGAAUCAAAAUUAUAGAUGAUUUAUUAGAAACAUAAUUAACAUAGUACUUCAAGAAACUAGAAUCGUGACAUAAUUGACCUAGUAGAUUUUAAUUUAAAUUUAGAAAUUAGAUAAGUAAUCUUAUAUGUAACAUGGUGACUUUUAAAUUAAUAUCGAAUUUGUAGAUGAGUAAUCAUAAACUUAAUUAACAUAGUACUUCAAGAAACUGGAAUUGAGAUUGUAGAUAAAAUAAUCAUAAAUUUUAGAAGAAAAUACUCUCCUUUUUGAAUAAUAAAAAAUUUAGAGUAGCAAGUAUUAAUCUCUUUUCCUUGGUAAUCUUAUUAAUAUUGAAAAAUAUAUAUAAAGAUUAGGAGGGGGAGUGGGAGUGAGAGAGAGAGAGAGAGAGAGACCUAGAAUGUGUCUUAUGCACUAAUAUAAUAUUAAGUACCAAUCAUUCAUUGACUUUUCUUUUUCUUUACUUACAAUUGAUUAUUAAUUCAUUUUGCAUACUCUCAAAACAUUAAGUUUAAAAAAAUUACUCAUGGUUUGGCGAUUGCAUCGCACAUUUCAUGAAUUUUCACAAAAAAAUGAUCUACACAAAUUAUGGCAUGCAUCUAGGUAAUUAGUGUAUACACUAUCAAUUUAAUUUAGAUUAGUCUUUUUUUAUACCAUCCAUCCAAUAUUUGGGAGCAUCACUAAGUGUUGUUAAUACACAUUUUUCAUCUUUUAAAUUCCUUUUGUAUCUUACUAUUAAGAGUAUUUAAUUUUUCCUCACAUAUAUAAAAAUUAUGGUUUCUUGAGUAGUUUUGUUAAUUAAUUAUUUACUAGUUACUCGCCCUCCUUUCUGUCCCUUUCUUUUUUUUAAGCACUUCAUUUGUAAAAUUUCAAUUAAUGUUAGUAAUUAGCAAAUAAGUAAAUACCGUACAAAAAUCAUCAUAUUAUAAAAAUUCUUUUACAAAUUAAAUUUCAAAUUCAAAAACCAAUUGUCAUGAAAAAAUACAUUUUUAAAUGACCAUAAAAUUAAUUACUUCUACAUACAUAGGGAAACUUAAUGCAACAAUGGUACGAAUUUAAGUGAUUCUUUGACUUUUGUUCUUUUAUUUAUUUAUUGCUUAAGUUUAUCAAUUAUUGAUCCAUUUUUCACUCUCUUAUAAUAUUCUACUUGUUUGGAUUGUAAGUUAUUUGGAAUAUUUUUACUGUAACACUUUUUAUGACGUGAUGUAUGUGAGAUAAAAAGCUAAUUGGGAAGAUAAAAAGAUAUAUUAAAAAUUAUAAUAAUGAUGUAAGCAAAUAAAAUUGAAAAAAUAAUACUUAAUCCAAACAAACCUUAUUAAGUUUAAAAGAGUUAGCAUCUAUACCAACCAAUUUAUAUCGAUAUUGUUGUCCACUACUUCAGGUAAUAUAAACUUUGCCGGUUACCUUUGGCCCUUGUCAUCUUAGCAAUAGUUGAUCUGACUUUCCACCAUAGAAGCAACCCUACCUCAACAAUAAUGGAAUUAGCUGCCACGCACGUACGUACCUAUGCAUGAAAACUGACUUCAUAGCUUUAUAGCUGUCCCCUCCGUGAAUAUGAAUAUGAAUCAGAAUCUGAAUCAGUCACUCAGGACUUUAUUAUCUCUGAACGAACGCCCAUAAACAGCCCCUGAAACACUAAAUUCUGGCAGCUGCUCUUUGUCGUGAUGCCAAAAAUGGUCCUUGGAACAUUAAUUACGUGAAACACUACAUUCUGGCAGCUGCAGCUCUAGCUCUCUGUCGAAGAUGCCAAAAAAAAUUAUCCUGGCCUACUUAAAUCAAUUUUGAACCAAUUAAUUUGCAUCAAAUUCCAUGACUUGCAUUUUUCUCUCGAUUUUUUUAUGAAACUCUUUAGAUUUAUUCCUCUCUUUGAAUAUAAAAUAAAUUUUAUCGUGUUUGAUAAAAAAAAUUUAAAUCAAUUUUGUUUUAACUCUCUGUCUAAUCUUCAAGGAUGCCGUGUCACGACUAUCGCUGUGCUUCCUCUCUCCUCUCCGCCAUGUCUGAACUCUGAAGUCUCAACUCCUCCUUUCCUCACUUUCAGUUUCAACCACAAGUCACAAGGCUUCAACAACCUACCACUCUCAUCUCCUCCUCCUCAUCAUCAGGCCUGAGAAUUCUUCCUUUUUUUUUUUUUUUUCCCUUAUCUUCUUUGUCCUCCAGAAGCCCACUUUAAUAUAUAUUUUUUUGGUAAGUAGCCCACUUUAAUUAGUAUUAUCCUCACGAUAAGUUAGAUGUUUGAACAGACCAUAUUAUUUUGGAAUGCAUUUUUAAAUUAAAGGAAUUAAAAUUAAAUCGAUGAUCUUACAUCAAAGAGAUUUGUCCCAAAAAUAUAUAUAUAUAUAUAUGGGAUGGGGAAGUCGAUUUGGCUUAUAGCAAUAAAAUACUCCUACAAACUUGUCGGUGGUUGGUUGAAAGUUGAAAUAUCUGGCAGAUAUAAUUUGCAGAUAUGUUUGUGUGUCCUCUGAGUGAGAAAGAGCAGGAGAAGGAUGGAGAAACAAUAGGAAGCAAAGUUGGAGGGCUGGGGACUAGCUAAGAUUGGUGGAGAAGGUGAUGAUGGUGUUCGGUAGUUGGCAAGGAUUGAGUUAAAGUGCAUUGUGGAGGAAGUCUCAACCAAUUUAUCGUGCUUCCUCUUUCCUCUCCGCCAUGUCUGAAGUCUCAACUCCUCCUUUCCUCACUUUCAGUUUCAACCACAAGUCACAAGGCUUCAACAACCUACUACUCACAAGGAGGUUGAUGUUUGAACAGACCAUAUUAUUUUGGAAUGCAUUUUUAAAUUAAAGGAAUUAAAAUUAAAUCGAUGAUCUUACAUCAAAGAGAUUUGUCCCAAAAUAUAUAUAUAUAUGGGAUGGCGAAGUCGAUUUGGCUUAUAGCAAUAAAAUACUCCUAAGAUUGGUGGAGAAGGUGAUGAUGGUGUUCGGUAGUUGGCAAGGAUUGAGUUUAAGUGCAUUGUGGAGGAAGGAACGAUCAUCAAAGUUUUCCGACUCCAAAUGGUGUCGUUUAGUUUUAAAGCGAAAACCUUGGGCAGGACGUUCUGUGUCCGUCCGUCCAAAUGGGGUGAAAGUUCUCGCGGGGUAUAAGCCUCACAAAUUUUUAUUUUUAAAUAUUUUAAAAAUAUAAAAAUACACACACAGACACACACAUAUAUAUACAUGUGUGUAUGUAUAAUAUUAAAAAUACCCAAAAAGAUAAAGAAAAAUUAUAACCUUACGUGACUAAAAUAAAACCUGCUUGUGUAACUAAUGUCAUCCCAUGAACAGAAACCCAACAAACCAUUGUAAAGUUCGAUGAUUAUUUGUAUAAAAAACUUGUUGUCAUCCUGCAAACUAAUGAUUACAGUUGCGAAAAUCCUUUUCUAGGUACCUGUGAGUUUUGACUAUCAAAGCAAGUGUCUUUCUCCUAUUUCUUUAGAGUAUCCUCAAUGUGAGGCACAAAGUCUUGCGAAAACUCUUUGUAUCACUAAAUUCCAAACUGAUAUCCAUGUUUGCCAACUUAAAUUUAUAGGCUGAUCUAAGAAAAGUUUUCAGAAAUUGCAAGUUCAGUUUGAGGGUUUCAACUUCUUUUAGGCAAGUGAAGGGAAAAUCCAGUUUGGAUGUUUUUCUGAAACUUUAAAAAAAGGGAAAAAGUACUGGGAUUUUAAAUGUAUAUAUUUUUUACGCCUCAAAAAAAAAAAAACUCCUUAUCAUUACUUCCUUAUCUAUAUCCUACUUUUCCAUUCUUUUUUUCAACAAUUAAUUAUCUUCCUUUUUUCACUUUCUUAGUUAUAGCAACUUUUAAUGAAUUGUAUAUGAGCCAUUCUAUGUAUGUAAAUUGUGUUCAUGAAUCAUCAAUAUCCGUCAAUAUUUCUACAAAUUUAUUGCACAAAAUGUUUACUACAAUUUUUUAGAUCUUCAAACUAAAUUCUUUUGCAUCUUCAAAAACAAAAUCUUUACUUUAAUUUUAUAAUUACCAAAAGUAAUUUUCAAAUUAACAGAAUCUUUCAACAAAUUAUUUGUACUCCCGCUGAAGUAACGGUUAAGAACUAGUACAAUUCAUGUUCUUCUUGUUUAAUUUUCACCACACCUCCACAUAUAAAUUUGAGAAGCAGAUUGGAUGACAAUUUUUGAAGUCAAUUUUUGAAGCUAUGCAUGCAUCCAUCAAAACGGUGUCCAUUUACUCGUAAACUUUUCAAAGUCUUAUAAUUAAUUUCGUUGAAUUAAAUGAAUUGUAUGAUGCAAUUGCAGAGAAUCUCCAUCCAAUUGGAAACAUUUUCCAGACUACGUGUAUACAAUUAAUCCAUCGUUUGGAAUUUUGUACCUCAAUCAUACACGGAAUUUUGAAUUUAACGUCAUUGCCCAAUACAUGGAAUUUUGAUCUAUUCUUUUUUCUUGAAGGCAACACUUUUUGAUGUCACAUUAAUGUCAAAGAACGUCUUCAUUGGAGAGAGAAAUUUGGAUUAGCUGGAAAAAGUCAAAAAAGAAAAAAGAGUUUCAUACAUACAUGAUACAUCUCCUUUGGGAGAAACUAAUAGAGGUCAUCCAAUUAAGGUGUUUGUCACGCUACAUGUAACUCACUUUAUGUAUAAAUGCUUUUGAAUGCUCAAAUAUCUUAUUCUCAUGCUUUAGAAUUUGUUAUUCUCAUGGAAAACUCUUGUUUGGAUUGUAUUUUUUUGGAUUUUUUUAUUAAAAAAUUACUGUAACGAUUUGAUAUAUGUGAAAUAAAAAGAUGAUUGAAAAAUGUGUUUACGGAAUAUGUAGCAAUUUUUUUUUUGAAAUUGCUCUCCAAACAUUGAAAAAAAAAAAAAGAAAUUGCAGUGUAUUCCUCGCUACACAGUGUAUUCCUCGCUUCAUUUUUCUGGUGUUUGUUUAACUUUUGAAAUAUUUUCACUUUUAUCUCUAUCUUUACUUUCUACACAUUAUAACUACAUACUUCUUCUCAUGCAAAAUAAGAAAAUUUAUCUCAUUGUUUAACUUUAAAAAAUCUUGGAGAAAUGUAUAUAUGAAUAAAAAAUAUCUCCUUAAGUAAUAAACAAAUUGCUGGCCAUUUAGUAUCAAAUAUCAAUCACAUGCAAUGCUUAUUGUGACAUAUAUCUUGCACUCUCACUGCUGAAAGUUUUUCUAGAAAAGAAUGUCCAUAUUAUACAUAAUUAAUUACUAGCAUAGGAUGGGCAGGAUGAGGUUUUUUUUUUUAUUUUGAAUAUACUAGGGGAGGGUUGGGUUGGGUUGGGUGGUACGGGGGAGGAAGUGUAAGGAAGAGGUCUUGGGUUCAGUAAGUUUGGAAGGGAAGUUGUUUUCCAUAAGAUGAGUGAACAUAUUUUACAUAAUAAAAUGUUUUCAGUAACUUUUGUGCAACCAAACACGGGAAAUUAGGAAAAUAUUUUCACCCGAAACAAACGGACCCUACAUGUAACUCACUUUAUGUAUAAAUGCUUUUUGAAUGCUCAAAUAUCUUAUUCAACGAUGUAAACUUUUGAAUGAUCAAAUUUUAAUAAGGAACAAGUACAUAAAAAAAGAAAAAUCAAAGUCUGUACAAAUAUUUUUUUUUUUCACAAAGUGUGCACCAUUUUUGGUAACCAUCCAACACGCAUUGCGGACUUUUUUUUUUAAGUAUUAAUUUUGUCCCUCAUGCUUUAGAAUUUGUUAUUCUCAUGGAAAAUUCUUGUUUGGAUUGUAUUUUUCUGGAUUUUUUUUAUAGAAAAAUUACUGUAACGAUUUGAUAUAUGUGAAGUAAAAAGAUGAUUGAAAAAUAUGUUUACGGAAUAUGUAGCAAUUUUCCUUUGAAAUUGCUCUCCAAACAUUGAAAAAAAAAAAAGAAAUUGCUCUCCAAACAAGGCCUUAGAUCUUAACGUUGCUUACUUCUUUAACGUUGACCUAUCAACUUUAAGUUAUGUGACAAAUUUCCAAUCCUUUUAGUGAUUUUAUGCCAAACAAUUUUAAAUUAAUUUAGAUUACAAAAGAGAGGAUCGUAAAUCAAAAGGUCAAUUUCACAACUAAUUGUUCACUGAUUUUACGGCAAACAAUUUUAAAUUAAUUUAGAUUACAAAAGAGAGGAUCGUAAAUUGAAAAAUCAAUUUCACAACUAAUUGAUAGAGAAUCAAAAUUUCCAUGAAUUCAGCACAAAUUUUCCACAUGAUGGAUGGACUAGACCCAACACGUCGGUGAAAUUUCUACCCAACUUGGAGCAUUAUAUGUGGCCGUCGAGAUUUAUUUUGGCUUUCUUUGCUUCUCCUAAUUUUAAAUGUAUAUUUGAAAUUCUUGAUCUGUUUAUUUUUCUUUUAGCCUCAAUCUUUUUAUAGUUUGAAAACCACCCAAACUUUUUUGUUUAUUAAAAAUUUAUCAAGUCAGAAUAAAAAGAGUUUAUCGAGUCUCAUUGAAUGUGUUAAACAAGGUUUUCACGACAUAAAGAAGUACAUAUAUACACAACUAUAAAUUAAUGUUGUAUACAUUAUUACUGUAAAAAAAAAAAAAAUUUUCUAACAGGUGUAACUAUAUGAUAUAUGAGCAAAAAUUGAAUUUAAAAUUUAAACAGUGAUAAUAUGAUAUUUAUCUAAACCUACUUGUAUAAAAAAAAAAUUUAUACGCUCCAUAUAAACAAUGUAAAGAGUUUUCAUGAAACAAAGUCAAAAAAUUUUUUUAAUUGAAGAACAAUCGCAAGCUCAUCUACGUAGCAAAGUGUGUGGAGCCUAUUUUGUAAGUUAUCAAUUUUUGAUUGGUUUAUUCUUGGACAUGGAUUAAUCCAACCAUAAGUGUGUGGAUCCCAUAUUUUGCAUGUCAUCAAUUUUUGGUUGGUUUUAUUCUUGGACAUGGACCAGUCCAACCAGCCAUUAACUAAGCGGUCCAUACCAAUAAUUCUGGGUAAAUCUUUUUUUUUUUUUUUUUAGCAUGUGCUUUUUUUGAUGAAAAAGAUAGACACAUUUUAUUAAUGAUGUUACAGGAAAUCGUUCAUGAGUUGCUUGACAAAAUUUGGAAGGGAAUUUCAAAGAGCUUAAAAAAGAUUAGCACUCUUAGCAUGAUGGGUUAAAGUAUGAGCUGCCUUAAUUCGCUUCUCCUGGAAUCCAUUGAUUCAUUGAAUAUCAAUACAAAGCUGAUCUAAUAAUGCUAAAUGCACGUCCUCAAUAAUUGGACCUGAAUCAGACACGAUGUCUUCUUUGUCCUGUCUUCUUUGCCAUGAAUAAAUCUUAUAAUUGAGGCUGCAUCUCCCUGCAAUUUUGGAUCAUUUGUGGGCCUCAAAAUCAAAUAAUUCCAGGGAACAUCAGAAGUCAAUCGGAACGAAUAUCACAAUGGACUUGAUUGGAACGAAAAUGCCUCACCAAUCCCACAAUCCAUUCCAGUUGAAGUUAAGAUCAGCAAUAUCGUUAAUUAGCCCCUUAAGCUUUGUUUAAUCAUAGCUUACGCCUAUUGUCUUACAUCUGAAGCAGAUACUCUUUUGGUUUUUUCAUCUUAAGCAGAUACCAUUUGCUAUAUCGCAGUCAAUUAAAUAGUUAAACCAUUUGCUUGCUAGACUGACGAGGGAAAUUAACAAUAUAAACCACUGAACAGAAAAUCUUUUUUUUUUUUUUUUUAUAAUAAAAUAGAAUAAUUUUAUUAAUCAUGAGAUUGAAUCUACAACAAGUGCAGAACAAAUAAAAGAUGGAGGAGAGUUUCUCCAUAUACAAGAAUCUGAAAAAUUAAUAGCAUACUUAGCAAAGUUAUGAGCAGGAACAUUAAACAACCUAGAAAUCCACGAAACUUCCCAACACAUGAACUCUUGACAUAAGACAAUGGUAUCAUCAAUCAACAAGCCACAUGAUGAAUCAUCAGAUUCCAAACGGUUCAGCAUUUUGAUGACUUUUUGUGAAUCUCCUUCCAAAACCAUUUUAUUGAAACCCAAAGAUUGUAGUAAUUGAGCCGCAUGUUUGGCCGCAUAUGAUUCAACCACAUUUGGUUCCAAUAUCCCAAGAAUUUUCUUGGAGAGGCCAGCAAUGAAACUUCCUGUAUCAUCUCGAAUAAUAACACCAACUCCUGAUGAUUUAUCAUCCAUAAACACAGUUCCAUCAAAGUUUGCCUUAACAAAACCUGCAUUGGGUCGUAUCCAAUGACCUAUUGAUAACCUUGAUUGAAGAGAGGUAGACGUAUCGCACUUAUCUUUGGAAUUUGUUUCAUGGAAUUGAUUUAGGAAUGCUAUGGACAGGGAGACCAAGCUAAGAGGAUCUCUGUAGGGCCCAUCAAAGAUUGCUCCAUUUCGAUUAUUCCAUAAAUUCCAAAGAAUAACACCUACCAAUUCCAUCUCUUUGCUUGAUAGUUGCCAAAGCUGGUUGGGAAGCCAAGACGUAACCUGAUCAGCCGAUUGCAAUUGAACUUUCUGGCUUAAGAAACUAAGUGCCCACGAUUGCACAGCUACAGGACAAGUUAAGAAGGUAUGAUCAAUAUCAUCAACUGGAGCGAGACAUAAAGGGCAAGAUGUAUCUAAAUGGAGCCCUUUAGUAUUGAGUUUUGUGCUGGUUGGUAGUAUAUCUUUACAAGCCCUCCAUAAGAAAAUUUUAAUUUUCUCAGGAAGAUUCAAGUGCCAAAGCCGAGACCAAACACUGUGCUUUAGAGUACUACUACUUGAUGGCAAAUUCUCCCAAUUAGAAGAUCGCUGCUUGAUCAAGUGAUACGCACUCAUCAUAGUAAAAGAUCCAUUCUUUGAAAAGUGCCAAAUUAGCUUAUCUCUAUUGUGAGUGUCUCCAAUUGGAAUGCUUUGAAUUAACUCAAUCUCCUCGGGCCAAAAAAAUUCUUGCAAUAAGUCAACUCGCCAAAUCUUUCGCUCUUAAUCUAUUAGGCAAUCAACUGUGGAAUUCUCCGGCAAUGCAGUAGACCGCGACACGAUUUUAAAAGUAGAUGGCCGUGGAAGCUACCUAUCUUUCCAGAUUUUGAUAGACUGGCCAGAACCAACUCGCCAUCUGCUUCCUGCUUCAAUAUACUUCCUGACCUCACAUAGUCCGCGCCAAGACUAGGAAGGCCGUGAUCCUUCUUGAACUUGGAAGAAAUCAGUAUUUGGAAAAUAUUUAGUUUUAUAUACCCGAUGAAGAAGGAUAGAUGGUUGUGUAGCAAUACGACCACUGAACAGAAAAUCUAGCAUUUAUAUUAAAUAAAAGAAUUUUACUGAUGCAUAUUAUUUGCUGCAAUCCUUAAACCAUCCAAGCCUAAGAAUUUAAAAUAAAAGGUCUACAUGAAUAAAAUAAAAGAUUGGAGAUUAAAGAUGCUUUAGAAAAAAAAAAGGGGGUUAAUUUAAAGGACUAAAUGAACUACUUGCAAAUUUUUUUUGUCCUUCCAGGUUAAAUGAUUUGUCGUUAAUGGUAUUGAAAUAGUUAAAAAUUAAAAUUAUUGGGACUAAAUGUAUUUUCAUAAAACUUUAAAAGGAGAAAAUGGUGUAACCCCAUAAGUUAGAGGUAUAAAGUGUCAUCUUUUCCAUUUGUAAAAUUUUCAAUUGGUUUGCUGAUUUUCUGUCAAAUAUUUUUACAUUAAUUUGUUUUUCUAUAUGCUGACAAUACAUACUAUCAAAGUCGGAUACAUGACAACUGAUAUGAAUUUGAGUUUGAAAUAUAAAUAUUUUGCAUAUGUAGUAUGCAUCAAACUCCGUUAACGUAUACACUAUUCGGGUACAAAAGAUUAAUCAUAAUUUAAAUUUCAAACGAGAGUGUCGAAGUUGUAGGAUAACGUGAAUCAGCAAAUCAAUUUAACAACUAGCUGCUGCCAAGGAAUCAACAUUUCCAUUAGUUGAAUGCAGAAUAUGUCUCCACAAGAAUAUCUUGAUUUUCCACGGCGGGUCAUUGUCCAGUGCGUAGGACCCAAAAAAAUUCCAAUGGAAAGUUAUAGGUGACAAAUUUCAUAGAACCAAUGUAGAUGGGGAGGCAAAUUUCACACACACAAAUAUGCAUAGGGGAAGAGGAAUAAAUCAGUAAUAUAUUAUUAAUUACACAAAAUAAUAUGGUUCUCAAAUUUCAUUCUUCUCAACUAAUACUAAUAAUAAUAAGACUAGACUAGGUAAUUUGGUAAACAAGUCUUACAAUCACAAGAAAUUUUCUAAUAAAAUACUAAUUUCUAAACAAUAAAACUACUAUAAUUUAAAUCAAACAGAAUUACCAAAACCAUAACAUAAAAUAUUGCUAAAUAAUAAUAUGAAAAUUUCUAUUUUUUAACCUUGAUUUAACAUUGUCGGACACAACACGUUGUCAAGUUAUCUGCAUAACUUAAUCAAGUUUGUUUACUAGUCUUCUUGUCUAAAUGUCGCGUCAUCUUAAUCCAGAUCGGCAGAUUGAAUGACCAGAAUCAAGAUAUUAUCAGUUAAGUCAAGACAUUACUAGGUUGCCUAUCUAACCACCACCACGUUAGAAAAACAAAUUUUAGCAAAGUUAUUCUGUCUUCCAAUAACCCUUUAUCAUUUUUCUCCUAAGCAUAGUGUAUUUUGUUGCACGUUCGAUGACAAAUCGGAAACGAAUAUGCGAAUGCAAACAUAAACCAGAAUUAACUUGUAAAACAAAAGCUACUCACCUCAAAUUAUUGAUUUCAUGCUAGUCUUCGGAAUCCCAUUAUCUAUUUUUUCCAGUUCAUAUCACCAAUCUGUGAGUAUAUUUCCAAUUCAAUCCCUUUUGGAUCGUUUAUGUGUCCCAAUCAAAUAAUGCACCGGAUUUAGCCGUCAGAAUGAGCUUAGAUUAAAAUGCAAAUGCCUCGCCAACUCCAUGAUCCAUAUCCAUUAAAAGAGCUGAAGAUAAGAAAAGUAGAAGAAUAUUGUUAAUUUUGCAUCUUAAGUAGAUUGCUUUUCCUAUAUCGUAGUCAGUUAAAACACUUAAUCUUCACUGGCUCGACUUUUCCAUGAAGACUUUCCGGUCGUCGGCAUUUUAUCACUUUCAUGUAGUUCUUCAAACGCAGAAUGGUGAAAUGAUGCUUUUAAACGUGUUUAAAUGAAACUGCUAAUCUAACCAUACUUUGUCAAAUAAACCAAUAUCAAAAGAAAUCCAAUGGAGCAUCAUCUUCUUUGUACUCCUUCGUCUAUGCUAAUACUGUUGUUAUUCAGUUCUAUUCUUGUGACCAGCCAGUUCUCGUUUGGGAGCAGCAAACAAGCUUAUAAUUAUUCAAAUUUCUCUUGUAUUGAGAGUGAAUGACAAGCUCUUCUUCAAUUCAGAGAUGGGUUAACAGAUGAAUCAAAUCAUCUGUCAUCUUGGAUAGGAGAAAACUGUUGUUCAUGGAAAGGCGUUGGUUACCAUCAAAUCACUGACCGUCUGGUGAAAUUUGAUCUACACAAUGCGAGCCCGUUACGUUCAAAUGAUAUAUUUAUUUACUGAAAAAAUUGCUUGGGAGGCCAAUUAAGUCCAUUUUUGGUCAAUUUAACCAAUUUGCGACACCUAAAUUGAAGCUGGAAUAAUUUUUCAGGAAUCCAAGUUCCCACGUUCCUUGGAUUGUUGAAAAACUUGAGAUACUUAAAUCUCCUGAAUGCAGUGUUCGACGGUGAAAUUCUAGGCCAUCCAGGAAAUCUCUCAUGUUUACAGCAUUUAGAACUUGGAGGUGUAACUCCAUUCUCAAUAAAAAAAAAAUAGAGCUUAGAGAAUCCGUAAAAUAUUCAAUUUAUUUGGUGAUUUCUUGCAGGAAACUCCCAUGUUAAUUUAACUGCAAAAGAGAGGAUCAAAACUUAUUUGUGUAGCAACGUAAAUCAGUAAACAGUUCAUCAAUAUUAUGAUUGCCAAUGCGAUACUUGUCGCCUUCCUGUUACAAGUCUCUUUCCAACGGGGAAAACCUACAGCAUAAAUGUCCAAUUAAUUCAUAAAUCAGAAUUAACUUGUAAUUGCAAUUAUAAGCCGCUCGUCUCAAAUUCUGAUUAGUUUCGUCCUAUUCUUCAGAAUCCCAUUGGAUAAACUCUAUCAUUCCCAUCCAUACAAAGUUGUGUGCUUAGAUUUGCUUUCUCAUCUGAAUUACAGGUCAAUCCGCCGUCACAAUGGGACUUGAUUAGAACGCAAAUGCCUCACCAACCAUAUUCCCAUUGAAGUCACCGUAAUCCAUUCCCGUUGAAGUCAAGAUUAGCAAUAUCGUUAAUUAGCCCCUUCAGCUUUGUUUAAUCAUAGCUUACCAUUGUUGCUUUGUACAUCUUAAGCAGAUGCCUUUUACCAUAUCAUAGUCAAUUAAAUCGUUAAGAGUAAAACUGAUAGUGUAUAUAUCAUCGUCGUUGAAUGCAUGAUAUAUAAUUAAAAUUCAAAUUUUAAAUUCAAAUUUACAUUACUUAUCAUUCAUCCAAGGUUGGUUGACAGGAUAUAUUCCAUCAGUGUAUAAAAGGUUAACCCCAUAGUUAUAUCGUUUCCUUGCUAGACUGUCUGAUGAGGGAAAUUAACAAUAUAAUCCACGAAACAGAAAAGCUAGCACUUAUAUACAUAAAAAAAAUGAAACAGUAGAAGUUGUUUUGGUGGGGAGGGGUGUUGGGUGGGGGGGAGUGAGUGUUUAAGAAAGUUAGAAAAAAAGGGGAAAGAGUAAACAUAUCUAACAAAUAAACAUAAAUUGGAAGAAAGUAAAGGUCAGUUUCUGUUUUAACAAGAACAGUUAAAAUUUUGUUCACGCCCUUUAACGCCACUGAAGGAAGUAAGACAAGAGCAGCUUUGGUAAGAGAAAAAAAUAAAAGGGCUAAAUGGAUGAAAUCAAAGAUUGGAGAUUAAAGAUACUUUGGAUUAAAAAAAAAAGUUAAACUACUAAAUGAACUACUUGCAAAACUUUUUUUUCCCUUCCAAAUUAAUUGAUUUGUCAUUCAUGGUAUUGAAAUAGUUAAAAAUUAAAAAUAUAGUGAAUAACUAUAUUUUUCAAUUGGUUUUGUGAUUUUUUGUCAAGCAUUUUUAUAUUAAAGAAUCUUUUGUACAUUAAUAAUGGAUACUAUCAAGAUUGGAUGCAUGAUAACCGAUAAGAAUUUGAAUUUAAAAUCUAAGUUUUGCAAAUGCAACAAUCAUUAAACUCCAUUAUCCUCUAUAUUAUCAGUUUAUAAAAGAUUAAUCGUAAUUAAUUUAAAUUACAAAUGACAGCGUUGAAAUCGUGUGAUAACGUGAAUCAGCAAAUGAAUUUUACAACCAGCUGCUGAGGAAUGAACAUUUCCAUUAGUUGAGUGCAGAAUAAGUCUCCAAGGAGAUUUUUUUCCAGAAGAAUAUCUUGAUUUUCCACGGCGGAUCGGGACUUCCAUUGGCCAGUGGACUUGCAGUCGUCGGAUGCAACAGACGGUCAAGUUUUCUACGCAAAUUAAUCAUGUUUGUUUACUAGUCUUCUUAUUUAAAUUUCAUUUCAUCUAAAUCUAUAUCAGCAGAUUGAAUGACUAGACUCUUAAAAGAUAGGAAAAUAUUGUAGUAACUAUCGUUAUGGUAACUAAAUAAUUUUUUCCUGAUAUAACGGGUUAUUAUACUUUUAACGAUCAUUUGAUUACCUGUUGGACCUAUCCACCUAAAUAGGAUAAUGCCUAAAACUAAGGAAGUAAGUUUCUCAUCUAAAAUAGUAAGUUAACCAUAAUAAUUAGUAACUUUUGUGUCUCAAAAGGUAAAUUGGAAUAAAUAUAAAACUUACUUUUUAAAGAGAUAAAUUACUAUAUUAUAUCUCAAACAUACUUUUGAGAGAGUAAGUUUAGUUCAAGUAAUAGUAAGUUUUUAUACAUAAAUAGUAAUUCUUACUUAUAACAUAUUAAAUUUGAUUAAUGACCAAAACUUACUAAUUUAUGGCACAAAUGUACUAUUUGGCUUAAAAAACUUAUAACAAACCAAUACUAGGAAGUUUAUUUGAAAUAACAAUAAAAUGUUUUAUUAAUGAUUAAAUCUUAGUACCUUAGUUAGUAAGUACUCGUAAUAUACUUGUAUAAUACAUGAUUAUAUGUAUAAUUUAAAUUUUUUUGUAUUUAUAUAUUUUAAAAUACUAUGAAAAAUAUUUGGACCCUUCACAUAACCUUAUAAAAUAAUAAAAUUUUGUCGUAUUAUAAUUUUGAAUAAUUUUUGAAAAUUUUCAAAGUUUGGAUAAUAAUAACAACACAUCUUCCUAGUUAUAUAUGGAAUAUCACUUAUCUAUGUAAUUUCUAUAAUUUAAAACCUAUUAAUAUAAUAAGAUGACAAAGUUUUAAUAUAUUUAUUGUCUGGGACACAAGAAAUAAUAAGAAUUAAACUUGUAUUAAUAUAGACCUAACAAAAAGAGAGAAAUAGUGUAACAAUUAAUACAACAAUAAAAAUAACAUAAUUAGUAUAACAAAAUUAGUAUAAUCUGGAAUUUUUUUCUCUGGAGAUUACUCACGAAUAUAAGAUCCAACCACUAAACAAAAAUCACAUGCAUAUAUAAUCUAUUGUAUAAUUUAAAUUAAAUUUAGUUCAUGUACAAAAUGAUCCUAAAAUAAUUAGCACACUACAAUACCAUAUUAUUUUAACAAAAAAGUUUUUUUUUUGCCAAAAGUCUCCAAUAUCCAUGACAUAUGUAUGAGAGAUAUUUUACCAUAUUUUUAUCUCUCUUUUUUUCCCAUAUUUGUAUCUCAUGUCUAAUCAUUGAUGUUAAUUUGAGGAAGAAUAUUAUGUAUAAUAAAAUUAUUUUGAAUUUAAUUAACAAGUUGAGAUUUUUUUAAAAAUAAAAGUGAAAUAUUUUGGGAACUUAUUUUUUGUUUUCCCAAAAUUAAAAGAUUGCAAUUUUUUACAAAUUGUUGCCAUAACAUUUCAUUUUCUAGACUAAUUUUUAUCAAUGUAAAAUUAGUUUAGUUAACAAUAAUUGAAGUUUUGUUGGUCCGAGGAUUGGCAUGCUAUUGUUGUUAUUUUACAUGUAAAUAUAUUACCUAAGUAAUAAAAUAAACAAUAGCUACUUAAAAAAAGGAAAUAGGUGCUCAAUUGAUUGCAUUCAAACUACGAAUUCUGUUAAUGAAUAAUUGCUAAAUUAUAAUUUUAUUUACAAGGAAUCAAUAUGCAUCAUAUAUUGACCAGGACUAAAUUACUGAUUACUUAACAAAUUAUAUCUAAACACAUGAUGUGAUGUAUAUUGCAUUUGGUCACCUUUAUACUCAUACCAUUUUCUUUUCUUCCUAUUUAUAUUUUAAAAGUGCAAAAUUCUCUUGAUUAUAUUAGUGAAAAUGCAUAAAAUCUUUUACAAAAUUAUUUCAAUUUAUUUACAAAAUAUUAGUACUUUUAUAGAAACAAUGCAUUGUAGGAAUGGUUUACUAAUUUUUUAGUAAACAUAACUAUUGCAUUAAAAAGUUAAAAAAAACUUGAUUUUAUUAUGCUUUAAUUAGGAGUGCUUUUGAAGAAAAGAAUUUGGGGAUUAAUUUCUCUGAUUCAAGAAUUUUUAGAGAUUGUAAUGAUCAAAAGAAAAAGAAUUUUUAGAAAUUGUAACUCUCUUAUUAUUUGAUAUAAUAAAUUUGAUAUUUGUGCAAGUUUUCAUGUCUUUUUAUUUUCGGCAAUGAAAUUUGUGCUUACAGUUAAAUACAAUUAUGGUAAAAUAUCCCUCAUAUGUAUGUCAUGGAUAUUUGAGACUUUCAGUAAAAAAAUUUUUUGUUGUUCCGUUUGGAUUGGUUAUUUUUUUAAAAACAAGUUUUUCAAAUACAAUGUUAUGGUAAUACACAAUAACUCAAAAAAUAUCUUAUCCAUACAAUAUAUCAAAAAUUUCAAAAAAAAUUUUAUAGUAAAAAUUUUUCAUAUACAUUGUUACAGUAAAAUUUUUCAAAAACACCUCUAAAAACAGUUAAUCGAAACGGAUUAAUAUUAUAGUGCGCUAAUUAUUUUAGAACCGUUUUUUACGUGAACUGAAUUUAAUUUAAAUUAUACAAUAGAUUAUAUGUGCAAGUGAUUUUCAUUUAAUUGUUGGAUCUUUUUUUUUUAUGAACAAUCUCCCAAGGAAAAAAGUCCAGAUCAUACUGAUUUUCUUAUAUUAACUGUUAUACUAAUUUUGUCAUUUUUAUUGUUAUACUAUUUCUCAUUUUGUUUGGGUUUUAACUCUUAUUAAUUCUUGUGUCCCAGAUGUAAAUUUAUUAAAACUUUAUCAUCUUAUUAUAUUCAUAGGUGUUAAAUUAUAAAAAUUGUGAUAUACAAACAAGUGAUAUUCUAUAUUUAACUAGGAAGAUUUGUUGUUAUUGUUAUCCAAACUUUUAAACUUUUCAAAAAUUGAAAAUUGAAAAUGAUUAAAAACUUAUAAUAUGACAAAAUUUUAUUAUAUAUUUUACAAGAUUAUCUAAAAAAUGAAACUACUUUUCAUAGUAUUUUAAAAUAUAUAAAUACAAAAAAAUUUUAAAUUAUACAUAUAAUCAUUUAUUAUACAAGUAUAUUACGAGUACUUAAUAACUAAGGUACUAAGUUUUAAUUAUUAAUAAAACAUCUUAUCAUUAUUUCAAUUAAACUUCCUAAUACUAGUUUGAGAUAAGUUUUUAAUGUAAAAUUGUACAUGUAUUCCAAAAAUUAGUAAGUUUUGAUCAUUAAUCAAAUUUACCAUGUUAUUAGUAAAAAUUACUAUUAUGUAUAAAAACUUAUUGUUAGUUGAACUAAACUUACUCUCUAAAAAGUAAGUUUGGAAUAUAAAGUAGUAAUUUAUUUAUUUAAGAAAUAAGUUUAAUAUUUAUUCCAAUUUACCUUUUGAGGUAUAAAAAUUACUAAUCUAUUAAUGUUAACUUACUAUUUUAGAUGGGAAACUUACUUCCAUAUUUUUAGGUGUUAUCCUAUUUAGGUGGAUAGGUCCAAUAAGUAAUCAAAUGGUCGCCAAAAGUGCAACAACCUGUUAUAUUAGAUAAAAACUAUUUCGUUACCAUAACUAUCGUUACUAAAGCAUUGUCUUAUCAGCUCAAGUCAAGAUUAGCUUGUCUAUCUAGCCUACUCCAUUUUUAAUUUCAUGCUAGUCUUCGGACUCCCAUAAUCUAUCUUUCCAGUUCCUAUCACCCAUCUGUGAUUAUAUUUCCAAUUCAAUCUUUUUUCGAUCAUUUGUGGGUCCCAAUCAAAUAAUGCCUCACCAACUCCAUGGUCCAUACCCAUUAAAAAAGAAUAUCGUUAGCUAGCCUCUUGAGGUUGUUUAAUCACAAGAAAAGUAAAAAGGUUCUUUUGCAUCUUAUUGAGAUAAUUUUGUGUCCGUGACCCUAAACCCUAAGCCCUAAAAGAUCGUUAGCUAGCCUUUUGAGGUUGUUUAAUCACAAGAAAAGUAAAAAGGUUCUUUUGCAUCUUAUUGAGGUAAACUGGUGGAAUUACCUUAGAUUCUAUGUGCGUGUGUUUCUUUGCGCUGUUGAAAGAAAAAGGAAAAUAGGAGAGGAAUGUCAAUGUGAGUAUGGAUUCUUAGUCAAGGCUCUUAAGCUUCCUGCGUUCCCUUUCCCCCAACUCCUUGUUCCUACAUCGAUUAUGAGAGGUGUGUGUGUGUAGGAUUUAAGGUCCGUGAGUUUACCCAGAAGUCAGCAAUUGUAUUUUGGAUAAACUGGUGGAAUUACCUUAGAUUCUGUGUGCGUGUGUUUCUUUGCGCUGUUGAAAGAUAAUUUUGUGGAAAAAGUACUGUAACACUUUUUUGAUAUGAUGUAUGUGAGAUAAAAAGGUGAUUGAAAAAUAUAUUGAUGAUACAAACAAAUCAAUGUGUGUAAAUAAGGUAUAAAUAAAGUGUAAUUUUUUACAAUCCAAACACAUAUUGUAGAUAGUUAAAUACUUGAUUGUUUGCUGGCUCAACUUUUCCACCAAGACUUCCGGUCAUCACAUAGUUUCUUCCAACGCAAAAUGGUGAAAGUGAUGCUUUUAAACUUGUAUAAAUGAACCACUUCUCUGAGCAUACUUUAUCAUAUAGUUCAAUAUCAAAAGCAAUCCAAUGGAGCACUAUCUUCUUGGCACUUCUUUAUCUUUACUACUAGUAAUGUUCUUAUUCAGUUCUAUUCUCGUCACCAGCCAUUUUCCGUUUGGCUGCAGCAAACAAGCUUAUACUCAUUCAAAUGUCUCUUGUAUCGAGAGUGAACGACAAGCUUUUCUUCAAUUCAGAAAUGGGUUGAUAGAUGAAUCGAAUCAUCUGUCAUCUUGGAUAGGAGAAGACUGCUGUUCAUGGGAAGGUAUUGGUUGCCACAAAAACACUGGUCAUGUGGUGAAACUUGAUCUACAAAAUACGAAGCCGUUACACUCAAAUAAUGUAUUUACUUAUUGCAAAAAUUGCUUGGGAGGCCAAUUAAGUCCAUUUUUGGUCAAUUGGACCAAUUUGCAAUACCUGGACUUGAGCAAGAAUAAUUUUUCAGGAAUCCAAGUUCCCACAUUCCUUGGAUUGUUGAAAUACUUGAGAUACUUAAAUCUUGCAAAUGUAGUGUUUGACGGUGAAAUUGUAAUGGUACUAUUAGUUAUGAUCUGAAUAGGCUAAGAAGGUAGAAGGGUGUAGCAGAGAGAACGCAAGGAAGGGGGAAAAUUGUGAGAGAGAAGAGAGGAAAGGAUAGUGUGACAGGAAAGGAAGCUGAAUUUGUUAUAUCUCAUUACAUGCCUUUUCGUCCCCUUUAGGCUUUAUUUAUACAGAAUGCUCCCUCUAGAUCCUUCUGCAACUAGCCAAUCUCAUAACAGAAUGAGCAUACAUACAUGCAUGCCUUUGACAGCUAGCUGACUAACUAAAUAACGGAAAUGCUAACUAACUACCUGAAAAGGAAAGCAUGGCAGAUACAUUUCUGCUCAGAAAUAUCUAGCGAGAAUAUCUAGGGUCAUUACAACACCUCCCCCUUGAGAAUCCUAGUCACUAGGAUUUGAGCUGGAAAUCUGGAAACUGUGAUUGUAUUACCGUGACAUCCUCCCAAGUUGAGUCUUCAGUGCUUAGGUUCACCCAUUUGAUCAACACUUGAGUCACCUUCUGCCUUUUCCUUAUGAUUUCACGAGUAGCAAUCACCCUUUUAGGGGCAAUUUUAAUCUGUCCGUCCGUAGUCGUCAAGGGUAACUCCUGAGUCACAACAUGAUUCUUUGCAGAUGGUUUAAGCAGGGAGACAUGGAAGGUAGGAUGUAUCAAAGAACCAGCAGGUAAUUCCAGUCUGUAGGCCGCAUUCCCCACCUUCUGAAGGACCUUGUAAGGGCCAUAGUAUUUGGAAGAUAACUUCAGAUUUCUUCGGACUGCUACUGAAGUUUGUCUGUAAGGCUGCAAUUUCAAAUAAACCCAGUCUCCUACCUGAAAACUCCUUUCAAUUCUGUUUUUGUCAGCAAAUUGCUUCAUUCGAUUCUGAGCCUUGAUUAGAUUACCCCGCAGCAGUUCAUUCCAUUUCCUUCUAUCUCCUAGCCAUUGUUCCACAGCAGCUACAGGAGUCUCUAAGCCAUUGAGGCCUAAUUGCGAGGGUGGAUAACCAUACAGAGCCUGAAAAGGAGUCAUCUUUAAGGCUGUGUGAUGGUUGGUGUUGUACCACCAUUCAGUAGCUGUUAGUAAGGACUUCCAUUUGUGAGGCUGUUGGAAACAUAAACACCUCAAGUAUGUCUCUACACAUCUGUUCAGCCUUUCUGUCUGCCCGUCUGUCUGGGGGUGGUAGGCAGUGGAGUAAUGCAACUCAGUACUUAGCUUCCCAAACAACUCCUGCCAGAACAUGCUAGUGAACAGCCUGUCUCUGUCUAAUACAAUGCUCAGAGGUAAUCCGUGCAGUUUGUAGAUGUUAUCAAAGUAUAUGUUAGCUAUUGACUGUGCUGUAUACUUAGAGGGUAGUGCUAUUAGAUGACAAUACUUGGUGAACCUGUCGAUGACCACCAGUAUCCCUUCAUAUCCGUGAGAUUUGGGUAAUCCUUCUAUGAAGUCCAUUGAAAUAUGUUGCCAUGCUUGCUCAGGGAUAGGGAGGGGUUGCAGUAGACCUGGUGCCUUACAGUUUUCCACUUUGCUCCUUUUACAGAUAUCACAUUGCUGCACCCAUUCUUCUACCUUCCUUCUCAUUCCAGGCCAGAAGACUGGUCCCUUCAAUCUCUGAUAGGUUCCCAGAUAUCCUGAAUGACCCCCAAGGUGCGAGUCAUGGAAGCAGGCUAUCAACUUCUGUCUCAAGUUCCCCGAAGCUCCAAUGUAUACCCUGCCCUUAUACCUGAGCAAUCCCCCAACAAAAGAGUAAUUUGGGAGAGAAUCUGGUGUAAUAGUCAGGGUUUCCAUUAAUUUAGUCACUGCAUUAUCCCAUUGGUAGCUUUCCACAACUUCAGAUAGCCAUGCAGGUUUCAUGACUGAGAGACUGUGUGUAGAACUGUCCUCUUCAUAGUCUCUUCUGGACAGUGCAUCGGCCACAAGAUUUUCUUUUCCUUUCUUGUACUGUAUUUCAUAAUCCAAUCCUAACAAUUUAGUAAGCCACUUCUGCUGAAGGGGGGUAGUUAUCUUCUGCUCCAAUAGGUAUUUUAAGCUCUGGUGAUCUGUCUUGAUAAUGAAAUGAUUCCCUAACAAAUAAUGCCUCCACUUCGAUACAGCUGUGAUAAGGGAUAACAACUCUUUCUCAUAUAUUGAUAACCCCAAGUUCUUAGGCCCCAAGGCUUGACUGAGAUAAGCAAUAGGCCUUCCUUGCUGCAUGAGUACAGCUCCUAUAGCCUUAUGACUGGCAUCUGUUUCCAGAACAAAUGGUAAGGAAAAAUUAGGAAGUGCGAGGACAGGUGUGCUACGCAUCAGUUGUUUGAGUUUUUGGAAGGCUAGCUCAGUAUGUUCACUCCAGUGGAAAUUUUCUUUCUUCAGCAACUCCGUAAGUGGCUUGGCAAUGAUUCCAUAACCUCUCACGAACCUCCUGUAAUAGCCCGUAAGUCCCAAAAAUCCUCUCAAAGCCUUCACUGAUGUAGGUGCAGGCCAGUCCAUCAUGCUUUUGACUUUUGAGAGGUCUGCCUGUACUCCAUUACCACUGAUAAUGUGUCCCAAAUACUCCACUUGAGACUGUCCAAAGAUGCAUUUGGAAAGCUUGGCAAAUAGGGAGCAAGAUCUGAGUGUUUCUAGGACAGUUUUGAGGUGUGAAAGGUGAGUGUUUAGGUCCGAACUAUACACAAGGAUGUCAUCAAAAAAUACUAGCACAAAUUUUCUCAAGUAAGGUUCGAAUACACGGUUCAUCAGGCUUUGAAAGGUUGCUGGUGCGUUAGUAAGGCCAAAUGGCAUGACUGUGAAUUCAUAAAGUCCAAGGUGAGUUUUGAAGGCUGUUUUUGGAAUGUCAUUUAGGUACAUUUUGAUUUGAUGGUAACCAGCUCUUAGGUCGAUCUUAGUGAAGAGCUUAGCACCAUAUAGCUCAUCGAGUAAAUCAUCAAUGAUUGGUAUUGGAAAUUUAUCUUUGAUAAUCAGGUCAUUUAGUUGUCUGUAAUCAACACAGAAUCGCCAAGUUCCAUCUUGCUUUUUAACUAACAGAACUGGAGAUGCAAACGGACUAUGGCUGAGCUAAAUAAUGCCACUACUAAGCAUGUCUUUUACCUGUUUCUCUAUUUCAUUUUUCUGGUUGUGAGGAUACCUAUAAGGUGCUAACUUGAAUGGUUUGGCAUUUGGUACUAAAGGAAUUUGGUGGUCACAGUUUCUAGAAGGGGGAAGGGAUUUUGGCUCCCCAAAUACAUCCUUGUAGUCCGCAAUUAGAGCAUCUAGGGACUGUUGAAAAGUAAUAUCCAACUGAGUUACAGAGUGUACCUGAGUUCCACUCAUCCUCAGCCCGCAGGCCUGCUUCCAAAUUCUGGUGCUUAGUCCCUCCUUCUCAGCAUUGUCUCUAGGAAACUUAAGGACGGCCUCCUUAGACUCUCCUUGUAGCAAGAUCCUUUCCCCUUCCUUAUCAAAUGUCAUGUUCAACUGCCUGAAGUCAAAGGUGAUGGGGCUGUGUGCAGCCAUCCAAUCCACACCUAUGAUCAUAUCAUAAGGUUCUAAGUUAAUGAUAAACAUGUCAUGAGUGAAUGGUUUACCUUGCAUUUCCCAGUUCAUGUUUGGAAUCAUCCUACUACAGGUCAAAUACUCCCCAUUAGCCACCUUGACCUUGAAGGGCUUGAUAGACUUAACCAUCCCUGGAAAGAGUUGAGCCACAGUAUUUUUGACAAAGCUGUGAAUACUUCCCCCAUCCACCAAGAUUGACAGGGGGUUCCUUUGAACAGCCCCUGCAAUUUGAUGGUAUUGUAAGUCAUCUUCCCCGUCAGUGCAUGUAUUGCCAUUUCCACUCCUUUGGCUGACUGUGCCCCUUGGUACUCAAUUACCUCCCCUUCCUCCAGAUCCUCAGGCCUAUUUUCUACUGCGACAAGCAGAUGAAUCUCCUUCUGCCUACACUGGUGACCUGGACCAAACUUUUCUCCACACUUGUAGCAAAGAUGAUGUUCCCUUCUGUACUGCAGUUCUUCUGGUGUGAUUUUUUUGAAAUGUUGAGGUGUUUUUUUUGACAGCAUUGGCAAUGACAGGUUUGGUAGGUGCCACAGUUUGCUGAGCAGCAGCCUGUGUGGAGUUUCCCCAAGCCAUGGCCCUCUGAUGAGGUUUGUGCUUCCUGUGGUAGGCUUCAAAGGCAUUCUCCUGUAGUCUGGCUAACUCAAAGGCUUUGGAUAAUGUUCGAGGGUCGUGAGCUUUCACCAUGGAUCUCAAUUCAUCUGGCAGCCCACUCAAAAAAUAGGAAAUAUAGUAGUUUUCUGGAAGGUGUGGGGCUCGAAUCGUUACCUCUGAUAACAGCUCCUCAAAAUUUUCUUGAUAUGCUAGCACCGUGGAAGAGAGUUGCAACUUGUUGAAUUCCUCCACUGGAUCCAUCUGUCCUAAGGUUCCAAACCUCUUACACAGCUCUCCAGAAAACUCCAUCCAAUCUUUGUGUUACCCCUAGUAGACCUGAAUCCUUGAUACCACACUGCCGCUUUCUCCUCCAAGUGGAACUCUGCCAACUCCAUCCAUUGCUCCUUGGGAAUGUGCAGAAGCUGGCAAUAUUUCUGCAGUUUCCUGAUCCACUCCCUAGGAUUGUCUCCCCUAAAUGCUGGAAUUUCCAAUUUAGGCGUGCUAGCGAAGAAGGCACUCCUAGCAUUCCUUUCUCCUUGUUCUCUACUCCCCAGGUCUGAACUUCUAGAGUGACUUCCUUCUGGAGAUCCUAAUAUGCCUUUCUCUUGAUUUCCACGGUUCAAGUUGGAGAGCUGCUGCGAGAUGGCUGACAUGAAUGCAUCUAGCUUAUUGCCCAGCUCAACACUCACUGCAUCCAACCUAUCCUCCAUGCUCUGCUUGUCUGCUGCCAAGGAUUCCAGAAUUCCUUGAAUCUUGCUUUCUUGCCUGCGGAGCUGUUCCUCCAUCGUCUUCAUCCUUGUUCCAUCCGCCAUUGUGAUAUGUCGAUCUAAGCUUCCUAGUCCAAGGACCGGAAGCUCUGAUACCACUUGUAAUGGUACUAUUAGUUAUGAUCUGAAUAGGCUAAGAAGGUAGAAGGGUGUAGCAGAGAGAACGCAGGGAAGGGGAAAAAUUGUGAGAGAGAAGAGAGGAAAGGAUAGUGUGACAGGAAAGGAAGCUGAAUUUGUUAUAUCUCAUUACAUGCCUUUUCAUCCCCUUUAGGCUUUAUUUAUACAGAAUGCUCCCUCUAGAUCCUUCUGCAACUAGCCAAUCUCAUAACAGAAUGAGCAUGCAUACAUGCAUGCCUUUGACAGCUAGCUGACUAACUAAAUAACGGAAAUGCUAACUAACUACCUGAAAAGGAAAGCAUGGCAGAUACAUUUCUGCUCAGAAAUAUCUAGCGAGAAUAUCUAGGGUCAUUACAGAAAUUCCCCACCAUCUAGGAAAUCUCUCAUGUUUACGGCAUUUAGAACUUGGAGAUGUAACUCCCUCCUUAACAUGGAAUCGAUUGACAACGAAGGAUCUCGGCUGGAUUGUUGGGCUUUCUUCUUUAGAAGGCCUAAUCCUGUCUGAGGUGAAUCUCAGUGCCGCUAAAGAUGGUUUACAGACAAUUAACAUGCUUCCGUCACUAACAAGCUUCGAAUUGUCUGGUUGUGGACUUUUCAUCAAUCCUCAUCUUUCACAGGUCAAUUUCACAUCUCUUUCUUCCCAUGAACUCGGUGAAAGUAAUUUCAACAACUACACGGUCCCUCCUUGGCUCCAUAAUCUUACUGGUCUCCAUAAUCUUGGUCUUAGCUCUAAUCAUCUUUCCGGUCCAAUUCAUGGCCUAUUCGAACAAAUGACCUCUCUAGUUUAUCUCGAUCUAGGGGAAAACCGCUUUGAUGCAUCAACGUUGAUGUCACUUUGCAAUGUGAGCACUCUUAAUUAUUUGGAUCUGAGUUUUAAUGAUAUGCAAGGGUCGAUACCGAGUGAAAUAAGCCAACUUUCGAAGCUGCAAGUAUUGGAUAUUUCUUCCAACUCAUUAACUGGUGUAUUAUCUGAAGACCAUUUUGCAAAACUCGGAGAGCUAAAGUCGUUGAACCUAUCUGAAAACUUAUUCACUCUGAAUGUGAGCUCCUGGUGGGUUCCUCCUUUUCAACUCCGAGAAAUUAUGAUGUCACCCAUCAAAGUAGGCCCCCUAUUUCCAGUUUGGCUUCAAACGCAAAAGGAGGUUCAAAGUUUAGAGAUGCAGAAUGCAGGCAUUUCGGAUAGCAUACCCAGCUGGUUUGGAGUGCUUUGUUAUGAAAUUUAUAUUGUAGAUUUCUCCAACAACAACCUGACUUGGAAUCCGUUGGAGUUCAAACAAAUGAAGAAGAGUCCUCCUGAUGGUAAUUCUCCAAGCAUAGUUCUAAAGUCCAACAAAUUGGAUGGAUCUCUCAAAUCGUUUCCGUCUUAUAUUUAUGAAUUAGAUCUUUCACAAAAUUUUCUUACCGGACAUAUUCCAUUGCCUGAUGUUGGUCAAACUGUUGCAUCUACUCGUUUUCUCAUACUCUGUGAUAAUCAUUUCACAAGCAGUAUCCCGGAAGACUUGUGCAAAUUGGAAAAUUUAAAAUAUCUGGAUCUAUCCAACAAUUUUCUGUUCGGAAGAGUUCCUCUGUGUUUGGGAAAUUGGCUAGACCUGCGGGUCCUAAACUUGGCAAAUAAUAGUCUAUGCGGUCAAAUUCCGAGUUCACUAGGCAACUUGGGGUAACUUUGGAUUCUGCAUUUGAAUUGAAAUAAAUUCGUUGGGAAGCUCUUAUCCUCAAUGCAGCGCCUGAGAAAUUUACAAAUUCUUGAUCUCGGUGACAAUGGACUUACAGAUAUUAUACCAACAUGGAUUGGGGAAAGGUUAUCAAAUUUAAAGUUUCUAAGAUUUCAGUCAAAUAACUUCCAUGGAAUCAUUUCUGAUGAGCUCUGCCUAGUCUCACGUCUUCGUGCUGAACCUAGCGCAUAAUAAUUUAACAAGAUCUAUUCCUCAUUGUUUUAUCAACUUCUCAAUGAUGGUAUCAAGUGAACCAGGAACUGACCUAUCAAUGCAUGAACUCUUCGGUGCAAUCCCUAAAAGCUUAUCUGCUUUAAACUGGUUGAACUUCCUGAAUUUGUCACACAAUAAGCUAUCAGGGCCAAUACCAUCAGGGAAUCAAAUUUAGACCUUAACCGAUCCAUCUAUCUAUGAAGGAAACAUUGGACUCUGUGGCAAGCCACUCCCAAAUGACUGCCUGGAACAUAAAUUGCCUACGGAAAAUGGGCAUAUUCAUGAUGAUAUAGGCCACGCGAGUCUAAUUGGUCUUGGUUUUAUGCUGUCGGGCUAUUGGGAGUUUUGGGAAUCCUUCCGUUCAAGAAGUCAUGGCGCUAUGCAUACUUCAGGUUUCUGGAAAAUGCCUAUGACAAAAUUUACGUAAUGAUUGCAUUGAAGGCUAAUCAGCUGAGGAGGAAUUUCCAUUGAGUAAUACCCUGUAAAAGCACAUUUAUUCCGUUUUUCAUAUCACACAGUAGCAUACUCUCCUUGAGAAUUUGCAAAACUAUAGUAAUUUGUAGUAAAGAUUUGUUUUAUGCGUCCCAACUUGACCGAUUCUUAUUCAAUAAGAAAAUGAUAGCUUACUAGUUUUCUUUCUUUUUUUUUUUCAAGACAAAGAAGCUCAAUAAGUUAUAUCAACAAAAGAAUAACGCACCAAAAGCAGUAGAUGAUUCUAGCAUCAAAUCAGUAUCUUGCAAAGGAAAUUUUCCCAAUAAACUAUUACGUGAUUGAAGACCAGAAAUUUCCAUUCCUUAACUUUUGGAACUUUUUAUCUUAAAAACUAGGUACCAAAACCUUAGUUGCUUUCUCUAGAUUCUCUCUUUCUAUUGGCAAUUAUUUUUAGUCUCUCAAAAAUUUGAUUUCUAAUAAUUCUGCUCUAUUCUUCAUAUUUACAUUGCAUUUUCCUAUGUUUCUUUACAUUCCAUACUAUGAGAAUCUUAUUGAUUUUUAUUUACAACCGAUUAAAUAAUUAUUUUUCUGUUCGCAUUAGAAUGCAUUAAAUAUUCUAUAUCGAGCAAUUUAUAGGUUGUUUAUCUUGCUUACUGAUCUAAUUUUUGCGUCAACAGAUUUAAACGCUUUAGAAGAAUUCUAUACUUGUUUAUGCUAAUAAUUGAUUUAGUUGUUUAAUUUCUAAUUGAUAUGCAUUUGAUAGGUUGCGAUUUUAUCAUUUAUUUUAUUAUUAAUUUCCCUUAUUGCCUGAUCCGAUGUGGAUUAAUUACUGGAUUUAUUCACUUUUAGUAUUUUGCAUUUAUUUCAGGGAGUAGAAUGAAAAUAUGACAACAGGUGCUAAUUUGGCAGAAAAGGAAUCCAAAUGAUAGAGUUUAUCCUAGGGGUAUUUUUGAAAUAAAAAGAGACGCAAGACCUUUUUGAUAAUUUGGUCGAAGACAGCAGGAAAGAAAAGGGAGGAGCUGGAGUCUUCGGUUUGAAGACUGGGCCGCCGCACAGUAGCAGAGGCUACUUAGAUAGGAAUUAGAAUUAGAAUUGAAUUAGCACUACUGUGGAUAGAUAGCUUUUCUUUCGAGGAGCUAUGCCCCAUGCAUGUCAGGAGCAAAAUUGGGGAAAACUUUGACUUUUCUUCCUUUGAGCUUUUAGUAGUUGUUUUUCCUCCUUCGUACGGCAGACGAAGGGAAAACUACCAAUCACCUUUUGCAGCCUGCUAUCUUUUCAAUAUUCGGACGAAUUGAAUUUUUCCAAUCUCAAAGGACGAUGGCUGCUGCUUUCUCUUCAGUUUUGUAUGGUUUUUUCGCACCAAAUAUGAACUAAUUUCUUCACUUUAAUCAAGGAACAACGGAGGCUUUGGUUCGUCUAAAACUUGUGAGAUCGAUUUAAUUUUAUCUUUUUCUUUUAUUUAUUGGUAUUCGCAUAUCUCUUGAUUGCAUUGUUCAUGAUUAUUUAAUUAAUUGAUUGUCUUGAAUCCGGAUAAUCAGUUAACUUAAUAAUUUAUUGUCAAUUAGGGCAUUAAAUCCGUAAUUGUUUAAGUGCCUUGAAAUAGUGACAACUGGCACGAUUAGAUUCGUGUCAAAGGGAUACGCAAGCUAAUCUGAAAUAACCCCGGUAGUGCAUUAUUUGGUUAGAAUAUGGCUCCUCUAAUACGUAAGACAAUUAGAGAAUUGAAUCUUAUGGGCAUACCUAAGAUUAUUUCUCAAUUAGAGCAGUGAUUAAUGGGCGUACCUUAAUCACCGAUACAGUAAGGAGGGGUUGACUGGCAUCACUUGUUUGGUAGUUAUAACCUAUUUAUUAAUAAAUAAUUGGAAUUGCUUGUGCAUCGAUGAUCAAUUAGGUGAACCAUUGCUGAAGUUAUUUCUUGGCUAGACCUUUAAUUAUUGUUAAUAUAAUUUUAGUGAAUUGUCAUUUAAUUUCUAGCUAGCUAUUUAUUUUUAUUCUUAUUUGAAUUUCUUUGAUUGUCAUCGUUUAUACAAAAACACCCCCUGUGUUACUUUGGAUUUCUUAAGAGACAAAUAUCCCCAAUCCCUGAGGAUACGACCCUACUUGCCCUGUCUACAAAUUCAUAAUUAUUUGUGAAAAAAGCCAUCCCAUUCGAGUAUAUCGGAUCAACCAAACUCUUUGGGAACAGGGUGAAUCAAGUAACCCAUUGCACACCUAGAGUCCUUGCUCCAGUACUUGGAAUCAGAUUUUGGUUACUUUAACUGGCAAUUAGGUUUAAUUUUAUUAUUGUACAGGCUUCGACACCUGUCAACAUUCUAGCUUUUCUGCCAACAACUCUUAUGAAUUACCAACUAAUGAUUUUCAGGUAUUACAUUAAUUCUACCCACCUAAGUUUCACUCUCGAAACUUAAUUUGACCAAAUUAGCAUAAAAACAAACUGCCCUUCCAAUUAUAUCACUUUACAUGAACAAGUAUUAAUUAAACUACUAGUAUUUAAGGCACACACCAAUGUGUGUACACCUAAAACAAAGCAUAUUAUUAAAAUUUUGAGUAAAUUUGUUGAAAUCAUUUUCAAAGGAAUUAGUUUUAUAUUUUUGACAAUGGGUAUUGGAAAAUUCACGAAAAUAAGUGUACAAAUAGAUUGUUAUUUAGCAGUAAUCCAUAACCAUAAUCGAUAGUUGAUUACAUUGGGUAGCUAGCAAGGUAAGUUUAAAAAUAAUAUAAAAUGACAAAAUUUUAUGUAUACCAAAAGCCCUCUCCCCAUUUAUAUAUUUACAACAAAAGCUUACUCCACCUUUACAUAGAGCAUAGAUAUUAUUUAUUCAAGGACAAUUCAUGUCCCUCCUCUCCUUCCCCUCCUCGUUUUUUUGGUCAAUCGUCAACUCCUAUUACUACUCCUACUCUAACCAAUAUUAGGGAAUGAUCCAACUGGACCAAUGGGGCUGGAGAAAGAAGAUCUCACCUGUAUAUCAAAGAGGUUCACUAGACCAAAGAAGGGUUGGUUCAUGUUCAAAUCCGCUAUUCUUUUUACAAGGCCAUAGAAAUUUCAAACACCUGAUGCCCAUUACGUUUCCCUUGCGUCAACAUAAAUCCAAACAUCAAGAAGAAUUCCACUUAAUUAACCUUAUUUUCAUUUGAACUUUAGUUAUUUCUAAAGUGAUAAUCAUGUCUUACUAUUCAUUAAAGUAACCUACUAUCAAUAAAAACUCCACUAGUAAAUUCCGUGCUCUCAUUUUCUGAUUUGCCAGAUUCUUAGUUGCACCCCCAAUUUACUUCAUACUACAUGCCAUCACAGUGGAUCUAGAAAUAUUAUAGCAUAACCACCUAGAAAUAUCUUCAAGAUAUAAUCCUUUUCAAUAACAUCACCCACUCAUGAUUUUCAAUCUAGAAUUACCUGUAGUUUUAAGAUUCAAAUCAAGUGAUCAUAAAGCCAUGUGAGAAAAACUAAUGAACAUAAAUUAAAUUUCUAACUCAUCGAUUGCCAAUGGUCCUAUUAGAAACUAGUUCUUGCAAUCAAUAAUUGGUAGACAUGCAAUAAAAAUGUGUCCUAGGCCUCCUGAUCUUCUAAACAAACAUGUAAGAGCAGAAGGGUUUCAUGAACAUCCUCCCAAUGAGGAAUGUUAUAUGAACGGAUCCCAAUCACAAAUUAAAGAUUCGUGAAAAAAGAGAGAAACUCUAAAAAAUUGGGUAAUUCCAAUAAAGUUUGAUAAAAGUUGUUAAGAGAAUGAGAUAUUACUUAGGCCCUAUUUGGCAAAUAACUCCCAAUAAAUAUCUGGGUAAAACUUAGGCCUCGUUUGGCGAAUGAGUUUUUUGAGUGUUUAUCUAAAAUUUUACUGCAACUUACUGUAAAAAUUGUAGGAAAAAAUUUUAAAAUGAAAAUUUUUUUUCUUUUCUUUUUAUUUCUUUUUCUUUCUUUCUUUCUUUGUUCUUUUCUUUCCUUUCUUCUUCAUCUCCCUUCCCCGUCCCCUGCCACCUCUCGCUUCCAGUUGGAACAAGAAUUUUUUUUGCUCUUUUCUCUCACCCUCUCUUCUCUCUCCCCUCCCCUCUCGCCCCUUUUCCGGGUGCUUUCUAGUCGUGUGACCAGAUCGGGCAAAGGGGUAAGGGAAGGGUGGUGAGGGAGGGAGAAGGGGGGAGAGAAAUGGCGGGGAAGAGAGGAGGAGAGAGGGAGAGGAGAGAGAGAGAAAAAAAAAGAUCGGCCGACUCCGAGGUGGUGGUGGGUUGAGAUGGAAGGAGAAAGGAGGAAGAAAAUUUCUUUUGUGUGUUUUGGAUAUUUUGAAAUAUAUAGUUAAAGUUGUUAAAAAUUUGAUAGGAAACAAACUUAGCCAAAAAUUCGUUUGCCAAAUAGGCCAUUAGUUCUAGGAAUGCUUUGAAAAUCCUUGUUAGAGGGAUAGUGAAAUUCUUGUUAUCCAUUAAUAUCUGAGGUCAUGUUAUUCAAUAAUGGUAAUUGUGAAAAAAUUUUCUCUUUUUUGAUUGAUUUUUAUUCAUAAAUUCAAGCUAUUAUUCAAAUUAUAGUAAUUUAUUGAUGAAUUUGGAUUAUUUAUUGUUGAAUUUGGCUAGGUAUAAAGUUAAUUGAAGAUGCAUAAAAGUUUCAUAAAUAAGGCAGCCUGUUUCGACAUUGCUUUCAAUGAUGUGUGGAUUAUGUUUGUGAACUUUAAUGACACAAAGGGGCAAGCUACUCCUACUACUGCUACUUAUUUUGCAUUUGGGGAUGAGUCCCGCAUCUCGUGCUGGAGUUGAUACCGGUGUAGUAAAAUGGUAAUCCAAUAUGCAAUUAACGAAUUUUGUUCUAAAAGCUAUAUAUAACGGAAAUGUGUGAGAACCUGAGAAAAUUAUGUGUAUGCCCUAAAUUUAUUUCAUUUUAUUUACUUUGAUAUUAGAAAUAUUAUAUAUAACGAAUAAAUGGUUAAAUUAAAUGCCUAAUUGAAUCCUUAUGAAAUUGAGAAUUUAGAAAAUAUCCUAGAAUAGUGUAGAAAAAUUUUAUGAAUUAAAUAAAUAUAUGGCAUUCAUAUCGUAAUUUAUGUCAUUUGCAAAUAUUACUAGACACGAAACAUAUACUAUAUAGUUCAAUAGGUACAUGUCUAAUAAAUCCUUUUUAAAGCUAAAUGUGUGAAAAUCUACUAGAUCAACGUAAGAAAAUUUUUCACGAAAAUAAAAAUUAAGUUAAGAGUGAAUGUAUGAAAUAAUAAACUAAAGGACCAAUUUAACCAUUAAUGGAUGGACAAUUAACCAUGCAACCAAAAGAGGAAUUGAGCUUCUGGACAACCGAGGAACUUAGGCAAUCAAAUGCUUAAUUACUAGAGCGGUGAUUGAGAGAACACUAAGAAGAAAACAGCUCAAGUAGUAAGUAGCACCGACUGGGAAACAUUGACCACCGAGUGGACUGUUCCUUCUGAUUCUAGAGUCUUAUAAGCUGCUAAGUCCAAGCGGUGGCUGAAGGAAAAACCAAGAGAAAUCCACAGCCAAUAAUUUGCUAAGUCAAGCGGUAGAAGUGAGGAAACAAAUAGAAAGUGGCUUGCUAAGUUGGGCGGUGGCCGAGUGGAGAAGCGAGGCUUCAAUUCUUUUCUUACCAACCAAACACCAAGAGCAAAACUGAGAGACUAAGCCAUUUCUUUUCAUCUCAAGGCACAACCGAGAGAGAGGAAAAUAUUUCUGGUUCCUCCUUGUUCCAGUUUUCAACCGAGAGAGUGAGGGAGAGAGUUAGACAUUUGCUAGCUUUAUUUCUCCAGCUUGGAACCUCAAAACUCUGAGCCAAAGUGAGUGAGAGGGAGAAAAAUCCUGGUGGUAUACUUCACCUAACGGCCUCAACCGAAUGAGAGUGAAGUAGAUUGAAGAAAGAGUGAGAGUUGGUGCAAUUUUGAGGAACCGAAGCUCAACUUGGAGCCGUCUGCACUUGCUGAAUUCUAGAGGAAAGGAGUUCUUGUCCUUAGUUUAGCUACCCGAGAGACAUUAGGAGGAAAAGGAGAGAAGGACCAAAAGAAAGAAACAACAACAACAACUAGGAACUCAUUUCUGGCCACCUUCAACCGUGAGAACCAGCCACAAAGAAAGCAGGAAUGCAGUCUAUUGAGCUAAGAAUGGGAGAGAAAAACCAGAAUUUUAUUUUCCUAACUUAGAACCAUAAGAACCAGAGGUAAACUACUAUCUUUCUCUUCCAUUUCUUCUACGUUUAGCUAGUAGUCUUUUAGAAUGAAUUGAAACCAAGUAAAAGAAAAUUUUCUAGAAAACAAAGGUUGUCAAAGCUGGAAAUGUUCGUUUGAAGCUGCAUGUUCUCACUCUAAUGUUUAUAUGAUUGCAAGUUAGAUUUGAGUGUAAAAUGAAGAGAUUAUUAGAGGAAAUUUCAUACUUUUAAACUGCUAGCUGCUGAAACUCCUUCAUCUUGGCCGAGAGAACAAAAGAGAGUAUUCUCCAACUUUUCUCUUCAAACCUUGGCUAUAAAUUCUAUAUUGUGAUUCAAAACACCUCAUAGAAUAAUAAUUAUCACCUGGAUAUUAAGUUUGAAUGAGGAAAAUAAAGAAUUUUAUGGAGAAAACUUGUUUUCCAAACUACCUACUUGCUGGAAUUUUUCAACCUCAGCCGAGAGAGAUGGAAGGGAUAUUUUCUGAUAUUUCUCUAUAGAUUUUGGGCUGUAAACUUUCAUAUUAAGGUUGAUUACACCUUAUAAUAUCAUUAGAUGGUCAUGUAUGUGAAUUUUGGGGUGAAAAUGUGAUUUUUUAUGGCUGGAUUGUUGUUUGAAAGACUGUUAGGCUAAUAAACCAUUUACAGUUUAGUCAACGGAAUUUCUUGGCUUUGAAUGGAUAUUUUAGUAUAAAAUUUGCUGGAAAUGCUUGAUUUGUACUUGUUGCUGUGUUAUGAGUUUGUUGGUGAGUGAUUGGUGGAUGGAAAUAAAAUCUAAAUAGUUAAAAUGGAAGGGAAAGUUUGCUAUACCACCUACAGGAAUCAAAGGAGCCUUGUAACUUAUAUAAGAAGAUAUCCAUUUAUUACUUGGUUUAAUAGGCUCUAUAUAAAUUGUAUACACAUCUUAAGGUAAUAAACUAGUUAUGCAUGUGGUCUUGGUUAAUAACAGAAGGAAUUAUGUGACAAGAAAGUACUUUAAGGUUAGCUACUUCUAAACUUACCUUGUUAAACGUUAAUGUUGAGUUUUAGUACGAUAAAUCUAACAGUAUAAAAGUAGUGAAGUGACAUUACUGGAAUUGCUACUUAAACUUCCUUUCUUUUGGAAAUUAAAAGUUGAAGUAACAAGCGAGUGUGAGAAAAUGCACUAGUCAUCUCAUUUAAACAUAGCAAUGACUUAGAUUUCGGGUGGAAUGGUGACUUAAGGCUAGAAUACAACACGUAUGUUGAUUAUACUUUAGAAUUUCACCAAAUGAGUAGUUAAAUAAUUAUGGCAAUUAUAACUUGUCUCAGGAGACAGCGGUGCGCAAGAAAGCAAUUCUAAGAUCGAAGUGUAACUUUUGAUUAGGGUGAGUGUUUAAGAAUUUAUAUAUUUAACUGUUUAUGUUUAUUUAAGUGAAAUUAUGUGAUAAAUGUGCUUAUUAUGUAUAUUGCCAGUGAUUUAUUGUAAAGUGUAUCUCAAUUGUCCCUCGCCUUCUAAGUCGAGGGUGUACUUUAUCGCACUCGACUUAGUUGAACUUGAAGGUUGAUUAUUGACUAAAUGUUACUGUAAGUAUGUAUGAAUGUAAGCCGUAUGUGUACUUUAUCGCAUCGGCUGAACUGAGCCUCAAAACCCUCUGUUCAACAGAUUAUUCGAGCCAGCAAAGGGCUUGUUGGAUAGGACGGAAGCUUUGGGUAACUGUUUGGUAUACUCGGGUAUUACCCUGAAGUUGGGAGAUUAUUGAACUGAUUGCUGAAUGUAGGGGAUUGAUUAUUGUUUUGGAGGACAUAAGGAGGUGGAUUGGCGGAGUGUGCAAUAAUAUUGAAAUGAAUGUACAAUGACACUGAAAUGAGUGUGCAAUGAUAUUGAAAUGACACUGAAUUACUGAACGGAACUAAGUGCUACGUCUGGAACGAACGGGAACCACCUCUAGAGUCCGUAUCAAUACCGUAUCCUUUGAGGUGAUUGAUUACUUUUAUUAAAUUUGAUAUCCUGAAUUGUUAAGUUUGGUGAAUGUUUUAUACUGCUAAUUGGUUGUUGUAUCCUUUUGAAAGUGACAAUACAGUGAAAUGUGCAUUACUUGCUUAAUUUUACUAGUUAAGUGUUUAUUGAAUGUUACUUGUUCGGCAAACCUCACUAAGUUUUAGCUCAACCUUUUAGUUUUGUUUUCCUUACAAGAAUUGGUGGUCAGGGAAUGAACAAGGGAUCUUAAGGAGUUAACGUGAAGAAUUUUGUGAAUGUAAAUCCUUUAACAUCAAAUUAUGGUUGAGGCUAUUAUAUUGAACUUGGUAUUGUAAAAGAUUUGAGUAUUUGGUUUUGGUUUAUCGAAAUGUUAUCUCUGAAAUUAAUGUAAGUGAGUGAGUCCUGGCGAGAGUCAGGCAGAUGGUCCGCUAACUUCUAGGGUAUGCUCUAGGAGAAGGUGUGACGACCCCACCUCCCCUAAGGCGUACCAAAGGGUUCGGCGGACCGCCUGCCCAACUCUCGCCAGGACUCACUCACUCGUGUCUUACGCAUACAUCCAUAGACAAGAAAUAACAUUGCAAUUCAAACUUGUAAUAUACAUCGAUGCACAAACCCAGAUACAAGACAUCUAUACAUCCAAAAUACUUAAAAGUGUAUACAAUACAAGUACAACGCAUUCUAAGCGAAUGAUAGCGUGAGUACAACUCGAAAGUCAAAACAAUUAGUCUAAACUAGUCUGUACACGUCUCACGCCUCGCUCGUACCCCUGUAAGGAAAACAAAACUAAAGGAGGUUCCAAAUAUCAAAUUGUCCAGCAAAUAAAGUAACAGUGGCAUAAUGGUGAAAUAGCGAGCAAAACAAGUCAAGAAAUGAGUAAUAACACUUCAUAUAGCUAGACACGUAAUUUUUCCGCAUUUCACAUAUAAGAAUACAGUUGCUCAUAUAUCGACUCCACCAUAGCUUGAUCAAUUGGUAGUUGGCACUCCGUCAACUUUCAAGUGAGAAACUAGUCCAGUAGGUCACCACUUCACUCCAAUCUCCGUCCACCGAUCAAACCUCUUACUGGGCUCGAACUCCACAAUAAACACUGGUGGUAAUACUCGAGUAUACCGAUUAGUCGAGGAGAUAACACUCCACUCGACAACACUAGAUACCCAUGGUUCGUUAUCUAAUCGACCAAACCCUUGCCGGCUCGACUCGAUUAACUAGCCAAUGGGGUUUGGAUCCCCAAAAAAUCGAUGAGAUAACACUCCAAUCGAUUGAAUCAAGAUAAAAGUAUGGAGACGGGAAUGAGAGGUACCUCCCACUCGGAUCGAGUGUGGUACAUACUGCCGCUCAGUACUUACAAGUCACACACAAAUAUCUCAAAUCAAUUGCAACAAUAAACAAGUACAUAUCACGUUAGGGCAAGUGCGAUAAAGUACACCCUUGCCCGAUCAUACCAAUCACAUAUCAUUCGAUCACAUUGGUCAAGUAUUAAAAACAAGUAUCCAGUUCAAUCAGGUAUUUGGAAGUACUCACCAAAGAUGUAGUGCCUUUACGGAUCACGGUCAGGUAUUACUCCUUGUGUGGAGUUCAACUCUGCGAUAAAAUGUCAUUUAAGAACUUGAAAUCAAUUAGGGUUCAAGUUUUUUUUAAAGAAAAUCAAGUAAUUGAAACUCAUUUGGGGAAUAUUCGUAAAACUCAUGCUCGCUCUUAAAACUUUGAAAAUUUGAAGCGAUUAAACUUUGAAAUUCCCAUUUGAGUCGAAGAGAGGAGAAAAACGUAUUUCUAUUAGUCGUUACUUUUAUUUUUUCAAGGUUACAAGGUUCGGUCGAAUUCUAACUUAUAUACCACUAUGAGCGAAGACUUGAAUACCCUAGAUGAUUCGAGUUCAAUUCGACCUCAAAUCUUCGCUCAAACUGCGAGUAUACACGUCUCACUUUCGAGUGAAAAUUUGGGCAGCAUACCCCUUUGUAUUUAGCUAUUUUCCAGUCAUUUAUGGCUUCAUUAUUGUUCUCAAUUCAGCCCUAAAAUCACACGCAAAUAAUCUUACCACAAUAGCCUUUCACUAGGCUCAAUGUCAUCCACACACAAGACAAUUUUAGCAUGUAAGCUUCACUUGGAAAUUCGGAAAUGGUGGCCAAAAGCUAAGUACAAGUCUUGACCGCUUUAAUUAAGGUAACUUGUUAAAAGAGUAAAACUUUGAGGAAAUGAGAGAUACAUUAGCGAGAGAAGUUCAAUAGGGAUAUAUUUGAUGUCAAGGAAGUGGAAAAAUCAAGGUGAGGGGUUGGAAGUAGGCCGUCUGAGGUUUUAAAGUCAAGAAGCCCGUUUCUAUACUUCAGGAAUCUACUGAGAUGAAUAGUAACAGUAAACUUUAAAAAUUCGCAACUCGAGUUCCACAAAUCAAACAAUUAUCAAAGUUAUACUGUUGUAAAAUAGAUUUUUAGUACUAUCACAUCCCAGAAGACACUUUUCAGAGAUUCAAAUCACAAAUAGGCCAAAUAUUCGAUCCAAGUCAAAAAUUCAUUUUCCUGAAGAAACAGGACAUUCAAGCAGGACAGCCUACUUUGAGGAGUCACGGACAGCAGUACACAUGGAGGAAAAAUAUGAAAUUUUUACAAAACAAAGGCCCAUGAUUCUAGUUGCAAAUGCCACUGAUGACACCUCAAUCGGAUUUUUCUACACCAAGAUAUAAGCAUUUUACUGAGACUGGUCAGUGAAAUCCGAAAAUCUGGAAACUCAUUUUUCACUUGUGAAAAACUCCUUUUUCUCUUUUAAAACCACAAGACUUUUAUUCAAACCACCCAUACAUUUAAGUAUGACAUUCAUACCAGCAGUUUUAACAUAAUUUAAGCAUCAAAUUUCAACAGAAACCAAAGAAAUAUACAUAUAUUCCAAGUUUAAAGUCUUGUAAGAUGUUUAUACUAAGAUUAAAUCAUUUUCUAUCCAAUAUUCAAGGAUUAAGGCAAAUGAACUCUUCAUUUGUUCCAUUUAAGCUAAACCAGAUUCUAAGUUGUUUGUAGUUUGGGUUUUGUUCCACUACACCAGCCCCUCACAUUAAUAGUCUUUAAAAUAUUAAUGAACACAAUAUUAAAUCAUUAGAAGCCACUUUACGUAUAUAACUAUCAUAACUUUCCACUCAAUCGUGUUGGUUUAACCCUACUCGUGGAACUAGGUAUAUCCAUUAAAUCUGAGAACAAUCGUAGCUAUCAUUUAUGAAAGCUUGCAAGAUUGGAAAUUAGAAGAAAUGUUAGUUAAAAGUUGGUUUCCUCAGGGCCAUCAUCAAAACUGCAUGCAUGUGAAACAAAAGGAAAGGCAACGAGGAAGUCAGCUUUGCCAUCCUCUGGUAUUUCAAUCAUAACUAGAGCUAUGCUUAUCAGAUUGAGGCAAGCUUUAUAGCGUUUCGAAGCUAAGAUAUAUACCUACAUUUCUUAUGACGACACCAACACCCAAUUCUCAUAUUUUCAGGGUCAAAAAUGGCCGGACAGAAACACAUCCUGCUUCACUCUGUCGGACAGCAACCACAAAAUUAAUCCAGUACCGUUACUUCAACUUUUGUCAAAAACUCUAUUCUUUCACUUGCUUAAAGCUCUAAAUACUUAAGGUAUAUUCAGUCCAGCAUAUACAAGGUGAGUAACUCAUAAUUUCAGCAUGUUGUUCGGCCAAAAUCACACACAAAAUCUGUCAUCAGCUGUUGCAUCAUUCAACGAAGUUUUCCAGCAGUAUAACAGUUCAACUUUGAUGUUUUCUCAAAUAUUUCCUUUCAGGUUCAUGCUCCAACUAGAAGUAUAAAACAUAUCUUAUCAAGCUACAAAGUAGCCUUAAACAGAACAUAUGAGGUUUACAACUAAAAUUCGAAGGAAGAUUGAUUAAAAGUCCUUUUCUCUCUCUCUCUCUCUCGGCCUUCCUAGCCAGUUCCAUCAGCUUUAAUCAAAAUUUCACCAUUAGUUUUUCCAUUAUGCUCUCAAAUCUAACUUGCAAUCAUAUUAAACAUUAGACAGAUCAUAAUACGUGAGUUCCAGUCACAAUUUAGCAAACGUUUUAGAGAAAUAACCAAAAUUGCAGCUUUUCCCUCUCGAUUUGCUGUGCAGAAAAUUCCAGCUUUUGAGAUUGCUUUAAAGUCAAUCUUUUCUUGCUUUUAGCUCCUCAAAUAACACACGGAUGACUGGAUUAGGAAGAUGGCAGUUAUAUGAAGUGAGUUUUUAACUAAACUAACAAAAUUUUCUAGAGAUAAAGCUGGAAAUUUCCAGCUUCAUCUUAUUGAUCCUUCAUGUAGUGUCCAAACAGAAAUUCAGCAAAGUUUCUUCAUAUUUUACACUCAUUCCACUUGAGUUCAGGUCAAGUACUGCACCCAUGUCAAGAUAUGUAUACUAUGGAAUAUAUAUAAUGCAUGAAGACAUAAUCUAACACAUUUUGAAGGAGAAUUGACUAAAAAAUUGCAGCUUUUUAUCAUCGGGUAGCAUGCAAUAACUUUGAACAGAAUUUUCCAGCUUUGAAGAACUUUUAUCGGUGAAUUCCUUCCUUUCUCAGUUCUAGUUCAUCCCAAGGAAUUAUUAACCAGGCAUAGCAGGAAAAUGAAGAAGAGCUUAAUUAAUUACCUAUUGUCUCUUCACGGUUUAGACUGGAACAAGAUUUCUGGUUUUCUUUUGUUUCCCUCUCUCGAUUCCUUGGUUAAAUGAGCUGGAGUUUCUCUUGUUUCUUGGCUGGUGUUCAUGGUUGGAGAAGGUAAGAGAGGUCUCCGUUUUUCCUUCUUGUUGUUUCUCGAUUUUAGGCAACAGGGGAAGUGAAUGGAACCCUCUCGGUCACCGCCCAACUAGUGCACAAAUGAAUUUCUUAGCUCCUCUCAUUCGGUCAUCACCUCACGUAGCAAAUAAAUGGGCAGCUGUCUUAACAGGUACCGCACAAUCUAGAAGCCAAUUCCUACUGGUUUUCUCCCUUCCACCGCUUGGACUCAGCAGAUAAUUUCUCUUUAUUGUCUCUCUUUCGGUCACUACUUAUUCAGCAAAUUUGGUGAUGCAUUCCUUCCUGGCAGCUGUCUCAACUCACCGCCCCAGUCUCAGUUAAUUUCUACACUUCACCGCUUAGACAAGUAGAUGGUUGCUGGCUUCUAUUCGGUUCCUAUCAAUUAAAUUUUUAUUCCUCUCUCGGUUUUGGUCUUCUGAAUUCUGAUAGCUUAUGCCUUGGCCACCUGGUAGUUAGUCUAAAAUUUAAGGUUAGUUUGGUCUUUUAACUGUAGCUUAUUUGCUCACAACGGCCUGAUUUGUUUAUUUAUUUUUUUAUGAGUUCAUGCAUGGACUCGUACCUUCAUUUGUAUUUUCGUGGAAAAAUUUUGACACCUUUAGCUUUAAGAAAAAUUAUUAGACAUGUACCGAUUGAACUUCUAGUAUAGUUUACGUGACUAGUUGUAUUUGUUUGCAAAUAACAUACAUUACAAUAUGCAUGCCAUAUAUGUAUUUAAUUCAUAAAAUUUUUCUAUACUAUUCUAGAAUCUUUUCUAAAUUCUCAAUUCUAUAGAGAUUCAAUUAGGCCGUUAAUUUAAUCAUUUAUUCGUUAUACAUAAUAUUCCCAAUAUCAAAGUAAAUAAAUGAAAUAAAUUCAGGGCAUACGUAAUUUUUUUUUCCUGGGUCUUCACAGAAGGUGGGGCCGUCACAAAAUGAUUAUUCGUAAAGAAACUUAUUUAAAAGUUGAAAUUACCCUUGUUUUGAAACUCAAAUGGCUGAAGCGAACAAAAUGCAUAAACAUAAUAUGUAUGACACUCUAACCCCAUAUGAUUUUAUAUUUUACCAUGAAACCCCUUAUGAUUUAAUGUUUUAUCAUAUAAAUCCCUUAUGGCUUUCACUAUAUAUACAUAACCCCCUUAUAGUUAAUAAAUAAUUUUCAACUUUAUAUAGGGUAUUUUUUAUAUUUUAAUUGAUUCCAUUAUGGAUUGUAAAUUUCGUUAAUUUGACACUUUAAUUCAGACAAUAAGAGAGUUAUGUAUAACUUUUGAAAUCAUAAGAAGAUUAUGUAAAAAAAAAUAUUAAAUCAUAGGGGAGUAAAAUGUAAUUUAACUGUGUGCAGCAUCCAGCCCCUCUGGCUGCUGUCACUGGAUUGGGAGGAAUAUAGUAUGAAAGGCUGCAUGCACCGUCCAGCGUCUCUACCACUGUGGGUCAUGACUUUAAUUUCUUCACGGGUAGACUUGUAGUUGCCAGACUCAACACGAAACAAAGUUUGUACCCAAUUUCGAACGCUAUAUGGGCACGUCGAGAUAUUGAAUGCUGUUCAUUUACGAUUGUUUUGGUUACUCCAAAAUUUAAACGUGCAUUUGAAAUUCAUUAAAUAUCUGUUUACUCUUCUUUUAGCUUCAACCUUUUUAUAUAUUCAAAACCACCAAAAUGUUUUGCUUAUAUUUAAAAAAAAAAAAAAAAAAAAAAGAGAAGAGUUUAUCAAGUCUCAUUGAACGUAUUAAACAAGGUUUUUACCACAAAAAAAAAAAAAGAAAUAUAGCUGGAUCCAUGCAAAUAUCUGUAAAGGCUUUGUAAAGUAUGUGGAUCCUAUUCUAUAAGUAAUUAAAUUUUUUUUUUUUGGGUUAUUCUUGGAAAUAGACUACUGCAACCAGUUACUAUUUAAGUGGUCCAUGGCAGUAACUCUGAUACAAAUUGACAAAUGAAUACAUAUUUUUCAGGAACUUCAAGUCAUUGUCAUUUUAUCAGCAAUUUUCUACAAGCAUUUAGAACCAUAGAUGAUGCUUUAUCAGACGACCAAUACCAAAGGAAUUGAAUACGCAUCUCCUUAAUACUACUUCAUCAUUAUUAGCUGAUUGAUUUGGUAGUAGUAUUCCUGUCACUUUUGAUGCAUUAAAUAAGCUUAUUAAUCAAUUGUCGCUUGCGAGAAAGCUUGAUAAAAAAAAAAAAAAAAAAAUCAUCUCCAAAAACAAGUUGGCUAUGACAGGAAUGGGAGAGGGGCAAUGACAAUCGUCAGUUGAAUCGUUUCGAAACGAUGUAAAAGGGAAUCAACAGGCAAGUUAUCAAAUAUUUGUGAUAAACUCUUAAAACACACAUGUUAUAUACUUAAACUCUGUUCACGACGACCCUACAAGUUAGUUGAGUUAGAGUUACAUAUAUCGUUAUCUAUCUCACCUUUACAACAUGAAUUUUUAUGUUAUUGGCAAAAUCUGAGUCAUGAACCUUCCGAAACGUUCGUCAGUUUCGUGACAACCAUUUAGUCCGACAAAGACACUUGUCUUGUUGUAAAGUGAACUAGAAAAAUUACCUCGCAGUAUAUUUCUUAGAAGAAUAGACUAAGUACCAUCCGUUAGCCAACCACAAGUAUAGCAAUUGAAUCAAUUAUCCUGACUGAUUCUUAGACUGUUUAUUCCAACAAAUUGCCGAAUAAUGAUAUUAUGAAGUAUGUAACUGCUUUAUGCUGCUGAUACAUGUUUUCAUCGAGUGAUAAAAUUUGUUAUGUAUUCUGUAGUUAUUGUUGUAAUGAUUUCCACGAAGACUUCAAGUCAUUGUGCCUGUUUCAAGUCAUCGUGAGCCAUUGUUCCGAACCAUAGAGGUUCUUGCGUGAAUAUGUUUGUACUGGAGAACGAAUGUGUAUCUAAUGAUGAAACAUAGGACAACUGAAAGAAAAAAUACUUAUAAACAACGCAUUGUUUAUUUAUUUAUCAUUUUCGUCUCCGGCAUUAACAAGCAGGAGUACAUUUGAUUUCACCCCUCCUUCAGCAGAUAGCGAUCGAGAGGAACUGAUCAGGCAGCACGAGCAUAGGACCGUAGCAUGGACUGGAAAUUUACCUCGUGAUGAAGGUAGGGGAAAACCAUGAUGCCUCCAUAAACAGGAGAGUUCUUCAGAUAGGGAAGAACCUCAUAAACUAGCUCAUUAGGUGAGAUGAAACCGCCCUCAGGUGCGAUAGAAGAGUUUAUUGGUAUUCCCAGGAACAAUAGAUUAACGCCUGGAUAAUCAGACCAAUUGUCCCAGCUCCGGAAGAGGAGACUGGUAUCGUUUGGAGGCUUAAACUGACAAGAUGGGUUGUCGAAAAAUUCCACCCGCACCUGAUCAACGACACCAGUUCUGAUAGUUGUGUCAAGAGCAGGGUCAGGAAUAGGACAUUCCGCAGCUACGGCUAAGAUGACAUUUGGGUAUCCCUUAAGUGCCCGAGCAAGAUCAUCCAAGUAAGUCGUGUUUCCGCUGUGGAUGUGAAGCUCUACGCCAUCUAAAACAGCUGUGCCGAAUGGACGGUCGCUUGAUUCACCGCCUAAGUAAGUGUUCCAGACAAAGGCUGCCACUUCUUGCGCAUCUUCGACGGAAGAAAGCCUCGGUUGUCCUGCGAGAGAAAUAAACACUUUGGUCUGAUGUUUCUGGCAAGAUUCUAUGUCUGAUGAGCUCGGCAAAGGAUGAAUUAUGUUCAAUUCAGGCAUCUGGCCGCUGCCAAAAUCUUCCAGAAAGGCAAUAUUCACGUCGGUAGCGAAUUCUCGCCUGCAGAACUCAGCCAAACUUGAUGGUUCUUUAUGGCCUCGGCCCCAGUAUUGGACAAUUCCGGCAGCUUCGGAGGACCCAAUCAGAGAAGCAAUCAACAGGAAUGUUAUUGCUGAGAACAGUGGUUGCAAAGAGGCAGCCAUUUUUUUUCUCUUUCUUUUCAGUGAUUUUUGCAGCUUUGCUUUGGUGAGUUCACUUGCACAAUGACUGACCAUUUUAUAGAUGAGUUUAUCUCAAGUGGAUGUUCAGCAUCUAGAAUAUCCAAACAUCCGUACAACAAAACGUGAAUGGCACGAUUUCUCAUUUCUGCUCUCAAAAAGGUGAAUGGUAUUAUUUUUGUGUUUCAAUAUUGCUAGAGACUACCGUUGUGCUCGCCUAACCUCAUCCACAACUGGACGAAGAAAGAUCUUUUUCUUUCUUUUUUUUUUCUUUUGGGACAUUACAUGGCAGCUAGGGGGGGGGGGAGUGGAUCCUUGAGAUUAAUGGGAAUUGAAUCAUCAUUGAAUUAGACGAGUGGUCCAAACAUCCUCUAAAUUUUAGAAGAAAUUGCAUAUCAAAUGAUAAUUGAUGAAAGAUAAAAUUCGAACCUCGAUAAGAGAAAACUAGGAGUCUUGUUUGAAAUGUAAAAUUUUCAUGAACAUUCUUGAAGUAAAAAGAGUGCUCAAGUAGCCUACGAAAUCCUUCAACUAUGGUACAAUAAAGUGAAAUGGGUGCCUUUCAAUGUGCAAUAAUGGUAGGGGCAACUAUUCUUCUAACUGCUGCUUCAAAUGCAAUUUUUAAUUUACACUUUUUACCAUCUCUCUAUAUCUUUAAAAAUUAAAGUAACCUGCACAACAUGCCCUUACUAUGUGCACAAAUAUUCAUACCGAUGUGCAAAACUUUGGAAUGGUCCUAGUUGUAUAUAUUAGUAAUAGUAGAAAUGUAAAGUUCAAUACUUCCACCUCAAAAGUAACUGCAAAAUAUGUCAGUUGGAAUGAUCCCAUUUAAAGUUCAGAUCACCCCUUAUUUAAUUAUGUUAAGUUCUUAAUAUUUUCCCAUUCAAUCCUUCAUUCAACAGCGGUGAUGGUGCUGUGACGUUUGGUCUUAAGCAAGAAAAUUUUUUUCCUCGCCCUCAGUGUGAAUGUGACUCUCAUAUAUAAAUAAUCUCAUAGCAAAACAUGUUCUUACUGAUCGCAGAAGUGAAGCUUGUACACAGGAAUGUAUAGAUUCCAGUUACAUCCAACUAAUCACUGUUUAAGCAUACGAAUUAGCCAUCACGGGCUAAGACACAGAGGCAAUUCCAGUUGGUUCUAGAUAAAGGGAUCUUCCUCUAACCUGCUGUCACAUCCUUUACAGGAGCCAAGACAGCAGGAACUAUGUCCACAGCCGAGAUAUGUCUCUGCUGAAACAUAGCCAAAUUCCUUGCUGUCCAUAGCUAGUAUAGGCUCAAAACCCUCUUCUCUUUCUUUGCUUCUUAAAUUCCACCCUUCAAUCCUAUGCUACUCAUCCUAUUUUUUAAGAAUUUUAAUUUAUUUAUUUUUUAAAAAAAUUGAUUCAUGUCUUCUGUUUGGAUCCAUGUCUUUGCUGCUUUUAAUUCCUUAAUUUAACGUAGCCCCAAACACGGCAUAUAAUAGUCACUCUCUUAAUAAAUGCAAUUAAUUAAUCAUACCAAAUAUAACGUUUGGAUUAGGUAUUGUAGCACACCUUAGUUUUAUUCUGUUCCCUAUUUUACUUAGUUUCAAACAUGCCCUAUAAUAAUCAACCCUCUAAUGAUGCAAUUAAAUAAAUAUACCAAAAAUAUCUAUACAUAUUUGAAACUAAACAUAAUUGUAUCCAUAACAAUCAAUAUAAAAAAUUAACUAAAAAACAAUCUUUGACUAACAUAAACUAAUAAUCUAAGUUCUUGUCCUCCAAAGAAAUAACAAUAUUCCAAAUCAUAUAAGUUGAACAGCUUAGCAAAUUAGCAAAAUUGACUAACAAACACAACACAAGGUUACAAAAUAUUCAACAUUUCUGUAUUCUUUUUCUAACUAAAAUUUACAAAUCAUACCCAAAAAAAGAACUAAUCUAAGUUCCUAUCCUCUAAAGAUAUAACAAGAUUCCAAAUCAUAUAGUUGAACAAUUUACCGAAUUAGCAAAAUUGACUAAAAAAAUACAAAAAGAGAACAACAAAAUUUUCAAUAUAUUUUGUAGUGCUUUCCUAAAUAAAAUUUAAAAAUCAUACCCAAAACAUAAAAAAAAAUGAAAUAUACUUAUCAGAUACUUCAAUUAUUAGAAUCAUCAUGCACAGAAAAUAAAAAAAAAUAGCUCUAAAUUUCAGCCCAGACCUAGAUCUAAAAUUGGACCUGAAUUAUAUAUAAUCGGACAUUAUUCAUGCUAUUAGAAUUGAUAGAUUUUGUUCGAGCAUAAAAAUGAAAUAUAAUAUUUUUACCUAUUCUUUUGUUACACAAUCAAAAUUAAAAUUAUGUUAUAGUUAUGACUAAAAGAAAUGGAGAAGUAUAUUUUGCAACUACUUAAACUUUUUAUUUAAACUAAAGACAUAUUGAAACUAGGAAAAUUAGUUUAGAAAAGAUAAUAUGAAAAUAAUGCACAAAAUUUGGCUCUAUAGAUGUAGCAUCUACAGAAAGGACGAUUUGCAUUUAGGGGUUGCGGGGAUAUGGAAAAGUAGCAUGGAAUGGGGUUGAUGCAAGGUAGAGUAUGAGGACAAGGGAAGAAGGAAGUAGGAAAGUGGUGAUGUGGGGGGUCGUAGGAAAAGUUAAAGGAAGCUAAAUUUACGCAAUGAUACUAAACUACUUAAAGUUUGAAAUUCCAAUUGAAAAUAUUAAUAUUAUGAAAAUUAGUUUAGGAACGACAAUUCACAAAAAUUACACAAAGUAUGGCUCCAUUUUGAUGGGUUACUUUUAGAAAACUUUCAUAAUGGGAAUAUUCUUUUAAAAUCUUUAUAUGCAGUAUUUUUUGGGUCUUUUUUGAAAAUUUUUGGUAUGUUUUCAUUGAUGGCAUUGAGUAUACUUAAAAAUGGUAGGUAAGUAAUAAAAUGAGUCUCGGGAAUAGAAAAAGAUAGUUGGCAAUGGGAGUGUAGGUAGCAAUUGGUAAAGAUUUAAGUUGACUAAGUUUACUUAACAAUAUUAAAUUUACUAUGAAUUAAUCCUAUAUACACUGAUAGUGUAUACGCUAUCAUUAUUAGAUAAAUGAUAUAUGUGCAAAAUUUGAAUUUAAAAUUCAAAAUUUACUCAUAUGUCAUCCAUUCAAUCGUGAUAGUGUAUAUAAAAUUUACUCAUUUACUUUAUAGAAAUAUUAGAUUUACAUUUUAUUAUCAUUUUAUGAGAUUAAAUUUACUUAACAAUAAAAUUUACUUAACGAUAUUAGUUUCAUAUUUCUAUUUUACCUAUUAAAUUUACUUACUAAUAUUGCUGUAACAAUAGUAUUUUACUAUCACAAAUACCAGAUAUUAUUGUUUAUGGACAUAGAUAGACAUGAAAUUGUCCACAAUAAUAAUAAAAAACAAGAUUCAUCUUAUUCUCUCAUGAUAUUUUUUUGUUUUUGUUUUUUAUGUUCCUAACAUUAGGCCUUACAUAUAAAAUCUUUUUAUCGACUUCUUUUUUUAUCUUUUACUUAUCAUAUAAAAUCUUAUUACUUCUUUAAAGAUAUAAUCCCUUACAUAUAUAUAGCACUAGUCCAAUCAUACGUUGUCGAAGAUGAUCAAGCUCUUGCUGGCUUGCAUAUAUAAAGGCCAACGUCUUGAUUGAUCAAUUUUGAUAUCACUCGUCAAAAUGGGUGCCCAUCAAAGACUCGUCAAAGUCUCGUGAUUAAUUUCCACAAAUUAAAGGAGUUGCGUGAUACAGAGAACCUCUGCCUUACUGUAGACUUUUCACAAUACCACGUGUCUGCCAUUAGUACAUCAUUUGGAAUUUUUUAGACAGCGACCGUACAGACGUGGAUUCGUUUGAUAGAGUCUGGGAUUUUGAAGGUCAAUUGUCCAAUAGGGAUCUCGACAUUUUACAGCCACCUCAGCUGCUAAGGAAUGAACGGCUCCUGUAGCUGAUAGGCGGAUAUGCCUCCCAAAGGAGAUUUUCUCAAAAGGAAUAUCUUUAAUUUUCCAUGGCGGAUUGAGACUUCCAUCGUCCACUUGUCCCCACCUAGCCCGUCGCCAAGUUUUUCCACACAAACAUUCUAUUGAAACUAGCUGUUUUUAGGGGUAUUUUUGAAAAAAUUUGCUGUAAUAGAGUUUUUAGAUUAUAUUUUACGAUAUUUUUAGAAAAUAUUUUGAAAUAUUUAAAAGUAGAAGAGUUUUUAGAAUAUAUUUUAAAUUAUUUUUAAAAAUUUUAAAAAAAGUUAAACUAAUUUUUAGCGUACUUUUUAAAAAUUUUUAUUAUUUUUAAAAAACAUUCCCGUCCAAAUAGAGUAAUUAUCAUUCCGAUAUCUUUAAUGAAUGGCGAUGUUUUUUGCAUUUGUCUUUUUUGCUGUUACAAAUAAUAUGGUAUAAAAUAGUCGAGUCGAGUUACUCAAUUCUUUUUUUUUUAGCAUGAAAGUUUUAAUUGUGCUGCGUAUUUCUAGAUUUUAGUGCAUGUUUUUAUCUGUCAUUAAAGCAAUGAUGUAUAUCAAUCGUGUUGGAUGAUUUUCAAUAAUUCGUUAAUGAAAUAUAUUUUGUUAUGAAAAAAAAAAAAAAGAGAAUAGAUACGUCAAAUAGUCUACUGACUUAUAUUGUCGAAGAUCUGCACUCUUGAUUGGCCUAUCUGUGUUGCAUUUUCCUGUAAUUGAUGGAAUUUAGAUCCGAUAAGGGAGUACACCUAAUGGACAAUAAUUGCAAGAUCAUUUGCUCAGCAAAGUAUGUGGAUCCCACUCCGUACGUUUUGUCGGCUAUUCUUGGAAAUGGACUAUUCCAUCCAACCGGUUUUUACCCGAGAGGUAAUUCUGACAUCAUUUGACAUAUUUUCUGGGAAAACUUUUUAAGUGGUUGCCUUCUUUUUUUUUUUUUUUGGGGUCGAAAGGAUAGAAUUAAGUGGUUGUCAUUUUAUCAUCAAUUUUCUCUAGACAUAGAUAAAUGGUGCUUUAUCUGAAAUUGCUUUUGCGAAUAUUAUUCUUGUCACGUGACUGCAUUGGAUAAGCUUAUUAUCAACUGCCACUUGUACUAACUGACAAGCUCUUAUGUAGUUGAGAGAAAGCCUGAUAAAUAAAUUAAGCCGACGGUCAUGGUAAAUUUCUUCUCGUGAUUCGUAUUGCUACCGAAAUAGGAAAAAGGGGCAUGCUUCAUAUUGAGUCAUUACGAAUAAAAGCCCUAAUGUUUCAAUGUCUGGACUAAGUACAGAAAGUGAUAAACUAAGAACUAAAAUCCAUCAAGCGUAUUAUCAUUCUACCAACAAGAACUGGACUUCACUAAUGAUAAUUUUAAUGCCAUAGCUUUCAACUCGUUCCAAGUGAGAACUUACAAAAAGUAGUUCAACUCAAUGACAGCUCCUGUACUAAUCCUUGUCACCAAUCCAUAAGCCCUGACGUUACAAAGAGGAAAAGUAAAAGGCAAAUAAGUAGCAACUCGAAUCUGAACUCGAGUUGAGCUCGGUCAAUAUCAAGUUCGAACUGACCAAAUCGAAUUCGAAUUUGAAAAUAUUUAACUUGUUAGCUCGCGAGCCAACUCGAUUAUAUAAAUAUAUAUAUUAUUUUUUAUUUUAUUAGUAAAAUAUUAUAUAUAUAUCACUAAUAUUUUAUUAUUUAUUAAGAAAAAUUAUUAUUUUAUUUAUUUUUAAAAAUAAAAUAAUUAUUUUUUAUUUUUUUAAGCUCGACCUUGAGUUGAAACUCGACUCGAACUUUACAUUUUGAAUUCGUUGAACUCAAAUUCGAGUUUGAGUUUCAUAAAAUUAAAUUGUGAUUCAAUUCGAUUAGGUCAAAACUCGACUCGACUUGACUUGUCCCGUUUCGUUUGCACCCGGAAGGAAGGACCUUAGUAGUGAUUCCUAUCAAUUUCUUUGAUUUAAGGUUUCAGUUCUGCCUGGGAAAAGGUGAAGAGGCACCACUAGCAUGGCUGUAGACCUAGUAGCUACAAUAAAGGCAUCAAGUUGCCCCGCCAAAAUCCGGCCAACCUCCAUCGCCAAUUAACCAAAAGAUAUUUUUAUCAUAGCUAAUAUUUGAGAAUAGGCAAUAAGGGAUAACCUAAGAUUAGUAAGUAGAUUUUUGACUAAAGGAGGAGAAGGCAUUUGGAGAGGUAGGCAUGCUUUUUUUUUUUGUCGGUAACGGUAGAUGUCUUAUAACCUAAUCUAGACUAAUCUAGGGAAGAGGGGUAAGAGGAGAUGGUCAAUUAAAACUAGCCACAUAUUGUGGUAAAAUUUGAAAGAGAUAGGGAUAGAAUCCCUAACCUCCAAUAUCACCAAAGAGGGUGAUGAUCACUGGACCAAAUGGCCCGUGACAUUUGGAGAGGUAGCAUGCAGCUGAGCAACUUUAAGAAAAUGCUCGAGAUGAGGAAGACGAAGAGAGGCGAAAUUUCCUAGCUAGGGGAGAAUCGAUCGGGUGGCUUCAACCUUAUUGGUCCAUGAAUUUCUUUGACACAUGGCCCUUCACGCGGUGUCUUCGUACGUCUCGCACUGGAACUAGACUACUAGGUUGUUUAUCGGCCGAUAAUUUGAUUAAAAAUUCAAUUUUUUUUUUCAAUUUUUUCAACAAUGUCAACAUCCAAUUACCGUUCAAACUUUUAUUUAGUAAUUGAAUAUUGCAAAUUGGAUUACGACCAAAUAAUUAGUAUUUCAGUAAAAUAUCCAAAGUUUUAGAUUGAUUUUCUAAUAUAUAUUAGUUAAGUAUAUUUAAUAUGUAAUUAGUAAUGUAAAAGGUUAUUAAUAUGUUCAUUAAUAUGCUUUUAAGGUCAUAUAUUUGUCUAUAAACAUAUAUUAUAACUUAUAACACUAUGGAUUGAUACAUCAAUAUGCAAUAUGAUAUAUUAAUAGGCAUGAAAUAUAUAAAAUAUUUAAUUAAAAUAUGAAAUUCGGUAACUCAGUCGGUGGUAAUCGAAAAUUCGAGAAUCGAAAUUCAAUAUCAAAUCACAAACUGUUUUGCCAAAAUUUAAAAUUGGAUCUUAAUCGGUUUUUCCAAAUUUCAUUUCACCGACAUCCGAUUUUCAAUUUAAAUUGGAUCAAUCGAUUAUUCGAUUUUUUUUUCCUUUUUUUUGGAAGUGUGAGGACCCCUAGCUGGCUGGUACCAGGGUAGCCAGCCAAAUUACAAUUGACCAGCUGAAUUGGCAAAUCUCUUUCUCGUCUAUCUAGCAGUCUAUCGGAUAAGAUUUCUCGUGUUUAUUGUUCCGUGCUUCAACCGGUAAAUUUAGACAGCGAUGGAUAUCUGCUUGGGCAGGCAAACACCAUGCCCUUAGGUGUCAGUGCAUGGACUUGCAGGAAAAGUCACUGUCCAUUUUCUACGCCGCGGUUGCGGGUCAUGACUUGAACUCAUCGUGCUGUUGGCUACUAUAUCAAACAAGAGAAAAAGGGAAUCCAAUGCAGCGUUUCUUUCUGUUAGUGUUACUACGCCAAUGUUUCUAGCCAAUCACUUUUCUUUUCAUCAGCCAAAAUCAAUCAGGUGAGAUGCUUCCUCGAAGUUUAAUACCACAUAAGCGAAGUAUGAACUUGCUUGUUUAAUACCACAUAACACGAAGUAUGAACUGUUAGAAUUGAGUCACAAUGAGUACCAGUAACUCAGCCUAUGAUUUAUUGUUCCUCGAAAAUUGUUAUCCAUAUUAAAGUUCGAAAAACAAUUUAACCAAAUCGUAUGGAGUACUAUUCAUCCAUUUUUUUGGUCUUUACUUUAACAGCACAACUUAGAGACAUUAUUCAGUUUCUGCAAAUUCUUUUGUCAAAAAUGGCCCAAGGAUGAUUUUUAUUUGAAAACUGCAAUAUUUUUGGUCUCUUAGCUUUUCAAAUUGUCUAAAAUAAUGCUAGAUUUCUGCUCUAGAAUACUAAUUUAGUCUUUCAAUUGUCAACUAUUGCACUGAAUUUUCACUUAUUUAGGAGGUGGCUGGGGAGGGGGGAGGAGAGGGAAGAGGGAGAAGGAGGAGUGGAGAGGAGAGAGAGUUAGGGAGGGAGUAAGAAGGGGAAAAAAAAAAGAGGGCUCCGCCGGCUACCGUGAGCAGUGGGGAGGGAGGGAGGAGGAAAAUCAAUGAGGUGGAGGAUAUGAAGAGGAAAGGAAAGAAAAGAAAAAGAAAAAAGAGGAAAACUUUUACACAUCUAAAAAAGUUUUUUUUUUAACAAAUUUUACAGUAAGAUACAGUAAAAUUUUAUAGAUUAAUCUUUCCUACACCGACAGUGUAUAUACUACACUUGGGAUUCUCGGUGACAUGUUUUCUAUGCCAACCCAAUGCCACCAAUAGUGUUGCGUCAAGUGUCAUGUUAUUAUUUACACUUUAAUUUUCUAAUAAUUCAACUUGACUUGGUUUAACACAAGUGUAAAUAAUAACAUGACACUUGGCGCAACACUAUUGGUGGCAUUGGAUUGGCAUAGAAAACAUGUCACCGAGAAUCCCAAGUGGUAUAUACUAUCAGCGUUGGAAGAAUGACAACUAUGCAAAAUUUUAAUUUGAAAUUCAACUUUUGCACACAUGUUAUAAAUCCAACGAUGAUAGUGUAUACACCGUCAGUGUAAGAAAGAUUUACUCAAAUUUUAUACAAACACACAAAAAAUUCACUCACUAAAUAGGGCUUUCAUAACACAAAACCUGGUAGCACUACUCACUAUUUCAGUACACAAAUAAUCAAGAGUUAAAACACACAUGAGGAAAGCCAAGUUCCAAAGCCAAUUCGCAGCUGGUUCUAGUUAAAGGGAUCUUCCUCUGACCUGCUACCACAUCCCUUGCAGAAGCCAACACAGAGAAACUAUUUCCACAGCCGAGACGUGUCUAUGCUGAAACAUAGCCAAAUUCCCUUGCUCUCCUUAUCUAGUAUGCCACAAUUUUUUAAAGAGAGAGAAAUAGAGAAUUAUAUUUGGAAAUGACUGAAUUCCAAGAUUACAUGCAUCUAUCAGAAACUAAUAUUAUUUUGUGGAUAUGAAAUUCAAAAAUCUAAAGAAGUGGGUCGUCUUUGAAUAAUAAAAACUAAAGGGCACCCACACUUUACAUAUGAUUUAGACAAAAUAAUAGUAAUUUGCCAUAAUCAACGCUUUGGAUGAUGCUAUUGGACGUUCAAAAAGAAUUAAAGAUCAAGCGCAAACGUGUUGGUACUAUAUUAUGAAUUGGUUUAACAUUAAUUUGCCUGUAACCUCCUAUACAACUUGCAAAACUAAGCAUAAAUGCAUGGGGCCCAAGCACUAAUUAUUUGAGCCAAGAUUAUUUUCCACUUUGUGUGAAGACAAAAGCAUGUGGGAUGUUCCAAGGAGCCCUUCCUGUGGCCGAUACAAAUACAGCGUUCAUGAACUAAUCCCCAAAGGACCUCUUCGUGUUGUCUGUAUCACCUGUUUACCUCCAUUCAUAGUUGCCAUUGUGUUCGUUCUAUGCAUCCUUUUGUUUGGUUUAAGAUUCCUCAACUCGAGGUGGGAAUUGGGAUCUUUUUGUUUCGAAAGAAAAUAUUUUCCAGAAAAUAUUUUCCUGAUUUUCCAUUGUUUGAUUGGGUUAUUGCUUGCGAAAAUUUUUCAUAUAAAUGAAUUGAAGUUAUUUUUCAUGUCCGACUCGUAAGGCUAUCCAUUCUAGCUCCCUUCUUUGCUGUUUUCUCUCUCCAUUUUUCUUUGUCCCUGUCUUUCUUUCUCUCAGAUACACAGACCAUACGCACUUAUGGAGAGAUCUAGACUUGAAAUUGAAAGGGGCUAUAGGGAGAUCGUGAAGGAUGCCAGAGAAAGUUUUGAUGUAUGAAAAUGAAAUGAAGUUGUUAAUCUUGUGCUAAUAUACUGUAAAUUUGAGGUAUGUUUGUUCAACGGACAUUAACGGUUACCGUUUGGAUUGCUAUUUUCUAGAGCUUUUGUAAAAAGAAAAUGUACCGUAAUGAUUUGACAGAUAUAAAAUAAAAAGAUGAUCACGAAAAACGUAAAAAUUUUUUGAGGGAAAAUGGCUUUCCAAACAAUUGCUGAAAUGUUGAUUAUGGCGGAAGAACGGUGGUUUUUAGGUAAGAGCCUGAAAUUUGGUACGGACUUGUGAACUAGAGGAUAUCUUAACUGCCUGAACAAGAGUAAGUUCUGACAGUGGAUCCCUCAAGAAUUUGUCAUCCAUAAGUUAAUAAUUAUCAACCAACGUACAUAGUAGUUAACAAAAUGUACCUGUUUUCAAAAAUUAGUUUUUUUAAAUAUUAUUAAAAUUUUUAAAAAUAUUUUAAAAAUUAUUCUAAAAAGUAAUCUAAAUUUUUUUUAAUAUUUAAAAAAUAUCUUAAAAUAUAUUCUAAAACUCUUCUACUCUUAAAUAUUUUAAAAUAUAUUAUAAAAAUUCUGAUAUAAUAAAAUUUUUUAAAUUAUUUUAAAAAAUAGCUAAUCCAAACGAAAAGAAACCGGACGUUCUUGUUCUCAGGUUUUCGCUUUUCGGCACGAGAAACCCACAAAACACUACAAAGUGGUGGCAAACAGCACUGAGACGGAGAGUGGAUUAAUCCGGAGAAGAGAAGGGGGUGUCGAUUGUCGAAAAUCACCUGGUUCAUAUUUCGCGCCCUGUCGUUUUGCUGAAUCAGCGUGUGCUGGAAUAGUCAGGCCCCUCCCUCGACAAUAAUGGAAUUAGCUGCCGCGCACGUACGUACCUAUGCAUGAAAACUGACUUCACAAGCUUUAUAGCUGUCCCCUCCAUGGAUAUGAAUAUGAAUCAGAAUCUGAAUCAGUCACUCAAAACUUUAUUAUCUCUGAACGAACGCCCAUAAACAGCCCCUGAAACAGUAAAUUCUGGCAGCUGCUCUUUGUCGUAGAUGCCAAAAAUGGUCCUUGGAACAUUAAUUCCGUGAAACAGUAAAUUCUGCCAGCUGCUGCUCUCUGUUGAUGAUGCCAAAAAAAUGUCCUUGCCUACUUAAAUCAAUUUUGAACCGACUCAAUUGAAUCAAAUUCAAUGACUUGCAUUUUUUCUGUGAACCUCCUUAGAUUCAUCCCUCUUUAGAAUUUAUCGUGUCUGAUAAAAAAAAAUUUAAAUCAAUUUUGUUUUAACUCUCUGUCUAAUCUUCAAGGAUGCCGUGUCACGACUAUCGCUGUGCUUCCUCUCUCCUCUCCGCCAUGUCUGAAGUCUCAACUCUCCUUUCCUCACUUUCAGUUUCAACCACAAGUCACAAGGCUUCAACUCUCCUUUCCUCACUCUCAUCUCCUCCUCCUCAUCAUCAGGCCUAAGAAUUCUUCCUUUUUUUUUUUUUUUCCUUAUCUUCUUUGUCCUCCAGAAGCCCACUUUAAUAUAUUUUUUUUGGGGUAAGUAGCCCACUUUAAUUAGUAUUAUCCUCACGAUAAGUUAGAUGUUUGAACAGACCCUAUUAUUUUGGAAUGCAUUUUUAAAUUAAAGGAAUUAAAAUUAAAUCGAUGAUCUUACAUCAAAGAGAUUUGUCCCAAAAUAUAUAUAUAUAUAUGGGAUGGGGAAGUCGAUUUGGCUUAUAGCAAUAAAAUACUCCUACAAACUUGUCGGUGGUUGGUUGAAAGUUGAAAUAUCUGGCAGAUAUAAUUUGCAGAUGUGUUUGUGUGUCCUCUGACUGAGAAAGAGCAGGAGGUGGAUGGAGAAACAAGGAGGAAGCAAAGUCGAUAUAAAGAAUCAAGGACUCGGCAUAACUAAAGAAAGAAAGGGUGGUGACAACCGGGUCGGCGAGGUUCGGGGUGGGAUUUGUUGGAGGGAUGGGGACUAGCUAAGAUUGGUGGAGAAGGUGAUGAUGGUGUUCAGUAGUUCGGCAAGGAUUGAGUUAAAGUGCAUUGUGGAGGAAGGAACGAUUGCUAUGCCUUUGUGCAAAGUUACGUCAUCAAAGUUUUCCGACUCCAAAUGGGGUGAAAGUUCUCAUGAGCUAAUGCCUCAUGAAUUUUUAUUUUUAAAUAUUUAAAAAAUAUAAAAAUACACACACACACACCUACAUAUAUAUACACGUGUGCAUGUAUAAUAUUAAAAAUACCCAAAAAAUAAAGAAAAAUUAUAACCAAUGCCAUCCCAUGAACAGAAACCAGCAAAUCACUGUAAACUUCGAUGAUUAUUUGCACAAAAAAACUCGUUGUUAUCCCGCAAACUAACGAUCACAGUUGCGAAAACUCUUUUCUUGUGGUGUGAGUUUUGACUAUCAAAGCAAGUGUCUUUCUCCUAUUUCUUUAGAAUAUCCUCAAUGUGAGGAACAAAGUUUUGAAAUUUCACCUCCUUUGCCAACUUAAAUUUGUAGGCUAAUAUAAGAAAAGUUUUCAGAAAUUGCAAGUUCAAUUUGAGGGUCUCAACUUUCUUUAGGCAAGUGAAGGGAAAAUCCAGUUUGGAUGUUUUUCUGGAACUUAAAAAAAGGGGAAAAAGUGCUUGGAUUUUAAAUGUAUAGAUUUUUUACGUCUAAAAAAAAAAAAAAAAAAAAAAACUCACCCAAACGUCCAGGCGUUUGCCUCGAUUCUUGGGGCAAAAUGUCCCAUGAUAUUAACGCCCCAUUUAACUGUCCAGGAGUAAUUCGAGAAUGUCUUGCCCUGAAACUUACCCCAAAUAAACACUGAUCUUAAACAGAGAGAGUUAGAAAGACAACUUUCUUGGAUAGAGGACAUGAACCACUUUCUUUCUGCCACUAGCAUGUGCCACUAGCAACUUUCUUGAAUCCUAUUUUGCAAGUUAUCAAUUUUUGGUUACUUUUAUUCUUGGACAUGGACCAGUCCAACCAGGCAUUAACUAAGCGGUCCAUACCAAUAAUUCUGAUGUAAAUCUUUCUUCUUUUUUUUUACCAUGUGCCUUUUUUGAUGAAAAAGAUAGACACAUUUUAUUAAUGAUGCUACAGGAAAUCGUCCAUGAGUUGCUUGACAAAAUUUAGAAGGGAAUUUCAAAGAGAUUAAAAAAGAUUAGCACUCUUAGCAUGAUGGGUUAAAGUAUGCGCUACCUUAAUUUGCUUCUCUUGGAAUCCAUUGAUUCACUGAAUAUCAAUACAAAGCUGAUCUAAUAAAGCUAAAUGUACAUCCUCAAUAAUUGGACCUAAAUCAGAUAGGAUGUCUUCUUUGUCCUGUCUUCUUUAUCAUGAAUAAAUCUUAUGAUUGAGGCUGCGUCUCCCCGCAAUUUUGGAUCAUUUGUGGGCCUGAAUCAAAUAACUCCCGGGAACGAAUAUCACAAUGGACUUGAUUGGAACGAAAAUGCCUUACCAAUCCCACAAUCCAUUCCAGUUCAAGUUAAGAUCAGCAAUAUCGUUAAUUAGCCGCUUAAGCUUUGUUUAAUCAUAACUUACCCCUAUUGUCUUACAUCUUAAGCAGAUACUCUUUUGGUUUUUUCAUCUUAAGCAGUUACCAUUUGCUACAUCGCAGUCAAUUAAAUAGUUAAACAGAAAAUCUAGCAUUUAUACUAAAUAAAAGAAUUUUAAUGAUGCAUAUUAUUUGCUGCAAUCCUUAAACCAUCCAAGCCUAAGAAUUAAAAAUAAAAGGUCUACAUGAAUAAAAUAAAAGAUUGGAGAUUAAAGAUGCUUUAGAAAAAAAAAAAAAGGUUAAUUCAAAGGACUAAAUGAACUACUUGCGAGAUCUUUUUGUCCUUCCAGAUUAAAUGAUUUGUCGUUAAUAGUAUUGAAAUAGUUAAAAAUUAAAAUUAUUGGGACUAAAUGUAUUUUCAUAAAACUUUGAAGGCGAAAAUGGUGUAACCCCAUAAGUUAGAGGUAUAAAGUGUCAUCUUUUCCAUUUGUGAAAUUUGCAAUUGGUUUGCUGACUUUCUGUCAAAUAUUUGUACAUUAAUUAAUUUUUCUAUAUACUGACAAUACAUACCAUCAAAGUCGGAAGCAUAACAACUGGUAUGAAUUUCAGUUCGAAAUAUAAAUAUUUUGCAUACGUAGUGUCCAUCAAAUUCAGACCUUAAUCGAUCCAUCUAUCUAUGAAGGAAACAGUGGACUCUGUGGCGAGCCACUCCCAAAUGACUGCCUGGAACAUAAAUUGCCUACGAAAAAUGGGCAUAUUCAUGAUGAUAUAGGUCACGGCGAGUCUCAUUGGUCUUGGUUUUAUGCUGGUAUAGGACCGGAUUAUGCUGUCGGGCUAUUGGGAGUUUUGGGAAUCCUUCAGUUCAAGAAGUCAUGGCGCUAUGCAUACUUCAGGUUUCUGGAAAAUGCCUAUGACAAAAUCUGCGUAAUGAUUGCAUUGAAGGCCAAUCAGCUGAGGAGGAAUUUCCAUUGAGUAAUGCCCUGUAAAAGCACAUUUAUUUUGUUUUUCAUAUCACGCAGCAGCAGCAUACUCUCCUUGAGAAUUUACAGAACUAUGGUAAUUUGUAAUUUGUUCUCCAAACGUUUCUAAAGAUUUGUUUUAUGCGUCCCAACUUGACCGAUUCUUAUUCAAUAAGAAAAUGAUAGCUUAAUAGUUUUCUGUUCUUUUUUUUUUUCCCCAAGACUAAGAAGCUCAAUAAGUUAUAAUUAUUUUUCUGUUCACAUUGGAAUGCAUUAAAUAUUCUAUAUCGAGCAAUUUAUAGGUUGUUUAUCUUGCUUACUGAUCGAAUUUUUGUGUCAACAGAUUUAAACACUUUAGAAGAAUUCUAUACUUGUUUAUGCUAAUAAUUGAUUUAGUUGUUUAAUUUCUAAUUGAUAUACAUUCUAGCUUUUCUGCCAACAACUCUUAUGAAUUACCAACUACUGAUUUUCAGGUGUUACAUUAAUUCUACCCACCUAAGUUUCACUCUCGAAACUUAAUUUGACCAGAUUAGCAUAAAAACAAACUGCACUUUCAAUUAUAUCACUUUACAUGAACAAAUAUUAAUUAAACUACUAGUAUUUAGGGCACACACCAAUGUGUGUACACCUAAUAAAAAACAUAUUAUUAAAAUUUUGAGUAAAUUUUUUGAAAUCAUUUCAAAGGAAUUGGUUUUAUAUUUUUGACAAUGGGUAUUGGAAAAUUCACGAAAAUAAGUGUACAAAUAGAUAGUUGUUUAGCAGUAAUCCAUAACCAUAAUCGAUAGUUGAUUACAUUGGGUAGCUAGCAAGGUAAGUUAAAAAAUAAUAUAAAAUGACAAAAUUUUAUUUAUACCAAAAGCCCUCUCCCCCUUUAUAUAUUUACAACAAAAGCUUUCUCCACCUUUACAUAGAGCAUGGAUAUUAUUUACUCAAGGACAAUUCAUGUCCCCCCCACCCCUCCUUCCCCUCCUCGCCUUUUUGGUCAAUCGUUAACUCCUAUUACUACUCCUACUCUAACCAAUAUUAGGGAAUGAUCCAACUGGACCAAUGGGGCCGGAGAAAGAAGAUCUCACCUGUAUAUCAAAGAGGUUCACUAGACCAAAGAAGGGUUGCUUCAUGUUCAAAUCUGCUAUGCUUUUUACGAGGCCAUAGAAAUUUCAAACACCUGAUGCCCAUUACGUUUCCCUUGCGUCAACAUUAAUCCAAACAUCAAGAAGUAAUUCCACUUAAUUAACCUUAUUUUCAUUUGAACUUUGGUUAUAUCUAAAGUGAUAAUCAUGUCUUCCUAUUCAUUAAAGUAAUCUACUAUCAAUUAAAACUCCACUAGUAAAUUCCGUGCUCUCAUUUUCUGAUUUGCCAGAUUCUCGGUUGCACCCCGAAUUUACUUCAUAGUAUAUGCCAUCACAGUGGAUCUAGAAAUAUUAUAACAUAACCGCCUAGAAAUUUCUUCAAGAUAUAACCCCUUUCAAUAACUUCACCUACUCAUGAUUUUCAAUCUUGAAUUACCUGUAGUUUUAAGAUUCAAAUCAAGUGAUCAUAAGCCAUGUGAGAAAAACUAAUGAACAUAAAUUAAAUUUCUAACUCAUUGAUCGCCAUAAAUGGUCCUAUUAGAAACUAAUUCUUGCAAUCAAUAAUUGGUAGACAUGAAAUAAAAAUGUGUCCUAGGCCUCCUGAUCUUCUAAACAAACAUAUAAGGGCAGAAGGGGUUUCAUGAACAUCCUCCCAAUGAGGAAUGUUAUAUGAACAGAUCCCAAUCACAAAUUAAAGAUUUGUGAAAAAAGUGAGAAACUCUAAACAACUGGGCAAUUCCAAUAAAGUUUGGUAAAAUUUGAUAAGAGAAUGAGAUAUUACUUAGGCCCUGUUUAACAAAUAAUUCCCAAUAAAUAUUUGAGUGAAACUUAGGCAUCAUUUGGCGAAUGAAUUUUUUGCGUGUUUGUCUAAAAUUUUACUGUAACUUACUGUAAAAAUUGUAGGAAAAAUUUUUAAAAUGAAAAACUUUUUCUUUUCUUUUUAUUUCUUUUUCUUUCUUUCUUUCUUUUUUCUUUUCUUUCCUUUCUUCUUCCUCUCCCUUCCCCGUCCCUUGCCACCUCUCCCUUCCAGUUGGAACAAGAAUUUUUUUUUUUGCUCUCUUCUCUCUCCCGUCCCCUUUCUCCCCUUUUCCGGGUGCUUUCUAGUCGUGCGACCAAAUCGGGCAAAGGGGUAUGGGAAGGAUGGUGGGGGAGGGAGAAGGGGGGAGAGAGGUGGCGUGGAAGAGGGUAGGAGAGAGGGAGAGGAGAGAGAGAGGAAGAAGAGAGAGAGAGAAAAAAACAAAAGAGGUGGCCUGCGGCUCCGAUUGCGGUGGAAGGAGAAAUGAGGAAGAAAUUUUUUUUUUGUGUUUUGGAUAUUUUGAAGUAUAUAGUUUAAAUAUUUUAAGGAGUUUUUGAAAUUACUAUAGUUAAAGUUGUUAAAAAUUUGGUAGGAAACAAACUUAGACAAAAUUGGUUUGCCAAACAGGCCAUUAGUUCUAGGAAUGCUUUGAAAAUCCUUGUUAGAGGGAUAGUGAAAUUCUUGUUAUCCAUUGAUAGGGUACUUUUAGUUGGUACAAUUGCUUAUAUUUUUCUUUUUAUUUAUACCAGAUAUCACCCUAUUUGACUGGUUUUACCCACAAUUGGUUUUUUUGCAUUGAUUUCAGAAAUUUGAGCGAAAAACGCUUAAAUGGAGGAUUCCUAACAGUUUGCACAUGGGCACGCCUAAGUUCAAGGUUCAAAGCCAGAAAAUUGAGCAGGGAUGUCAGACAGUUUCCCAAUCCAAGUCAAAUUAAAAAAAUUGGCAGCUGCUGAAGUUUCCUAUUUCUUUGCAGUCCACGUCAAUCUCGAGCAAUUGGAAAGCUCCUAGGACAUUGAUUUGUAAUAGGAACCCUUUUUAGGAGUUUUAUUGGUAUGAGGAGACCAAUCAAUUAAGAAGUCGACUAGGGAUAAUUCGGAGGGGGAAUGCUUUUUGCUUGAGAAAAACAUAGUUGUUCUUCUUUUUUCUUUUUGGCCAAAUUGGAGAAAAAAAACAAUUGUAAGCUUCGAACAGAUUAUCUUUUGGCAUGGCUUGUUCUCCCUUAAUGGAGAACUAAUCUCGUAUCUCUAGUCAAGGAACACUGAGGAUUUGGUUCAACUAUCACUGUGAGAUAUAAUUGAUUUUAUUUAUCUCCUCUAUUCAUUGGUAUUUGUAAGUUUUCUGCUUUAUAAAGUAUGAUUAUUGUGUGUGAUUAAAUAGGUGCGCAAUAUUUAAUUAUACACGUUCUCUAUUUGCUAAUUGGAAUAGUCAAAUCCGUAAUUGUUUGACUACUCUAGUCUUGAUAGCAACUGGAAUAAUUGGGUUUGUGUUGGAAAAAAUAUACAGUCUAAUUUAAAUAAACUCUCGUAGCGUGUUUAUUGAUUAGAGUAGGAUUUCUCUAGUUUCUAAUACAAUUGAGGAAUUAAAUCCUACGGUGGCACUUAGGGUUAUUCCUAAAUUAGAGAAAUAGUCAAUGAUCGUACCUUGACUAUCGAAACAGAAAGGAGAAACUGAUUGUCAGAUCGUAUCAGCAGUUAAAAACCUGUUUACUAAUGAAUGUUGGGAUUAUAAUUGCAUCAAUGAUUAGUACCUGAACCACCUCUGAAGUAAAACCUUGGCUAGAGCUUUUUCCCAUUAAUUGUCUCCCCCAAUCUCUUUUGCGUACUUUAUUACCUUAGUGAUAUUCCACUAGUUUUUAAUUCUUGACAAUAAAAACCCCCUCCUCUUUGACUUGAAAAAAGAGCAAAUAAUCCCCAAUCCCUAUGGAUUCGAUCCUGCUCACCGUUGUAUACAAAAUUCAUACUUUUAUUAAGUAAGUUUUUAUUGCACAGGCUCGACACCUGUCAUCCAUUAAUAUCUAAGGUCGUGUUAUUCAAUAAUGGUAAUUGCGAAAAUUUUUUUGCUCUUUUUUAAUUGAUUUUUAUUCAUAAAUUCAAGCUAUUAUUCAAAUUAUAGUAAUUUAUUGUUGAAUUUGGCUAGGUAUAAAGUUAAUUGAAGAUGCAUAAAAGUUUCAUAAAUAAGGCGGCCUGUUUAGACUUUGUUUUCGAUGAUGAUGUGUCGAUUAUGUUUGUGAACUUUAAUGACACAAAGGGAAUAUUUUGCAUCUGGGGACGAGUCCGGCAUCUCGCGCUGGAGUUGAUACCCGCGUAGUAAAAUAGUAAUCCAAUAUGCAAUUAACGAAUUUCUUAUGUUUAGUUAAGAAGAAAGCGGAAGAAAACAAGAAUAUGAGAACAGAUGGAAAUUAAUGUAAAACAAAGGAAUAAAAGGCAAAUUACAAUUUAUCUCCUAUGAUUUAGUAUUUUUAUACAUAACUCUCCUAUAGUUUUAAAAAUUAUAUAUAACCCUCUCAUAAUUUGAAUUAAAGCGUCAAAAUGAUGAAAAUGAUCAUUUGUAAAAGAACCUAUGAAAAUGUCGAAAUUACCCUUGUUUAAAAACUCAAAUGGUUGAAGUGAUCAACAUAUAUAAACAUAACAUGCAUGACACUCUAACCCGUAUAAUUUUACAUGUUACCAUAUAACCCUUUUAUGAUUUAAUGUUUUAAUAUAUAACUCCCUUAUUGUUUUCACUAUAUAUACAUAACUUGCUUGUAGUCAAUAAAUAAUUUUCAACUUUAUAGAGGGGCAUUUUUUAUAUUUUAAUUGACUCCGUCAUAGAUUGCAAAUUUCGUUACUUUGAUACUUUAAUUCAAAUCAUGAGCAGAUUAUAUAUAAUUUUUAAAAUUAUGAGAAGGUUAUGUAUAAAAAAUAUUAAACUAUAGGGGGAUAAAGUAUAAUUUACCUGUAUAUAUGCAGCGUCCCGCCCCUCUCCUGUCACUGGAUUGGGAGGACUGUAGUAUGAAAGGCUGCAUGCAUGCAACGUCCAGCCUCUCUACAAGCAUUUAGAACCAUAUAGAGAUGAUGCUUUAUCUGAGCUUACUUUAUCAGACGACCAAUGCCAAAGAAAUUGGAUACGCAUCUCCUUAAUACUACUACUCCAUCAUUAUUAGCUAGUGUUAUUAUUGAUUUGGUAGUAGUAUUCCUGUCACUUGGCUGCAUUAAAUAAGCUCAUUAAUCAAUUACCCUGAUUGUUUAUUCCAACAAAUUGCCGAAUAAUGAUAUUAAUUAAUACUUACUCCAUGAAGUAUGUAACUACUGCUGCUGCAGCUUAAGGGAUUCAGAUUUUCUGUAAUCACAGCAGUGUCAACAGCGUACACUUAGUUGUGGCUUGAAAUUAAAAAGAUAGAUUGAAUAGAUGACACAUGUUUGUUUUUCAUCGAGUGAUAAAAUUUAUUAUGUAUUCUGUAGUUAUUGUUGCAGUAUCUAUAUAUCUACAUAUUUGGUCUUUAACAUUUAAUAUUUACGUCCAUUAUAUUCUGUAGUUAUAUUGUUGUAAUGAUUUCCACGAUGACUUCCAAGUCAUCGUGCCUGUUUCAAGCCACCGUGAGCCAUCGUUCCGAUCAAUGGAGGUUCUUGCGUGAAUAUGUUUGUAUGGGAGAACGAAUAUGUAUCUAAUGAUACACAGAACAACUGAAAGAAAAAUGCUUAUAACAUUUGUUUUGCUGAACAACAGACAGAAAUUCAAAAUCAAACAAGUACGAUUGAACUUCAUGCGACAAUUUUAUUUAAUUUGGGCAUGGAUGACCAGCCCGUUGUUUAUUUAUUUAUCAUUUUCCUCUCCGGGAUUAACAACCAGGAGUACAUUUGAUUUCAUCCCUCCUUCGGUAGAUAGCGAUCGAGAGGAACUGAUCAGACAGCACCAGCAUAGGACCGUAGCAUGGACUUGAAAGUUACCUCGUGAUGAAGGUAGGGGAAGACCAUGAUGCCUCCAUAAACAGAAGAGUUCUUCAGAUAGGGAAGAACGUCAUCAACUAGCACAUUAGGUGGGAUGUAACCGCCCUCAGGUGCGAUAUCCUUGGAUAUAGGUAUUCCCAGGAACAAUAGAUUAACGCCUCUAUAAUUAGACCACCUGUCCCAACUCCGGAAGAGGAGACUGGUAUCCUUUGGAGGCCUAAUCUGACAAG
rnacentral:lncRNA from 1 species